ACCUCCUCCCCCAGUUUACCUGUCUCCACCUCCACCCUAUCAUCACUACUACGGUUCUCCUUCUCCUCACCACUACUAAGCAAGUGCAUAAGUUUUGAGGUAAUAAUACCUAUCCAAAACUUUAUCAACACAAACUGCCAUGUAUAUCAUGCUAAGGACGUACACUUGAUCCAUGAAAAUGACUAGUAGAAGAUUUUUUUUAAGAACCAAAGAAAUACAUUAUUUUUUCGGUCUGUUUUCAAGAAUUUGAGCAGUAUACAGAUUAAAGAGUGUUUUUUUUUUUGUAAACUUGCUUGUCAACUUAAAAAUGCACAUAGCUGAAAGCCAACUGAAUAUUUGCAGGCAAAGGAGAAGGCAAUCGGUGUUUGAGACCUUCAAGAAGAUGUAGAAGAAUAAGAAUAAAAGCCCAAUGCGAGGAUGAUUCCAAGUUUCUACGUUACCAUUUCUACAUCUAAAUUGACUUUAGCUCCUGAGUUCCAUGUUUAUGGGGUUUGUACCGUUUUACGUACCAUGCAGUACAUGCUUGCAAGGUUUUCUGUCCUGUUGGCAAACUGCAGGUCCAUAUAAUAAAUGAAUACUAUUUACAUUACGACACUUUUCUCUUUUUCUCUUAUAUUUUGUCUUUAAUAUUGUUGAUCAUUUUUUUUUUAUCAAAAGCAUCAAAUGCUUAGGUAAUUUGGUCUAAUGCUAAUUGUUUUACUUUUAUUUUUCACCUACACCCCUUUUCAACUCAAAGGAUGCUAUAGUUUGUGAUAAUUGUUUAAGACCGAAGCAUGAUACUAAUAAAUAUCUCAUUGAAAGUCAAGGAAACUAACAUUAGGAAAAGUUUAAAUCUUGAUUUGAUGAAACUAUUUAUUCGUGGAAUUUAGAGAUACAAAACUCAAAUUGUGACGGUGUUGUUGCUAAAUUAUUAAGGACAUUAUCACCAUUAUUUUUCCCUGAUCACUAGUUUCAACUGCAAUGAUCUCAAUCUUUUUGUGACUAAUUCUUUCCUUAAUAAUUUAUAAAGACAAAACUCACAAAGAAUAUGUGACUAAUUCUUUCCUUUCGUCUUCUAAAGAAAAUGCCAACUGUUAGUUUAUCAAGGGGAAAAAGGAUCGACAUCAGUUAUUAUUGAAACUAGUAAGGAAUAAAUAAUGGUGAUAAUGUCCUUAAUAAUUUAACAACAGCACCAUCAGAAUUUGACUUUGAGCUUCGGUCUUAAACAAUGAUCACAAACUACAGCAUCCUUUGAGUUGAAAAAGGAAGUAGGUGAAAAGAAAAGUAAAAAAUACAAUUAGCAUUCCCUCAAAUUGUAGAAAGUUAGGUAGCAUUAUAGACAAGUUGAUAGCGGCAAUUUUACAUUUCAAACUUCACCUAUUCAAUAACUAAUUCGAUGGCUUGCUACAUGGUCAAUCUUUGGACCCCUUCCUGCCUCCAGAUAUCCCUUUCCUCAAUCAGGGGCUUCUACAAUUACCAGUUUCAAUUGUAUGGUAUAGUGUAAAUAUCAACAAAUUAGAUGUAGAUGCUAACAUAAUAAAUGUGAAUGCUAAGACAGCAACAUACAAUCGAACCUGCAAUUGUAUGAACCCCAAUCUCGCUUCCUAGUCCACCAUCUUUCUCUAGGUAAUAAUCUCCCUUCUAAUUUAUUCACAAAAUGCACCUUUCAUCACCUCCAAUAGCGUCGACAUGAUCUUUACCCUAGAAGACUAUUCACCGACUCUCAAUUGACGUCAGAAAAUCUAAGAGUAAUUCUACUUUACCCUAAGAUUGAUAUCAACAAGACAAGGACAAUUUAGAAUUAUUACACGCCUCUUCUUAAUAGGAAAAAGAAAUAGAGAAGAAAGUCAGGCCAGGUCUAAUUUCUUUUCAAAGGCAAUACAACAUUACGAAAUCAAGCAUUCAUUCAUACAAAUAUUUCAUAGUCACCGGUUUGCUGAGUAGAAAAAUUUAGACAAAAACUUAAUAUUAUAUUGUUUAAGAGUUAACAAUUUAGAGCUUAAUCUCCUUGUACUUUGGAGUUAACAAUUUAGAGCUUAAUCUCCUUGUACUUUGGACUAAACUUGAACGUGAAAGGAAAUCCCAAAACCAUAUUGGGCAUGAAUUCACACUUAAUAUACCCAAUAAAAGAUGGCGACUGGUGAAAGGCAGUGGAGACUGGUGGAGAGAUUUGAGGAAUAGAAGCAGACGGAAAAGCAACAAAUUUUUGCCGAAAAACGGUCACUUUCAUGGUUAAUUUUGCUACUCUCCAAUUGUACUUGACCAAUUACAACAAUUUCAUGGAGUUUGAUACGUGAAAAGAAUUUUUUAUAAAUUUUAUUUUGAUCCAUAAUGUUAUCUUUACAUAUAUAAAACAUUUUACAAUUUUGAUUUUGGCGCAGCUAACUUUUGGUUAACAAAAAUGCUCAUGUUUAAAAAACCAGAAAUAAAACAAAACAAGAAACAAAAGAAAUAAGAGGGUAGCAUAGACAUUUUGGAUUUUUCCGUUAAUUUGGAUGAUUUCCACCCACGUUCUAAUUUAAUCCAAAACACAAAGGAAUUACGUAGAGGUUUUAAAUAAUCAGGGAGCUUCAUGAUCGAACCCCAAACCACGUGAUAGCAUACAAGAGUUCUAUUUCACUAUCGGUAGACAAAGACUUUCUAUGGUUGAUGUACCGUAGGAAAAAAUCUGCCUAUACAACGUGAUAGCAUUUUUUCAAAAACACAAGAUGGAAAAUUGCCCCCUUAAACGUGGAAAUUCAUGAUCUUUCCUCGAACAAAGAAUACUCACGCCUAUUCAAGAUGGAAAAUUGCCCCCUUAAACGUCUAUUUGUCAAUUCUUGAAAAAAGAAUACUCACGCCUAAAACACGGCCUCUUCAUCUGCAGAAUUCUAAAAAGUUACGUAAACUCUAUAAACAAGUUGAUAGGUACAAUCGUACCCAAGAUCAAGUACAGAUAGUUGUACAUUCACUGCUGCAAUAACUAAUCUGAUGACUUACAAACAUAUCAUGGUCAAUCGUUGAAUGGUAAUGAGUCUUUUGUUAUGCAUUAGUAUUAGUGUGUACACUCUAAUAGAUUGAUACUUAUACUCUUUAAAUUAUCAUAAUAAUACCCUUAAUUAACUUUAACUCUUAAAAAGAAUACGUGUUAAUACACGAGAGUGUGUAACCUGAAUUGUUACUUAUACAUUAGUGUGUAAUAGAUAGGGAUGGCAGUGAGGGCGAGUGCCCGCGGGGGGCUCUCGGGGCGGGGGCGGGGGAGAAUUUUUUCCCCCCGUUUAGAAACGGGGCAGGGGACGGGGGAGUAUACCCCCGCCCCAUCCCCCGCCCCGCCACCCGCAAAAAAAAUUAUAUAUAUAUAAUUAUAUAUAAUAUGUAAUUUAAUUAGUUAUAAACUUAUGAUAAUGAUAUUAUUAGUUAGAUGUAUUAUAUAAUGUAUAUUAGUGUAUGUAAUAUAAUUAAUAUUAUCAAUUAUACGAAUAAUUAGACAUGUCCACUAAUAGAGUUUAUUAAUUAGUUAUACUAAAUUUACUAAUACAUUUGUACUAAAUUUCUAAUUACACUUAAUAGAAUAACACUUUUUUCUAAAAAAAAAAGCACAAACACAAUAAUGAAUUAGUGAUUGUAUUUGUACCAAAAGUGAAAACUUAACUAUUUUAGUUGUAUUUAUUUCAUCAUGUUGGAUUGUAUUCAAAUAAUUUUUGUUUGAUUGUUUUUAUGAGUUUCAAUUGUAAAAUUAAAAUGAAUAAUAACUUGAUGAUGUGUUGAUAUUUUAGUACUUGAUUAUUUAUUGAUUUAACUAUAAUAAAAUUUUAUUUUAUUAAAAUUUAACUAUAAUAAAAUUUUAUUAACCAAACGAGUUAUUAAUCCCGCGGGGGCACCCACGGGGGAAGCGGGGCGGGGCGGGGGAGUGGGAGGCGGGGGACGGGGCGGGGGUGGGGGGAGUUGUAGGUAGCGGGGCGGGGGAUGGGGGAGGGGUCCCCCGCCCCAACCCCGCCAUCCCCCGCCCCGUUGCCAUCCCUAGUAAUAGACUGGCAAGCAUUGUGGUGGUCAUUGAGAACUUACUGGAGAAAUAGUCCUAUAAGCUGUUCAAUGAGCAAUCACAACUUGCUAAUUGGAUGACUAAUAUAGCUCUAGCUGUAAUGUUUUAAUUAAAUUACAUCACUAACGUUGGGAUGACUUUUUAACCAAAAAAAAAUGCCUUAGUUCAAGCUUUUCCCUUUAUUGUGCAUUUUUUAAAGCAUUUGAUAGGCACUGCAAAUCUGUCAUUUUGGACAUUUUAUUAUUGACUAACAAUGAAAGCCGUGACGUCUACCCAUAACCAACACAAGAUUAAAUUAAUAUUAGAAAAAAUAAUUGAGUAAUUGGAAAAAAAAAAAGAGACUCAUUUUCAUUGAAACCCACCGACAAACUAAACGUGUCCAUGGCUUUUGAAUAGUGCAUUCAACGUUUAAUUGUAUAGUCCAGUUCAUUGCAGAUUACAUGGAGUAAAGAUUGUGCUCUUUCCUUUUUCACCCCUUUUGGAAUCGAUACUGUGGAGAAUUGGGUUUUUCCCUUCUUUUUUUCUUUUCUUUCCUUCUGUGCUUUGCAAAACAUAGGUAAAAAUAUGAAAUCCGAAGCAUUCUUUAAUUGGGAUUAAGUAUUGUUGUUGAAAUUAAAAAGAAAAAAGAAAGAACAACAAAAUUCCCAAUCUGGGUUGAUUGUUGAGCUCUAGAUUGGUUGCAUCGUGCUUCCAUAGAAGCUCUCUUAGUGUGAUACACUGCUUUCAAUCAGUUUAACACGGGAAAAAAAAAAAAAGAGAUGAAAAGCAAAUUUGGUGGGGAUAAUUUCAGAAACCUCCCCUGAAGAUUUUGACUAUUCUACUGGUCUCCCUUCAGAUUUUAAAAAUUACACUAAUCUUCCUUGAAGUUAAUUAUCUUGUAACAUUUAAAUUCAAUCAAUAAUUUAAAAAAUGAUAUUAUGAGAGAGAAAAUAAUGAUUUUAUCAUUGCCCCCCAUCUUACUACAUUAUUUAAUUAAUUUAAUAGCAACCCACACAUUAAAGAAAAAUAUUAAAAUUUGUUGUUUAUCAUUAAAGAUCAAAUCGCUUAUAACAUCAAAUAAUAGUAUAUUAUUUAUAUUUUUCACUCAAUAUAAUAUCCAAAUUACUCUUUUCAAUUACAUACCCAUUGUUAGACAAUCAACAACAAAUAACCAAAAAAUUUGCAACCAAAAUAUUACAAAAAAAUAAACUUUAACAUAUAAAUAUUCUUAUCAACAUAUUAAAGUUAGUUACUGAAAUUUUUAUGCUGUUAAACUUCACUCUUUUUGGUUACAGAUUUUUUUGAUUAUUUGUUAUUAAUUAUGUUUGAUGAUGGAUUUAUAAUUGAAAAGAACAAUUUGAAACUUACAUUAAGUAAAAUAUAUAGAGUGAUAUACUAUUUUUUAUAACAUAUGUGAUUCAAUCCUUCUUGAUAGGAUUGGUAAUAGAGGUAGAGGGGGGAGCCGGCUGCAUCCGGUCUACUUUUCAUAGAUAGUACAAUAUUGCGAAAUCGAUCGCAUUCACGCAAUAUUAUUUCCAAGUCAUUGCAUGGCUAAGCUGCAAAAAAAGUACGAACACAUGUUAUUAUAUAGCUUACGAUUCAAAACUUUAGAGCAUAACCCUCCACCUAACACAAUUGAAUAAUGAACAUUCACGUUUGUCAAAUCUGUCAAAGCACAGUUUGAGGACAACCCAUUCCAACCUGCAAAAGAUUUUUUACUUUUCUAAAGUUGUUGAGAGCUGUAAAAAGACUUACCAUGCUUGCAUCCUCCGAGCCUUGGGAGUUAAAAAUGAAGGCACUGAGUGCUAUAAAAAGGGGAAUAGAGGCUGCCUAGAAGCAUAUCAGCCUAAAACAAGAAUUUGUAGUUAAGAUGGGAAGCAAAGCAAAAGCAAUGGGGUCUGGGCUGACUCCUCUUCUUGCCACUGUUUUAGUGGUGUUUGUUGCUCUUGGCUUGCCCUCACAAACUGCAGCUGAUGAUCACUACAAGUAUUCAUCUCCUCCUCCUCCUUACCACUAUCCCUCACCACCACCACCAGUGCAUAUACCUCCACCUCAUCCUGUUUACAAGUACAAAUCUCCACCACACCCCCAGUACAAGUAUAAGUCACCACCACCACCUCCUCAUCCGGUAUACAGUCUCCUCCGCCACCACACACCCAGUUUACAAGUACAAGUCACCACCACCACCUCCUCAUCCGGUACCACACCCAGUUUACAAGUAUAAGUCUCCUCCGCCACCAGUUUACAAAUACAAGUCUCCUCCACCACCACCUCCAGUGUACAAAUACAAGUCUCCACCACCACCAGUUUACCACUACAAGUCUCCACCACAGUUUACAAAUACAAGUCUCCACCACCACCCCCAGUUUACAAAUACAAGUCUCCACCACCACCAGUUUACCACUACAAGUCACCACCACCUCCUCCCCCAGUUUACAAAUACAAGUCUCCACCACCUCCUCACCACUACUAAGCAAUUGCUUCUGAGGUAAUAACACUUGUUCAAUAUACCCACUUCUGCAUGAUAAAGCAUAUCUCUAUCAACACAAACUGUCAUGUCUAUCAUGCUAAGUGCCUUCACUUCAUCCACCAAAAUGACUGCUAGAAAAUUUUUUUUAUGUUACCAAAGAAAGGCAUCAUUUUUUCCCUCUGUUAUCAAGAACUUGUACAGUAUAUAGAUUAAAGAGUAUUUUUUUAACUAGCUUAUCAACUGAGAAAUGCAUAUAGCUGAUAGCCAGCUGAAUAUUUGCAGGCAAAGGAGAAGGAAACCAGUGUUUGAGACCUUCUUGAAGAUGUAGAAGCAUAAGAAUUAAAGCCCAAUGUGAAGAUGAUGAUUUCAAGUUUUUCUACGUUACCAUUUCUUUAUCUAAAUUGGUUGUAGCGCCUUAGUUCCUUUGUUUAUGGGAUUUGUAUCGUUUUACGUACCAUGCAGUACAUGUCAUGUUUGUAAGGUUUUCUAUCCUGCCGGCAAACCGCAGGUUCCAUGUAAUAAAUCAAUACUAUUUAUAUUACGACACUUUUCUCUGUUUCUCUUAUAUUUUGUCGUCUUUAAUAUUCUUAAUCAUAUUUUUAACAAAAAUAUUCAAACACUUAGGCAAUCUGGUCUAAUGCUAAUUGUAUGUUUUACUUUUCUUUUUCACCUGCUCCCCUUUUCAACUCAAAAGGAUGCAAUAGUUUGUGAUCACUGUUUAAGACGGAAGCAUGAUACUAAUGAAUAUCUCAUUGAAACUCAAGGAAACUAACAUUGCGAAAAGUGUAAAUCUUGAUUUGAUGCAACUAUUUAUUCGUGGAAUCUAUAGUUACAAAACUCAAAUUCUGACUGCGCCAUUGAUAAAUUAUUAAUGACGCUAUCAUCAUUAUUUAUCCCUAACUAGUUUCGACUACAACUGAACCCAAUAUUUUCCCCAUGAUAAAAGUUUUUGACUAUUUUACUGGCCUCUCUUCAAAUUUUAAAAAUUACACUAAUCUUCAUUGAGAUUAAUUAUCUUGUAACAUUUAAGUCCAAUUAAUAAUUAAAAAAUGAUAUUAUGAGAGAGAAAAUAAUAUAAUUUUAUCAUUGCCCCCCAUCUUGCUAUAUUAUUUAAUUAAUUUAAUAGCAACCCACACAUUAAAGAAAAAUACUAAAAUUUGCUGCUUUUCAUUAAAGAUCAAAUUGCAUAUGCCAUAAAACAUAGUAUAUCAUUCUAUAUGUUUCACUUAAUGUAAGAUCCCAAUUGUUCUUUUCAAUUACAAACCCAUUGUCAAUAACAAAUAACCAAAAAAUUUGCAACCAAAAUAUUACAAAAAAAAACUUCAACAUCAUAAAUAUUCUUACCACCUCUAGUGCAUUCACCCUCAUAAAAUAAUUCAAGACCCUACUGUCAUAAAAUGACUGAUCAACUCCCGUAAACCUAAUUUGACAACAUUUAAAUGGAGAACUUUAGCUAAAAGAAUUAUGGUCAAGCUAAAGAAAAAACCAGUUAUUUUCCAACAUAUGCAAUCAUUGAUCAGGGAAAAAAAAAAGAGCAAAAAGACAUCUUCAAUCAUUUAAUAGCUUACAGGGCAAAUUAACCCCUAAGCGAAAACUGGUUGCUCUAGAAUCAAAAUUUUACUUUAGUUACCCAGGCAACUUUUUUGUUGCUUUUUUUUUUUUUUUCCUUUAGUUUUGCCCCCUCUGUCAAGCUUAUAAAAUUAUUAAGAUAAUAAAAGUGCCUUGAAUAGUAUUAAUAUAUCCAUUGACUUGAGCUGUCGUCAGUUUGCGAUUCCAUGAGGCCUUUUCAAAGUACUCAGAAAAUGGGGAGUCAUGAAAUCCAUUUGUUCUAUUCAUUGCUAAGAUGCUUUUCUCUAUAAAGAGACUUCCUAACGAAAAUACUUUGUAGAUUUCUUUACUCCAAGUGGUGCAUGGAAAAUUAAUAUUUUCAAUUAUCAAAUAAAAUUCCCUUUUUUCGGCGUAGAUUUCAUCCAUCCAGCUGUUAACACAUUCUAUAAAUCCGAAUUGACUAAUCUUUUCGUUUCCAUUUUCCAACUUGCGAAUACGGCAUAUAGUGUCUGCUAAACACUAUAUAUUCUCUGCCAAAUAUGAAUACAUAUCACUUUUCUGAGCAAGUGCAGAGUCAUUAUCAUUUUUAUUCCCACCUAACAAAUUAGGGAUAAAAAAGUUAAUAAUCUUUACAUGCUAUCAGGUCACAAGUUAAUAAUCUUUUAAAGAACAUGUUAAAUUAAUUUAUUGGUAUGAAUAGUAGUCAAAGAAGUAUGUUAAAGUUAGUAAUCUUUAAAAUAAUAUGUUAAAAUCAUUCGUACAAAUUAGUCAGAGAAGUAGCAUAAACACCGCGAUGCAAUUAAUACUUUCAAUCUCAAGGUCUCUAUUAUGGAAAUUUGCAUCGGUCAAUAUACACUUGGCAUAAUAUAAUCUCCCAACUCAUUUCUUUACAAAUGCACCUUUAAUCACCACCAAAAGGUGUGGACAUGAUCUUUACCCUAGAAAACUAUUCACCGACAGGCAAAUUGACGUCAGAAAUACUGAGGAAUUCUAGUUUCCUUCGGGUUCAUGCCAUGUUGUAUCCUUCAACUGUAACUCGAUUUCUAAGCUGUAAUUUGUGACAUAAUAGUCCUUAAACUAUGAAACCCUUCUUACUUAAUUACAAUGGUUAAUACAAUGCCCGUGACUAGACAAGUAUGAAGCAACCAUAACAGAAAAAAAAUCCAAAAUUAGAGAAAAGAAAGAAGUUUCGCGACCACCACCAGUUUACAAGUCACCUCCACCACCUCCUCCAGUUUACAAGUCACCUCCACCACCUUACCAUUAUUCCUCACCACCACCUCCAGUGCAUUCACCCCCACCACCACCAGUUUACAAGUCUCCGCCACCACCUUACCAUUAUUCCUCACCACCACCUCCUGUGCAUGCACCUCCACCACCAAUUUACAAGUCACCUCCUCCAGUUUACAAGUCUCCACCACCACCUUACGAUUAUUCCUCACCACCACCUCCAGUGCAUUCACCCCCACCACCACCAAUUUAUAAGUCUCCCCCACCGCCUCCCCCAGUAUAUAAGUCACCACCACCACCUCCUCCAGUAUACAAAUCACCUCCACCACCUCCUCCAGUUGACAAAUCUCCACCACCACCAAUUUAUAAAUACAAGUCUCCUCCACUACCUCCUCCAGUGUACAAGUCAUCACCACCACCUGCUUACAAGUCUCCACCUCCUCCAGUUUACAGUUCCCCACCACCACCAAUCUACAAGUCUCCACCUCCACCCUACCAUUACUACUACAAUUCUCCUCCUCCUCCUCGUCACUACUAAGCAAUUGUAUCCAAGUUUUUGAGGUAAUAACGCUUAACCAAUAAAUUAACUUUCGCAUGAUAAACCUUAUCUCUAUCAAGACAAACUGCCAUGUGUAUCAUGCCAAAUACGUACACCUAGAUCCAUGAAAAUGAAUGGUGAGGAGGGCCAUUUAGGCUCGGAGCGCCCUAGGCCUAGUUCCCCACCAUUUCCUGAAGUGCCGCCUCGGGUAUUAUCCUGGAAGGCGAUCGCGGCCCAUUUACCACCUCGGCUACAAUGUCAGGUCGUAACACCGAGGUGGACAUUGAAUGACAACUACGAAAAGGGGAGAUGUGAUCUCUGACACCUGAGCAAAGGCUGCUCUGACCCGCCGCCUGAAUCUGACAGAAUGUCCCAUCACGUCUCUUCAUGGAGACCGGUCAAGUCCACCUGAUCCACUGACUAUCUCAGAUCUUUUGGGACCCGUGCAAACAUCUCCUCUCUCCUAUCAGUCCCCUAUAAAUACACGAUACUUCUACUGAAAAAGGAGAUGACCAAUUUCUGGUAAAACACACUCCACUCAUUAUUUACUUCUCUAUAUCCGAACUGACUUAAGCUUCGGAGUUAUACCGGGGGAUCCAGCCCCUUUCUUAUCCAAGCAGGUGACUUCGUCCAAGAGAGUUGCCCAAGGUAAAGAUAUUCUUCCAAUUGAGGUGACUCACUCCUGCGGGUCGAAAAUCACCUCUUCAAUUGGCGCCGUCUGUGGGAACCGCAAAGAUAUUAGAAGAUGAAGCCUGCGCGUUCUAGAAGCAGAAAAGCUCUCACUAUCGAGGCUGGGCAAAGCAAUGCAGCUCAACAAGAAAAUAUUUCUGAAGGGCAGGAGUCCCCAAGGACUCAGCCCGCAAACGAAAAAGCCAUAACCCGUAUGGCCGAGUUUGUGACCGAGAACCCCAACAUCUUUGAAGAGUUGGGAAGAUACCUGAAGAGGCAAGGCAAACAAAAGGCCGAGUCCUCUAAAAGGAUGUCAGAUGGGUCUCUUGAGGACUCAUCUGAGGAGGAGUCGGAUGGAAGGCACUUAAGCCGAAGUGCCUCAAAGCGAGCAUUUUCUAAGGCCACUUCUAAGGUAGCCUCCCUGACCAAGGCGUUUUCCCGAGGGCUCUUGGGCCGACGACCCGAGGAAGAACCUCGGCCCUUGGGAAUACCCGGGGUGGACUGCAUGAGGGCUCCACCGUUCACGGAUGAUAUAAACGAGGAAAGGCUUCCUCCCAAUUUUAAGCUCCCCGCAGUACAAUCUUACGAUGGCCGAGGUGAUCCCGAGAAUCACAUCCAUACCUUCAUCUCGGCCUUCCAAAUAUACUGCAUCCCAGACCCUGUCAUAUGUCGGGCCUUUCCAGUAUUCCUCAGAGGAACUGCUCGAAAAUGGUUCUGAGCUCUAGAACCUAGGAGCAUUUCGACCCUGGGUGAAUUAGUGGAGAAGUUUCUCCACCGAUUUGUCUCCUCCCGACCUACGACUAGGACCUCGGCUUACCUGCUCACCGUGCAGCAGAACCCGGGAGAGUCACUCCGGUCGUACGUCCGGAGGUUCCAUGAGGAAAGCGUUCAGAUACCUGACCCCAAUGAGCAGGUAACCCUCGCUGCCUUUACCCAUGGACUCGUUGCCGGGGAGUUCAAUACGGGGAUCCAUAAAAAAUACCCCCGCACACUGCAUGAAUUGUGGUUGAAGGUUGAAAAGGGCAUACAGGCCGAAGACCUCCAUCGCAUGAAGAAAGAGGUCCAAGCCACCCGUCCAAGGGCUGAGCCCAGAAAGGGAAAAGACGCUGGCCGAACUGAAGUAGGGUCGGGAAGUGGCUUCCGAAGUCCUGGCCGAGACCGCCGCAGCGUGUUCGACAGGAUAUCCAAGGGGAAGUCACCUAUUCCCGAGUCCGAGUUGACUCCUUUAAAUACUACCCGAUCUCACGUGUUGUCCGUGAUGGAACAAAACAACCUCGGCAAGGGCCCGCCGAGGAUGUUUGGAAGCAGAGACAAGAGGAACUCGAACCUCUACUGCUUGUAUCAUCGUGACAUUGGUCACGAAACUGAGGAUUGCAACGAUCUCAAGAAGGAGAUCGAGAACCUCAUUAGACGGGGACACUUGAAACAGUUCAUCCGCAGAGGUGGAGGUCACCAACGUGACGAAAACCGGCAUGACAAAUGAGGUGACCAACGCCGAGAUGAGCGGCGGAGCUCCAGAAGCAGUUGCCGACCUCCUGAGGAUCCCAGGGAGACGAAAAGGCCUCCCCCAGACGGAUCUUCGGGACAUGGGCCAACCAUUGCCCGGGUCAUUAACACCAUUGCCGGAGGUCCGACGGGAGGGGACAGUCAGAACUCCCGGAAGAGAACCUAUAAGCAGGCUAACCCGGAUCAGGCCGAGUCGAGUUCUCGCCUGUCCGAGGUGAUCACCUACGGGCUCAGUGAUCCCAUCCCAGCUGCAUCCAGCAGUCAUGAAACCUUGGUGAUUGAAGUCCUCACCAAUAACUACAUUGUGAAAAGGUCUACAUAGACCCGGGAAGUUCAGUUGACGUCAUGUACCUCCGUACCUUUGAGAGCCUUAAAAUGGCUAAGGGGUGCAUGACCCCGCUGAGAACCCCUCUUGUAGGGUUCGGGGGACACGUGGUGCACCCCGAAGGGAUGGUGACUCUGACAGUGACCAUAGGGCAUCACUCUCGCUGUAGAACCGUCCCUGUCAAUUUUGUGGUGGUUAAGGCUGACUCCCCAUACAACCUACUUUUAGGUCGGCCUACGCUCAAUGCCUUGCGGGCGGUCUACUCCACCUACCACCUGAGCUUCAAGUUUCCUACCCCAGCAGGGGUGGCCGAGGUCAGCAGCGACGUCUGUGCUGUCCGGGAGUGCUACCUCGCCACCCUACAAGCAGCCUCCCCGUCUACCUCCGGUGCGAGGUCCGAGAAGAGGUCAAAUAUCCUCUCAAUAGAUAGCAUCGAUCCUCAGUGAGCUGAGAAGGUCCCGAGGCUGGAGACUGGGGAUGAGGUGGAAGAGAUUCCCCUGGACCCCACGAAACCUGAUCAGACAGUUCGCGUUGGUACCCGAUUGCCCGGUCCUAUCCGAAGAGGUAUGAUGGACCUCCUCAGGGAAUACCGGGACGUCUUUGCUUGGGCCGCCGAAGAGGUCCAAGGAGUCCCGCACCAUCUCAUGAUGCAUGACUGAACGUCGACCCCCAAGUCCGUCCGGUCAAACAGAAGAGAAGGCACAUCGGCCCUGAGCGCAGCCAAGCUGUUGGUGAGGAAGUGGACAAGCUUUUACCCGCUAAAAUAAUCCGAAAAGUCCAAUACCCGAUCUGGUUGUCUAACUCGGUCAUGGUCAAGAAGGAUACGGGGGCUUGGAGAAUGUGCGUCGAUUUUACCGACCUCAACAAAGCCUGCUCCAAGGAUUGCUACCCCUUGCCCAAAGUCGAUACUUUGGUAGACUCAGCAAUGGGCUACGAGAUCCUCUGUUUCUGGGAUGCAUUCAAAGGCUAUCACCAAAUUGGGAUGAGUCAAGAAAACCAGGAGAAAACGGCCUUCUACACCGACCGCGGCACGUACUGUUAUACUACCAUGCCAUUCGGGUUGAAGAAUGCCGGAGCCACUUAUCAACGCUUGGUCAACCAAGCAUUCAAGUCUCAAAUCGGCCGGAAUGUUGAGGCCUAUGUAGAUGACAUCCUCCUCAAAAGCCAGACGAACUCCACCUUCCUGGCCGACUUGAAGGAGGUCCUUGACAUCCUGCGGAAGGUGAAAAUGAUGCUGAACCCCAAGAAAUGUGUUUUUGGGGUCACCUCGGGGAAAUUUCUAGGUUACCUCGUCUCAAGGCGAGGUAUCGAAGCAAAUCCGGAUAAGGUGCGAGCCAUCCAGGAGAUGUCUCCACCCCGGUGCGUCCGCGAUGUCCAAAGGCUGACAGGGCGAUUAGCCGCCCUGAAUCGGUUCUUAUCGCAGUCGGCAGCUAAAGCACUGCCCUUUUUCAAAGUGUUGAAGAAAGCUGACCAUUUCUCCUGGACGGAAGAGUGUCAACAGGCGUUUGAGCAGUUGAAGGAUUACCUUCACUACCUUCCAACGCUCACCUCACCUCGUCCGGGGGACAAAUUAAUCUUAUACCUUUCUGCUGCGGCCGAAGCGGUGAGUGCCGUGCUGAUAAGGAAGGAAGGGGUCCAAAUGCCCGUCUACUACGUUAGCCGAGUCCUCCGAGGUCCAGAGACCAGGUACACACAAGCAGAGAAACUUGUGCUAGCCCUGAUCCACGCCGCCCGCAGACUCAAGCCCUACUUCCUAGCUCACCACGUCUGCUUGAGGACUGAUCAACCACUUCGGCAGAUUUUGACACGACCAGAGGUUUCGGGACGUCUUACCAAAUGGGCCAUUGAGCUGGGGGAGUACGACCUAACUUAUGAGCCUCGCACAGCGAUCAAGGCCCAGGCUCUCGCAGACUUCGUAGCCGAGCUCACCUUUGACGAGGUGCAAGGAUCCGUCCCGGCUGCCACAUCGGCCACAGUUGAUGUGGCCACCACUGGGCUCCAGCGGUGGAUCCUACACGUGGACGGUUCGUCAACAGUGAGGGUAGUGGAGCAGGCUUGCUCCUCGAAGACCCCCAAGGAGAAAUAUGCUAAUAUGCCUUAAGAUUUGACUUCGCUGCUUCAAACAAUGAAGCUGAAUACGAAGCCGUCAUUGCUGGACUGCAGCUAGCUCGCAAGCUCGGGGCCGCACACAUCUUGGUUUAUAGUGAUUCCCAACUCGUCGUGUGCCAGAUAUUAGGUGAGUACGAAGCCAGGGACGAGGUGAUGCAUCGUUACCUCUCCAAGGUCCUCCAGUUGGCGACUCACUUCGAGUCUUUUGAAAUUCAAAGAAUACCGCUAUCGAAAAACAGAAGGGCUGACGCCCUCUCCCGGCUUGCCUCAACCUCUUUCUCUGACCUGAACAAGACGGUUCUCGUUGAAGUUCUAGCCGAACCAGGAUAUGUAGCCGAGGUAGUAUACCCCGUCUACCCUGGGGACACCUGGAUGGGUCCCCUGACUCGAUUUUUCAGCCAGGGUGAGCUCCCCGAAGACCGAGCUGAGUCACGGAAGCUCCAACGAAAAGCAGCACGGUACAUUCUCCGACAAGGCCUUUUAUACAAAAGGUCUUACCUCGGCCCUUAGUUGCGAUGUAUCACGCCCGAGGAAGGCCAGAGAAUCCUCCAAGACAUACAUGAGGGGCUCUGUGGUGCUCACGUCGGCUACAGAAUGCUGGUAAAAAAGGCUUUGUUACUUGGGUAUUUUUGGCCCACUAUGAGGAUAGAUGCCCAGGUCAUGGUCCUUUGCUGCCCCUCCUGCCAGCAUCACGCUCCUGAGCACCACCAGCCGACCAAUUUAAUGAUCCCUAUCACCUCGUCAUGGCCAUUUGAGCAAUGGGGAACGGACAUAAUUGGCCCCUUUCCCAGAGCUCCAGGCAAUUAUACCUACGUGGUGGUAGCAGUGGACUACUUCACCAAAUGGGUCGAAGCUGAACCCCUAAAAAAUAUCACUGGUGCGGCAGUCCAGAAAUUCUUCUGGAAGAAUGUGGUUUGCCGCUUCGGCCUACCCCGGGUGAUCAUCUCGGAUAAUGGCCGACAGUUCGCCGAUAAUCCUUUCAAGGCCUGGUGUGAGAACCUCGGGGUCAAACAGCAUUUCACUUCGGUGGGACACCCCCAAGCCAACGGACAAGCCGAAAACUUCAAUCGCACGCUCCUCCAUGGCCUCAAGACCAGGCUCCACCAGGCUGGAUCGUUUUGGAUGGAAGAGCUCCCCAGUGUGCUGUGGUCCUACCGAACUACGCCGAGAUCAGCAACCCAGGAAACCCCGUUUUCCUUAACCUACGGGUCAGAAGCUGUUGUUCCAGCCGAAUUCAUCACCCCGAGUCCACGAAUGGCCGCAUAUGCUGCCGAAGUCAAUGAAGAAGAACGGCGAGUUGACCUCGACCUCGUCGAAGAGAAGCGUGAUAUGGCCGCGGCCAAAGUUGCUGUUUACAAAAAUAUCGUAGCUGGCUACUACAACGCUCGGGUUAAACAUUUGCGGUUCAGUCCGGGAGACCUGGUGCUCAGGAAGAACUCAGUCAGCCGGGCUGAACCUCAGGGUAAACUAACCCCCAAGUGGGAGGGACCAUACCGUGUUGUUGAGUCCAGCCAAAAUGGAUAUUGUAAAUUGGCAUACCGAGAUGGGUCUCUGAGUGCCCCGAACUUGGCAUGCUGAAAAUCUUAAGUUGUACUACCCUUGAGGGUAUGUGCUUUUAAUCUUGAGUUAUUUCACACUUAUUUUCAUUUCAUUAUAAGUGAAAAAUAAGGGGACAAAGUAGCAGUAAAGAGGAAAACCGAAUUUAAUUAAAAAGAAAGCAAGAAUAUGAACUCAAUUCCAUUGAAUUACAUAAAAGUAGAAAGCCGAGGUCACCUUUAAUUAGGAAGAAAGCAAGAAUAUAAACUCAAUUCCAUUGAAUUACAUAAAAGUAGAAAGCCGAGGUCACCUUUGACCUCGGCCUACAAUGACAAAAAAAAAAACAAGUGCCUCUAGGCACUCCCUACCCUGACAUCCUGGCCCCCCGUGGUCGCGCCACCCGUUUCGGCACCCUGUCCACCCUCAGCUCCUCCACCGGCCUGGUCGUCUUCAGUACCAUCUAGUUCAAACUCCUGGAGCCAUUUGUUGAAUUCGGCUCGGACUUCGGUUAGGUCUUUCUCAGUCCGGAUGCCCUCAGCCAUGCUGUCGCAUAGCUCCUUGGCAUCCUCGUUAUAGUGCGAAGUGCUCUGAAGGGACUCCAGUUGUUCAGAGGGAAGAAAGGAUGCCGCGUCAUUAAUAGCCGACGUGUACCCGAACAUGAAGCUUGGCCGGGUGAGCUCGCCGAGGUCACGGAUGAAGGACUCUGACGUCCGGAAGGCUUCCACAGCAGUGACCCCGGCCUUGUCCAUGGCCUCCCUGUUUGACUGUUCUUCUUGGGCCCUCCUUUUUUUCUCCUCAUCAAGAGCAGUCACCAGGGAAUUGUUCGCGACCUCGGCCCUUUUGUUAGCCGCCUUGGCCUUGUCACGCUCCAACUCGGUUGCCUUCAGUUUUUCUUCCAACUCGGCAAUUCUCUUCUGGAGCUCGGCAGGAGGCUCAUAGUUUUCCAUGAACUUUCCAUACCGUUGAAUCAUCUCGACAAAAAAAGCCGUGGUAGAGGCCCAUGACACCGAGGCGCUCUGCAUCAACUCCCCUGCGGAGAGCUUCCUAGCAUAAGUGCUAUCUCGUGGCAGCACUGAAUGCACCAAGAGCUCCUGAGCGACCAAAGGGUUCUUGCAGCGAUCGUUGAAAUUAAUCUCCCACUCUGGACACCAGUGUGAUCCGGGGUGUCUCUUGUCCUCCUCAGCUGCCUUGAAAGGCACAUGAUGGAGUUUGAACAAAGAUGACCCCGUGACGGGGUUCUCCGGAAAUAUGGUCACACCCUGACCCCGGGGGGGAGUGGCAAUCGUGACCCAGCGAGAAGGGAUUCCCACCGGAAUUGCCGAGGCUCGGGAACCUCCCGGAGUGGCCGAGGUGUGCGAGCCCUCGCCCACGAUCACCACGGCAGGCUCGCGGUCGCCCGACGCCGCGGUGGUUUUCUUAGCCGGCCUGGAAGAGGACCCUGCAGUGUCCUUGCGCUUUUUGGGAGCUCUUUUGACCACCUCGACAUCUCCCGAGGUUAUCAGGUCGAAAAUCUUCGUCACUGCAAAGUAGGAGACGAAGUCAGUUAGAAUUCAAGAGGGAUAAACUAAAAGGGAAGAAAUGGAAAAAUACAAAGUCUGUGAAGCCUAGUCGAGAGUAAGACAGGCUGGUCAGAGCUCGUCAAGGCUCAACUGAUCCCGCCUUCCACGAGCACCACUUCGGGAAAAUCCCAGCAGUUUAUCCUGAGGCCCGACCCCGUUAACUUCUGGAAGUUACGCUCUUCUAACUUCCCUGGAGAUAUCUCCUUGAUCGAGGUGGGAGGCCUCCACCAGAAUCCGCGAGGGAAGUCAUCGGCCGAGACGAAGAAGAAGUUUUGCUUCCACUCCUUUAUUGAGUUCGGAGCAUCAACCACCAACUUCGGAACUUUGUUUCCGAAGUAGAACCAUCCUUUUUCACUUCUGCUGUUCUUGAGUGAGUAACAGCGGCGAAAGAGGUUGACCUAAGGUUGUAUCUCCUGAUGUCGGCAAAGUAGCUGGAAGCCAACGAGAAUGCGAAUAGCGUUAGGGGUGAGUUGAGUGAUUCUCACCCCCCAGUACCUCAGGCAGUCCCGAAGAAACCUCGUCGUGGGCACUCUGAGUCCGGCCUCCAGCUGUUCCUGAUAGAUAGUCACCUUGCCCUUUGGUGGCAGUGCGGCUGACUGAUGCGGUUGGGGUAUGUAAAUACUAUAAUCCCUUCUCCAGGGAUACCUGCGGACCACCUCGGCUAUUGAGGCUUGUCCCAUACCACUACUGAAGAACGGCAUCUGGCCGUAGUCGAGAGUUGCCACGUUUGGAGGAGUGGAAGGUUCUUGUACUCCCUCGUCUCUAGGGAUCUCAAUCCCGAGGUCAUCGUUGUAUAGGACCUCGGGCUGGACCUCGAUCUCCUCGGGCUGCACCUCAACCGCCUCAGCUCGGCGUGAUGCCUCGGCACCUCCACCCUCAGCUUGGUGAGAUGCCUCAGCACCUCCGCCCUCGGACGCGGUCCUUUCCUGGGAGGGGUCAGGCCUCUCUGCCUCAGUGAGGUCAGGUCUCACUGUCUCUUUGUGCGUACGAGCUGUUCUAGCCAUUGUAUCAGAAGGGGAAGAAGUGAACUUACUUAGAAUCUGCGACUGGAAGAAGAUGCCGAAGUAGACGUGGUUUAGAAAGGUUGCCGAAGUGAAAAGAGAAAGAAACAGAGUUCUGGGGUGAUUCUUGAUUUUUGGUGAAGAGUAAAACGGUGAAAAAAGACCACUAUUUAUAGGCCACCAGGGUGAAACCCAAGAGACGGCACCCUCUCUCUUCAUUAAUGGGAGGACUGUUCGUCUGCCAACACAGCUGACAGCCGUCCCUUCAGUUAUCACUCAGUCCCAUCUAUGCGGUCAUGACGUGUCCGUGUUCCGUGUUUUAUACGCUUCUCAGCUUCGGGAAGUAACGACCACGGCGGAUGCCCAUCUCGCCCUUCUCAAAGCUUGGGGGGCUUAGUGAGGAGGGCCAUUUAGGCUCGGAGCGCCCGAGGCCUAGUUCCCCAUCAUUUCCUGAAGUGCCGCCUCGGGUAUUAUCCUGGAAGGCGAUCGCGGCCCAUUUACCACCUCGGCUACAAUGUCAAGUCGUAACACCGAGGUGGACAUUGAAUGACAACUACGAAAAGGGGAGAUGUGAUCUCUGACACCUGAGCAAAGGCUGCUCUGACCCGCCGCCUGAAUCUGACAGAAUGUCCCAUCACGUCUCUUCAUGGAGACCGGUCAAGUCCACCUGAUCCACUGACUAUCUCAGAUCUUUUGGGACCCGUGCAAACAUCUCCUCUCUCCUAUCGGUCCCCUAUAAAUACACAAUAUUUCUACUGAAAAAGGGGAUGACCAAUUUCUGGUAAAACACACUCCACUCAUUACUUACUUCUCUAUAUCCGAACUGACUUAAGUUUCGGAGUUAUACCGGGGGAUCCAGCCCCUUUUCUUAUUCAAGCAGGUGACUUCGUCCAAGAGAGUUGCCCAAGGUAAAGAUAUUCUUCGAAUUGAGGUGACUCACUCCUGCGGGUCGAAAAUCACCUCUUCAAAUGGUAGAAAGUUUUCUUAAGAACCAAGAACAGCAUUAGUAUUCCCUCUGCUUCCAAAAACUUGUGUAUUAAAUAGAUUAAUGAAUUGUUUAACAUGCUCAUCUACUUGAAAAUGCACAAUACCCAUAACCCACUGAAAUUUUUGCAGGAAAAGGGAAAGAGAAUCUGUGUUUGAGAGCUUCAUGAAGAUGUUGAAGAAUAAGAAUAAAAGCCCAAUGCGAGGAUGUUUUCAAGUUUUUCUAUGUCCACUUUAAUUUGUAAAUUGAAUUUUACAACUCAAUUAAUUCCUUGUUUGUGAGGUACGUAUUGUUUUACGUACCAUGCCGUACAUGUUUGUAAGGAUUUCUAUCCUAUUGGCAAAAGUCGGUUCCAUACAAUUAAUCAAUUCAUUUCACUUCUAUUGGCUCUACUAUUUAUGCAUGUUACGACACUCUUUCCCUUAUAUUUUGCCUUUAAUAUUAUGAGUCAAUAGUAAUAAUGGGCCUUUUUCUUAAAAUUAUACUAUUAUACAUAGGUAGUUUGGUCUAACGCUAAAUUCAUGUUUGUCUUUCUUUUAUUCCCUUUACAUCUCAAAGUAUACUAUAGUUUGUAAUCAUUGUGGUGAUGAUAUUACCAGCUGGUACUUAUAGUUUAAGGCAGAGACAUGAUAUUAACAACUAUCUCAUUGAAACAUAAGUCAAAAUCAUGACAAGUGUGAGUCUUGGUUAAUGCACAAUUUGUUAGUGGAAUUUAUAUUUAUAAAACUCAAAAAAAAUUUUUGACAAUGCUAUUACUAAUUAAUUAAGGACUUCAUUGCUAUAAUUUAUCGCUUACUAGUUUAAACUAUAAAUGAUCUCAAUACUUUUCUCCAUGAUGUCGAUUUCUUUAGACUACGAAAGGGAAAAAUUAGUGACAUAUCCCUUACUGAUUACAACAUCAGCAAAAAUUAGUUAUAAACUUUUCCGGUGGUUUUAAAUCCCUCGGGCACUAAGGUUUUUUGCACAUCGAGUGAAUUAAGGAACAUAGGCAAUUCGUUCUGCAUACCAAGUCCUUGUUUAAGAUGCACGUACUAAAAUGCAUCCACUUCAUUAAUUUGGAAAAUUGCCAUAGUUUUUUUUAAGCAUUUUGAUUUUUUACAUGAUUCAAAAUUUUCUUAUUGGAUACAAUCACUUUGUGUCAAGAACACAUUUUCAAUCAUCUUUUUUAUCUUCUCAAUAAGAAAAUAAAAAUUUAUUCAUGCUUUUCUAACAUAUCCAAUCAUUGAUCUGAAAAAUAAAGAAUUAAAAAAAAAAGACAUUUUCAAUCAUUGCUUACAGGGCAACUUCCCCAUGUGAACCUCUUCAAACAAAGCCAAUAAUAUGAAGGAACAUCUAAAUACACUUUUGCCCUAAAGGCUGGUUGCCUUGGGGUCAAAAUUUAACCUUCGGGAGUAUAAUUACCCGCCAAAUUUAUUAUUUUUUAUGGGUAUAUAGUUCCAAUUUUGCCUCCUGUUAAGCUUAUAAAUAUAUUACGACCCAGAAAAUAAAGGAAUCUUGAAUAGUAACAUGUCCAUUGACUUGAGUUGUCAUCAAUUUGGCUACUUCGAUUCCAUGAGGCCAAUCCAAUUCACACUAGCUAGAGAAAAUGGUGAUAAAGGCACUUAGAAAUUUAUAUGUAAUAUUGAUUGGUAGUAACUGAUAAGUAUAUAUUUUACGUGUUUUAAAUAUGUUUUAUUAGUUAGUUUUGGUGUGUUUUAACUACUUUUAUAACUAAUUAACUAGGAAUCUAGUGAAAAUAUGCAUUUUGUGGUUUGAAGUGUGAAAAUUGUAUUUCUAUGGAUUUUAAUGGUGAAAACUUCAUGUUUUUGUAGGUUUAAUGAUUCAAUCAUCAAAUGACAUGAUUUGAGAAGAUAAUUAGAUGAUUGAUGAUGUUUUGAAGUGAUAAAAAGAGAAUACAAAGUGCAAGAGAGGAAAUGCAAUCAAGAAUAAAAGAAGAAAAUUUUUGUAGCUUUGACAUAUUGUGGUAUUUUGGCAAUAUAUUGAGCUACAAUGAUUGGAUUAAGGUGAUUCUUAAACCAUUUGAAGCUAAGAUAUAGAUCUACAUUUGGUAUGAAGGCAUCGAAACCCAUGUCAGUCAUUUUCCUUGUCAAAAUGUUGAAAUACAGAAGUGCAACUCUGUUCUCGAAAGCUAAAACAGAGCUCUGGCUAGUCGAGGGUAUUUUCAUCAUUUCUUAGUCCACAGAGCUCCAAAUGAGAUGAUUCUUAAGGCAUUAGAACCCUAACUCAAAGAGCUACAACUUUCAUAUUUUGUACAAGAGUUAGUUCGGCCUCCAUCAUUCAGAAAAUAGUAGUUGAAGUGGUGCCAAAUGCAUAGAAGUGAAAACGCGAGCUAUCAAUACUCGACCUGAAGUCGCGUAUUCCUGAGGUCAUGCAUUCUCUUCUAUUUUCUGCAACUUGCCCUGCUUUCACAUAAUUUUUUCAUCUCAAUUCCAACUAUCAAUUUCGGCUAUAUCUGAUCAAGAAAAGUGUGGAAAGUUUGAAAGACAACUCAUAGGAGUUUCAAGAGUCAAAAAUUACAAUUAGAAACAACUCAUUUGGCUCUUGAAUCCUCUAUAAAUAGAGGCCUUUGAAGAACAUUUUCACAACUUUGGAAGGUUAGAGAAACUCCACAAAAACAUAGUCUUCACUAGAAUUUCCUUAGUUCAUUAGUUAGGGUAGUAUAGUAUAGUUAGUGUAGCUUUUCCUUCUUGUAUUUAUAGUUAGGUUUGAAUGAAGAUUCAGGAGCAAAGAUAGAGAGGUUGAUCUCAUGUGACAAGGGUGAUAUCUCUUCUACUACUUUCUCUUUUGUAUUUGAUUUCAUAUUUAACUAUACUACAAAUUUGGCUUUGUUUUUUUUUUUUAUCAUGUUUAGUUAAAGUUUAUGCCUAGAGUAUGGAUGACCUUUCUAUAUCUUGUUUGUGAUAUUUAACUGGUUAUUUGAUGAUGUUAUUUUUGAGCAAGUUAUUUAUCACUUUUGCUUUUCUAAUCGUGAUUAACUGGCCAUUAGUUGUGAUUAUCUAAAAGUGUUAAGUUUGUAAUGAGAAUUGGAGUUUAACACUAGUUCAAGGAAGUGAUAAAUUUAGGGAGUUCACUCAUGAGAGUAGAGGAACACCUUUGUGACCUAAGUGACUUGUUUCAUAUAAUUUCAUAGAAAAAAUGAACUUGUAAUUAAUUUCAUAACCACGAGAGUAAGUAUGGUUUAGCUAUAUGUAUAGUUGAUUCACUACGAGAGUAGGUUUCACAUACAUUAGAAAAUUACAUCAUAACUAGUCAAGAUAAUAUCAUUCAUUUAAUCAGUAAUCUCAUUUGCAUGAGUAGUAAGGCAUUCCAUAUCUCUAGGAGGUUUUUAGUAUUAUUUUCAUUACUUUUAUGUUUAUGGUAGUCUAGAUAAUAAUGGAGUUCAAAAACUACUAGUAAUUGAAAAUUUUCCCUGUGGGAUCGACCUUUAAUACCCUAUACUCGCUCUCGACUCGUAUACUUGCGAAAAAUCACGUGUGCGGUAUUUAGAAUUUAUAAAUGUAAAACUUGACUGUAGAUGAACUAAUUGAUAUAUGUAUACCCCGCACUCGUCAGUAACCAGCUUGUAUUGAUCCCAUUAUUGUGGAUAAUUGUGCUCUUAUGAAAAAAAAUUAUAAAAAAAUUAGCAAAAUUUAUGAUAACAAAUUAAAUUUAUUCAUACAAAUCAGUGAAAGAAGUAGAAUUUUAAAGACCAUGAUGAAAUUAAUACUUUCAAGGGCUCUAUUAGGAAGACUUCACUUGUUGGUGAAACUACACUAGCACAGUUAUAUGCACAUUUACUGUUUUGGUAUCUAAUUUCCUUGCCUUAAGUUGGGUGCAGAUGUUUAUAUUACAAAUAGAUGGUAUCAUAAAAUUGUUGUAUUCACGUUUGUUCUUUUUUUUUCUUCCUUAAGUUUUUUUCUUUAUUCUCGUGACUUCAAAAAUACGAACUCAAGAAAUUGGCUGCUUAAUCAAUAUGUCAUACAGGCUUCGCUAGUGAGGUAUAACUUCACAACUAGAGUCAAUAGAAAUUAUCAAAUGAUUUUUUAACAUCCAAAUUAAGCAAUAAAUUUUGUUUUCAUUUUAUGACAUAUAAUAGUACUACUUCAUGAGAGAUUUUAUAGUUUCUUUUAGGUAUCAUACCUACAAGUGAUAUUUGUCAUUGGAUAGUGACAGAAGUGUUAAUGAUUGUAAGAUUAAAUAUUGUUAAAUAUUGAAAUUUAAACUAUUUAUCUUUAUUGAAAGAUACAAGUUAAAGAAUCGUUCAAGGGGGCAAUUUUCCAUCUUGUCUUUUUGAAAAAACGCUAUCACAUUGUAUAGGCAUGAUAGGUUCAAAUUUGUCAUUAAAUUUAUGAUUGAUUUCCCUUUUAUUCAAGCCAAAUAUUGUUUUAAUUAUCAAAUUCUACUUAUAUUUGGUUAAUUGUACUAAUUGUAGGGCGGUAGAGCAAAAGUUGCUAAAAAUAGGUGAUUUUCUGCAAAUUGGUUGUCAAGGCUGAAGGAUUUGGGAUUCGCAUGUUCAAGGCCUGUUUCCAAGUUUGAUUCAAACUCUGGACAGUUUUAGAGGAAGAUUUGGAAGAUUUGAAAUUUCAUUAUUAGUUUUAUGGUUGAAUUAGGAAUCUUGGAAUAAUUUCUUUUGUGAUUUAUUUUUCUAUUUAGGAGACUAGUUGUUAUUUAGUAGUAGACUUCAAUUAGAAAACAAAGAGAAAAAGAAGGCCGGAAUCCCGCUUGAUUAAUACCUUGGCCAGGGAACAAUCUCGGUGGGGAGGACGGCCACUUAGCCUCUCAAUUCAUCUUGCUUUUCGUUAGUUUGAGAGGAAAACCAAUUGCAACUAGAUUCAAUGGAGUCUGGCAGAAUUUCUUCUAGGAUGCGUAGCUAAAUCCUCAAUUUUUAGUCGAAGGUCAAUUUGAAAAUUCGGUUCCAAAUAUCUGUGAAAUCGAAUUAUUUUACUUAUUUCUUUUAUUUAUUGGUAUUCGCACGUUUUCUGAUUUAACUUUUUAUGAUUGUUUUGUUAUUUGAAUGUCAAGGGUCCGAUAUUCGAAUUAACUUAAUAAUCUACUGCCAAAUUAACCGGUUAAAUCCGUAAUUGUUUGAUUGAUUAAUAUCAGUGGCGACUAGCGUGAUUGGUCCCAUGUUAGGAAAACGUCUGAUCUAAUUUAAACAAACCGUCGUAGCGUGUUUGUUGAUUAGGGUUGGACUUUUCUAAUUCUUAAUUCAAUUGAGAAAUUAAAUCUCCCGGUCGUACCUAAGAUUAUUUUUUUGUUAGCGAAAUAGUUAAUGGUCGUACCUUGACUAUCGAAAAAGUAAGGAAGAGUUGAUUGUUUAUCGCGUGUACGACAACUAUAAUCAAUCUAUUAAUGAGUAAUUGAAUUAUCUUUGCAUCAGUAAUCAGUUGAAUGGACCGUGUCUGAAAAGUUGUACCUUUGGCUAGAGUCUUAUCUGUUGUUGAUUCAUUCAUAUCUAUCUUCAUGCGUUGUUUUAAUUUAGUUAAUUAGUUAUUUUUAUAAAAACCCCUCAUCUCUGGACUCUAAAAGAAAUAAAUUAUUUCUAGUUCCUGUGGAUUCGAUCCUACUCACCGCUAUAUACAAAAUUUGUAUUUUUUUGAAUAAAUAAUUAUUAUUACACAGGCUUGACACCUGUCAAGGCAAAAUUUCCUUAACUUCAUCAUCUGUAGACGUAAACUUUCUACGGGUGAUAUAAUAUAAGGAAAUUUUGCCUAUACGAUGUGAUAGCAUUUUUUCAAAAAAGACAAGAUGGAAAAUUGCUCCCUUGAACGGAAAAAAUCAUGAUCUUUCCUCAAACUAGUCUACUAGUCAAUUCUUUACAAAAGAAUACUCGCUCCUAAACAUAGCCUGUUCAUCUACACUGUCCCGCAGAAUUCUAGAAAGUUAGGCAAAACUAGACAAGUUGACAGGUAUAAUCAUACCCAAGAUCAGGAACAAGCAGUUGCACAUUUCAAAAUUCGCUGCUGCAACAGCUAAUUUGAUGACUUACAACACUACACGGUCAAACUUUGAAUGGCAAUGGAUCUUUUGUUGUACGUCAUGAUGUAAUUUUCAUGUUACAUACAUUAAUAGGUUGAUAUCUAUAUUCUUUAAAUUAUCAUGAUAAUACCCUUAAUUAGAUUUAACUGAUAAAAAGAACACGUGUUAAUAUACAAAAGUGUGUAACGUGAAUGUUACAUUACUGUAUUGCAGAAGACCUAUAGUCUCUUCAUAUCUCUUCCUGCACGUAUCAAUUCGUUUCCUCUAGAUAAUAAUCUCCCAACUCGUUUCUUUACAAAUGCACCUUUUAUGUUUUAUUACCUCCAAAAGCCUUUACAGGGUCUUUACCCUAAAAAUCAAUUCACCGACUCGCAUUUGAUGUCAGAAAUUCUUAAGACGAAUUCUACUUUACUCAAAGAUUGACUGUUAAUAAUGAGACAGCGACCAUUUUGUAUUAUUAGACCGUCCUUCUUGAUAGGUAAAAGAAAUAGAGAGGAAAGUGGGUCCGUAUAUGGUCUUUUAUUCAUAGAUAAUACAACAUUACGCCAUCGAGCAUUCACACAAUAUUUCAAAGUCAUAGCAUGCCUAAGGCCCUGUUUGAUAGCUCAAUUUCGUAAUUAAAUUUAAUAGAUUCAAAUUUUAACACAUUUAAAUCAUUUGAUAACAAAAAAUUGAAUAUUUAAAUUAAUUAAGUAACACUGAACUUUCUAAACAAAACUUGCUUUCAAAAUUAAGUGAUAAGUUAUUCACUUAUCUUUGAAUGUGAUAUGCACUCAAAUAUAUUAAAUUUAAUAAUUUAAUGGAUUCAGAUUUCAGAUUUCAGUUUUAUUACACACCCUAAGUUGCAAAAUAAUACCAAAACUUGUUAUUAUAUAGCUUGAGAUUCAAAAAUUUAGAGCAUAAUUCUCAACCUAACACAAUCGAAUAAUGAAUAUUCACGAUUGUUUCAAAGUACAAUUUGAGGACAACCCAUUCCAACGCGUACACGAUUUUUAACUUUUCUAAAGUUGUUGAGAGCUGUUAAAAGAGAUUUACCAUGUUUACAUCUUCCAAGUCUUGGAAGUGAAAAAUGAAGCCACUGAGUGCUAUAAAAAGGGGGCUAGAGGCUGCCUAGAAGCAUAUCAGCCUAAAACAAGAAUUUGUAGUAACAAUGGGGAGCAAAGCAAAAGCAACGGGGUCUAGGCUGACUCCUCUUCUUACCACUGUUUUAGUGGUAUUUGUCGCCCUUGGCUUGCCCUUGGAAACUGCAGCUGAUUAUUACAAGUAUUCAUCUCCUCCUCCUCCUCCUUACCACUAUUCUUCACCACCACCUCCAGUGUAUUCACCUCCACCAACCCCUGCUUAUAAGUUACCCCCACCAUCUCCUCCAGUUUACAAGUCCUCACCACCACCUUACCACUACUCACCACCUCCGGUGUAUUUACCUCCACCAUCUCCAGUUUACAAGUCACCACCACUACCCCCUCCGGUAUACAACUCCCCGCCUCCACCAGUGUACAAAUACAAGUCCCCACCACCACCUCCUCCAGUUUACAAAUCUCCAUCGCCACCAGUUUACAAAUACAAGUCACUCCCACCACCUCCUCCGGUAUACAAGUCUCCUCCGCCACCUGUUUACGAGUACAAGUCUCCUCCACCACCUCCUCCAGUGUACAAGUCCCCACCACCUCCAGUUUACAAGUACAACUCACCUCCACCUCCUCCCCCAGUUUACCUGUCUCCACCUCCACCCUAUCAUCACUACUACGGUUCUCCUUCUCCUCACCACUACUAAGCAAGUGCAUAAGUUUUGAGGUAAUAAUACCUAUCCAAAACUUUAUCAACACAAACUGCCAUGUAUAUUAUCAUGCUAAGGACGUACACUUGAUCCAUGAAAAUGACUAGUAGAAGAUUUUUUUUAAGAACCAAAGAAAUACAUUAUUUUUUCGGUCUGUUUUCAAGAAUUUGAGCAGUAUACAGAUUAAAGAGUGUUUUUUUUUUUGUAAACUUGCUUGUCAACUUAAAAAUGCACAUAGCUGAAAGCCAACUGAAUAUUUGCAGGCAAAGGAGAAGGCAAUCGGUGUUUGAGACCUUCAAGAAGAUGUAGAAGAAUAAGAAUAAAAGCCCAAUGCGAGGAUGAUUCCAAGUUUCUACGUUACCAUUUCUACAUCUAAAUUGACUUUAGCUCCUGAGUUCCAUGUUUAUGGGGUUUGUACCGUUUUACGUACCAUGCAGUACAUGCUUGCAAGGUUUUCUGUCCUGUUGGCAAACUGCAGGUCCAUAUAAUAAAUGAAUACUAUUUACAUUACGACACUUUUCUCUUUUUCUCUUAUAUUUUGUCUUUAAUAUUGUUGAUCAUUUUUUUUUUAUCAAAAGCAUCAAAUGCUUAGGUAAUUUGGUCUAAUGCUAAUUGUUUUACUUUUAUUUUUCACCUACACCCCUUUUCAACUCAAAGGAUGCUAUAGUUUGUGAUAAUUGUUUAAGACCGAAGCAUGAUACUAAUAAAUAUCUCAUUGAAAGUCAAGGAAACUAACAUUAGGAAAAGUUUAAAUCUUGAUUUGAUGAAACUAUUUAUUCGUGGAAUUUAGAGAUACAAAACUCAAAUUGUGACGGUGUUGUUGCUAAAUUAUUAAGGACAUUAUCACCAUUAUUUUUCCCUGAUCACUAGUUUCAACUGCAAUGAUCUCAAUCUUUUUGUGACUAAUUCUUUCCUUAAUAAUUUAUAAAGACAAAACUCACAAAGAAUAUGUGACUAAUUCUUUCCUUUCGUCUUCUAAAGAAAAUGCCAACUGUUAGUUUAUCAAGGGGAAAAAGGAUCGACAUCAGUUAUUAUUGAAACUAGUAAGGAAUAAAUAAUGGUGAUAAUGUCCUUAAUAAUUUAACAACAGCACCAUCAGAAUUUGACUUUGAGCUUCGGUCUUAAACAAUGAUCACAAACUACAGCAUCCUUUGAGUUGAAAAAGGAAGUAGGUGAAAAGAAAAGUAAAAAAUACAAUUAGCAUUCCCUCAAAUUGUAGAAAGUUAGGUAGCAUUAUAGACAAGUUGAUAGCGGCAAUUUUACAUUUCAAACUUCACCUAUUCAAUAACUAAUUCGAUGGCUUGCUACAUGGUCAAUCUUUGGACCCCUUCCUGCCUCCAGAUAUCCCUUUCCUCAAUCAGGGGCUUCUACAAUUACCAGUUUCAAUUGUAUGGUAUAGUGUAAAUAUCAACAAAUUAGAUGUAGAUGCUAACAUAAUAAAUGUGAAUGCUAAGACAGCAACAUACAAUCGAACCUGCAAUUGUAUGAACCCCAAUCUCGCUUCCUAGUCCACCAUCUUUCUCUAGGUAAUAAUCUCCCUUCUAAUUUAUUCACAAAAUGCACCUUUCAUCACCUCCAAUAGCGUCGACAUGAUCUUUACCCUAGAAGACUAUUCACCGACUCUCAAUUGACGUCAGAAAAUCUAAGAGUAAUUCUACUUUACCCUAAGAUUGAUAUCAACAAGACAAGGACAAUUUAGAAUUAUUACACGCCUCUUCUUAAUAGGAAAAAGAAAUAGAGAAGAAAGUCAGGCCAGGUCUAAUUUCUUUUCAAAGGCAAUACAACAUUACGAAAUCAAGCAUUCAUUCAUACAAAUAUUUCAUAGUCACCGGUUUGCUGAGUAGAAAAAUUUAGACAAAAACUUAAUAUUAUAUUGUUUAAGAGUUAACAAUUUAGAGCUUAAUCUCCUUGUACUUUGGAGUUAACAAUUUAGAGCUUAAUCUCCUUGUACUUUGGACUAAACUUGAACGUGAAAGGAAAUCCCAAAACCAUAUUGGGCAUGAAUUCACACUUAAUAUACCCAAUAAAAGAUGGCGACUGGUGAAAGGCAGUGGAGACUGGUGGAGAGAUUUGAGGAAUAGAAGCAGACGGAAAAGCAACAAAUUUUUGCCGAAAAACGGUCACUUUCAUGGUUAAUUUUGCUACUCUCCAAUUGUACUUGACCAAUUACAACAAUUUCAUGGAGUUUGAUACGUGAAAAGAAUUUUUUAUAAAUUUUAUUUUGAUCCAUAAUGUUAUCUUUACAUAUAUAAAACAUUUUACAAUUUUGAUUUUGGCGCAGCUAACUUUUGGUUAACAAAAAUGCUCAUGUUUAAAAAACCAGAAAUAAAACAAAACAAGAAACAAAAGAAAUAAGAGGGUAGCAUAGACAUUUUGGAUUUUUCCGUUAAUUUGGAUGAUUUCCACCCACGUUCUAAUUUAAUCCAAAACACAAAGGAAUUACGUAGAGGUUUUAAAUAAUGAGGGAGCUUCAUGAUCGAACCCCAAACCACAAGGCGAUUUACUAUAUUUUACUCUUAAAUUUUGGUUUCAUCUCAUAGCAUACAAGAGUUCUAUUUCACUAUCUGUAGACAAAGACUUUCUAUGGUUGAUGUACCAUAGGAAAAAAUCUGCCUAUACAACGUGAUAGCAUUUUUUCAAAAACACAAGAUGGAAAAUUGCCCCUUAAACGGGGAAAUUCAUGAUCUUUCGUCGAACAAAGAAUACUCACGCCUAUUCAAGAUGGAAAAUUGCCCCCUUAAACGUCUAUUUGUCAAUUCUUGAAAAAAGAAUACUCACGCCUAAAACACGGCCUCUUCAUCUGCAGAAUUCUAAAAAGUUAGGUAAACUCUAUAAACAAGUUGAUAGGUACAAUCGUACCCAAGAUCAAGUACAGAUAGUUGUACAUUAACUGCUGCAAUAACUAAUCUGAUGACUUAUAAACAUAUCAUGGUCAAUCGUUGAAUGGUAAUGAGUCUUUUGUUAUGCAUUAGUAUUAGUGUGUACACUCUAAUAGAUUGAUACUUAUACUCUUUAAAUUAUCAUAAUAAUACCCUUAAUUAACUUUAACUCUUAAAAAGAAUACAUGUUAAUACACGAGUGUGUGUAACCUGAAUUGUUACUUAUAAAUUAGUGUGUAAUAGAUAGGGAUGGCAAUGGGGGCGGGUGCCCGCGGGGGGCUCUCGGGGCGGGGGUUGGGGCGGGGGGGAAUUUUUUCCCCCCGUUUAGAAAUGGGGCAGGGGACGGGGGAGUAUACCCCCGCCCCAUCCCCCGCAAAAAAAAAAUUAUAUAUAAUAUGUAAUUUAAUUAGUUAUAAACUUAUGAUAAUGAUAUUAUUAGUUAGAUGUAUUAUAUAAUGUAUAUUAGUGUAUGUAAUAUAAUUAAUAUUAUCAAUUAUAUGAAUAAUUAGACAUGUCUACUAAUAGAAUUUAUGAAUUAGUUAUACUAAAUUUACUAAUACAUUUAUACUAAAUUUCUAAUUACACUUAAUAGAAUAACACUUUUUUCUAAAACAAAAAAGCACAAACACAAUAAUGAAUUAGUGAUUGUAUGAUAGGGUGUAAUUUUACUAUUUAUUUUAUUAUUAAUUUCCCCUAUCACCUGACCUGAUGUGGAUUAAUUGCUGGAUUCUGCUCACUUUUAGUACUUUGUAUUUAUUUCAGGGAGUAGAACGGAAAUUUGAUAACAGGUGCUAAUUUGGCAGAAAAAGAGUCCAGAUGAUAGAGCUUGCCCCAAGGGCAUUUUUGGAAAGGAGAACUUGUGCCCAUCUUGGUAAUUUGGGAGAAAAGGGAAACAGACAAAAUGGGUCUAACAUGGAUUGGAAGCGGCCGCACAGUAGCAGGGAAGAGGGCAGACGUAAAAGCAAUUGCAGGGGGGAAAAGGAGUUUUUUUAGUUUUUAGCUUAGCAUCUGAUUUUCCCUGGGAGACUUUUGUUAAAGAUUUCCUUUUGGCUGAUAUUACGCAUGGCAGAUGGCUUUUAACUUAUUCCUCCAUCUUUGACUUUUCUUCUUUAGCUUGUGGCAGUGGAUUGCUACUUACGAAUGUCAGCACUUAGCCAUUCGUGGCUUUUGAUCUUUUCUUCCUUAGAAAUUCUGAGUAACCUCUUUUCCUUUGUGCGCCAGACGAAGUGAAAACUAUAAACUUUUGUAGUUUUUCUAUUCAUUCAAUAUAUUGAGACGAGUUGGAUUCUACCAAAUUUCAACGGACAUGGCCGCUGGUUUCUCUUCAAUUUUAUAUGGGCUUUGUUCAUCCAACAUGAACUAAUUUCACCACUCUAGUCAAGGAGCAACGAAGGCUCUGAUUUGCCUAAAAAUUGUGAGAUCGUUUUAAUUUAAUCUUUUCCUUUUAUUUAUUGGUAUCCGCACAUUUCUUGAUUGCUAUGCUUAUGGUUAUUUAAUUAAUUGAUUGUCUUGGAUCCAGAUAAUUAAUUGAUCUGAUAGCCUAUUGUCAAUUAGGGCAUUUAAAUCCGUAAUUGUUUAAUUGUCCUGAAAUAGUGACAACUGGCACGAUUAGAUUCGUGCCAGGGGGGAUAUGCGGGCUAAUCUAAAAUAACCCUGGUAGUGUGUUAUUUGGUUAGAAUAGGGCUCCUCUAAUACUAAGGCAAUUGGGGAAUUAAAUUCUACGGGCGUACCUAGGAUUAUUUCUUAAUUAGAGCAGUGAUUAACGGGCGUACCUUGAUCACCGACACAGUAAGGAGGGGUUGACCGUCAUCGCUUGUUUGGCAGUUAUAACCUAUUUAUCAGUAAAUAAUUGGGAUUGCCUUGCAUCAAUGAUCAAUUAGGUGAACCAUUGUUGAAGUUACUUCUUGGUUAGAUCUUUAGUUAAUAUUACCUUGAUUUUGGUGAAUUGCCAUUUGAUUUUUAGUUGCCUACUUUAUUUUAUUUUUAAUUGUUUCCUUGCUUUAAUUGAGUUAGGCCUUUAAUUAUUGUUAUUCUAAGUUUAGUGAAUUGUGGUUUAAUUCCUAAUUAGUUAUUUAUUUUUACUUUCUUAUUUGAAUUUAUUUGCUUGUUAUCAUUCCUACGAAAUCACCCCCCUGUGUUACUUUGGAUUUCUUAAGAAACAAAUAUACCCAAUCCCUGUGGAUACGACCCUACUUGCUCUGUUCACGAAUUCAUAAUUAUUUGUGAAAAGAAAUAACCAUUCCACUCGGGUAUAUCGGAUCAAGCAAAUUCUUCGGGAACAGGGUGAAUCAAGUAACCCAAUGCACACCUAGAGUCCCUGCUCCAGUACUUGGAAUUGGGUUUUGGUCAUUUUAACUGGCAAUUAGGUUUAAUUUUAUUAUUGCACAGGCUGACGACCCUGUCAAUUUUUGGCGCCGUUGCCGGGGACUGGCGUUAUUAUUUGUUUCUUUUUAAAUUCAUUCUUUGUCCUAAUUUUCUGGUUUUCUUCUAGUGUAUGCCUCGAUCUUCUCGUACAGGUAAUUUGAUUUUUGACCCUGAGGUAGAGAAGACCGCAUGUAGAACGAGAAAGGAAACCAGACAGCUCAGAGAAGAGCACUCCAGUGCUACAUCUCAGAGACCCGAGUCAGAAGUUGAACUAACAGAUUCGUUUGGUAACACUUCGAGUGACUCUGACCAGGAGGAAGACACCAUGGCUAAUGCACGAACAUUAAGGGAGUUGGCUGCUCCUGAUUUAACUCAGCAGCCUUUAUGCAUUACUUUCCCCACUUUAAAUGAUAACAUUCCAUUUGAACUAAAAUCUGGUCUGAUUCAGCUUUUACCCUCUUUUCAUGGUUUACCAGGUGAAGAGCCGUAUAAGCAUCUGCAGGAGUUUGAUGUCGUGUGUAAUAGUAUGAAACCCUCGGGAAUCACAGAAGAGCAGAUAAAAAUGAGGGCAUUCCUCUUCUCCUUGAAAGAUUCUGCGAAGGACUGGCUGUACUACCUGUCACCAGGUAGCAUCACCACGUGGGACCAAUUGAAGAAAAAAUUUUUGGAUAAAUAUUUUCCUGCGUCCAGGGCUGCAAGUCUAAGGAAAGAAAUUUGUGGGAUCAAGCAGCAUCCAGGGAAGUCACUUUAUGAGUAUUGGGAACGGUAUAAGAACUUGUUGCGCAGGUGCCCCCAACACCAAAUAAGUGAGCAAUUGAUCAUACAGUAUUUUUAUGAGGGGCUCCUUUUUAGAGACAGGAGCAUCAUUGAUGCCAGGGGGGAGGGUUGGGAUGGGUGGUACGGGGGGAGGGAGUGUAAGCAAGAGGUCUCGGGUUCGAGUCCUCCCGCUUACACACAAAAAAAAAGAUGCUGCAAGUGGAGGGGCACUGGUAAACAAAACCCCUCAGGAAGCACGGGAGUUAAUAGAGGGGAUGGCAGAGAAUUCACAACAAUUCAGUACAAGAGAGGAUGUCCCAAUACGUAAGGUGAAUGAGGUAGAGACACCCUCUAUGCAGCAGCAGCUAACUGAGUUGACCGCGUUUGUUAGGCAACUGGCUGUGAGAAAUGCAUCACAAGCCAGGGUGUGCGGGAUUUGCACUGGUAUGGGUCAUUCUGCAGACAUGUGCCCAAUGAUUCAGGAAGAAACUGCAGAACAGGUGAACAUGGCUGACCACGCGCCCGCGCCAAGGAAGCAGUACGACCCUUACUCAAGCACCUACAACCCCGGGUGGAGAGAUCAUCCCAACCUCAGUUAUGGAGAAAAUAGGCAGCCCAACAUUACACCGAACAGGCAGUCUAACUUUGUGCCAAAUAGGCCACCAGGGUACCAGCAGCAAUAUCAACCCCGACCACCUCCGUCCCCAAGCUCUGGCCCAUCUUUGGAGGAGAUGAUGAAACAAAUGAUGACAACUAUGGCUCAAAAUCAGCAAAUGACGGAGGCAACCAUUAUGCAAAAUCAGCAAAGGACGGACUCCGAAAUGAAGGAUAUAAGGAAUCAGAUAAGUCAAAUGGUCACAACAAUCAACCGUUUGGAUUCCCAGAACCAAGGUAAAUUGCCAUUUCAGCCCGAAUUAAAUUCGAAGAACGUGAGCGCAAUGACCCUAAGGAGCGGGAAAGAAAUUCAGGGGUCUGAACCUGUGAUCCCUAAGGAUAAGGAUGAGGAAAAGAUCGAAAAUGAGCUUGAAAGGGAGGACAGCAAUGGUGCAGAUCUAAAGGUACUUCCUGACCCAAUAAUUACAGCUAAAACUAACCCGCCUCCUUUUCCUAGCAGGUUGGAAAAAUCGAAAAAAGAGGAUAAGGAGAAGGAGAUCUUGGAGGUUUUUCGCAAGGUUGAGAUAAAUAUCCCCCUCUUAGACGCAAUCAGACAAGUACCAAAAUAUGCCAAGUUCCUAAGGGACUUGUGUGUCAACCGAAGGCAGUUGAGGGAAGAUGAACGGGUUAUUGUUGGGGAGAAUGUGUCAGCAGUCCUGCAGAGAAAGCUCCCACCAAAGUGCGGGGACCCAGGUAUGUUUACUAUUCCCUGUAGGAUAGGUAAUACUGUGAUAGAAGGGCCAUGUUGGAUCUGGGAGCAUCAAUUAAUCUCAUACCUAAAUCUAUCUAUGCUUCUCUAAAAUUAGGUCCAUUAAAAGAAACUGGAAUAAUCAUUCAAUUAGUUGACCGAACUAAUGCAUAUCCUGAUGGGUUGGUUGAAGAUGUGUUGGUAAAAGUUAAUGAUUUGAUGUUUCCAGCUGAUUUUUAUGUACUUGAUAUGGAUGAUGAUCACUCCCCUGAUCCCUCACCUCUGUUAUUGGGUAGACCCUUUAUGAGCACAGCACAGACGAAAAUUGAUGUUAAUAAGGGUAUCUUGUUCAUGGAGUUUGAUGGGAAAAUUGUGCAUUUCAAUAUCUUUGAUACUAUGAAAUAUCCCUCAAACUCCAACUUUAGCACAGUUUUCUCUGUGAGUGCUAUUGACCCUGUAGUGCAGGAAGUGUUUGAAACUGAUGGCAGGGAUGAGUUGGAGGUGGCUUUGACCAAGCACCUCGAGUUGGAGACAACUCCUGAGGUGGAAUGGAGCGAGGACCUAAAAUGCACAAUAGGUGCAUUACACUCAUUGCAGUCCACCACGAAAAGGUAUGAAGUCUUACCUAUUUUUACUCCCGAACCUCACCAGAGGGUGUUGCCAUCUGUGGUGCAGGCACCUGUACUAGAAUUUAAACCUCUAUCAGAGCACCUGAAAUAUGCAUAUCUGGGUGAUAAUGAGACACUCCCGGUGAUUAUCUCAUCGACACUGUCAAAAAUCCAGGAGGAGAAACUGAUCCGGGUCCUUAGAGAGCAUAAAGAGGCGAUAGGUUGGACAAUCGCAGAUAUUAAGGGGAUCAGCUCGGCCAUCUGUAUGCACCGGAUUAGACUAGAAGAGGAUGCCAAACCUGUUAGGCAGGCUCAAAGGAGGCUCAACCCCCUAAUGAUGGAAGUUGUAAAGAAAGAAAUUUUAAAAUUGCUAGAUGUGGGGAUUAUUUUUGCAAUAUCAGAUAGCCCUUGGGUAAGCCCGAUCCAGGUAGUCCCAAAGAAGGCAGGGGUGACGGUGGAGGCAAACCAAACGGGUGAGCUCGUGCCAGUGCGCAAACCCACUGGAUGGAGGCAGUGUAUAGACUACCGUAGGCUAAACGCCGUCACCAAAAAGGACCAUUUCCCUCUCCCUUUCAUUGACCAAAUGGUUGAACGUUUAGCUUGUAGAGCUUAUUAUUGCUUUUUGGAUGGAUUUUCAGGAUACUUUCAGAUAGCAAUUGCUCCAGAGGAUCAAGAGAAGACAACCUUCACGUGCCCGUUCGGGACCUUUGCUUAUAGACGAAUGCCAUUUGCGUUGUGCAAUGCACCUGCAACAUUCCAGAGGUGUAUGGUAAGUAUUUUUUCUGAAUAUGUGGAGAAAAUUAUUGAAGUUUUCAUGGACGAUUUCAGUGUGUAUGGUGAUAGUUUUGAUACGUGUUUAGAUAAUCUGAAAUUGAUCCUGAUAAGGUGUAUAGAGACUAAUCUUGUGCUUAAUUGGGAAAAAUGUCAUUUUAUGGUUGAGCACGGGAUAGUCCUGGGUCAUAUUGUAUCGUCUAAGGGCAUAGAAGUUGACAAGGCUAAAAUAGAUAUUAUUUUUGCAUUACCUUACCUCGCGAGUGUGCGGAAGGUGCGUUCUUUUCUUGGACAUGCAGGUUUUUAUCGAAUGUUCAUCAAGGAUUUUUCAAAAAUUGGAGCCCCGUUAUUCCAACUCCUACAAAAGGAUGUGACCUUCGAAUUCGAUGAUAAGUGUGAGGAAGCCUUCAACAAGUUGAAAGAAUUGUUGACCUCACCCCCAAUUAUCCAGCCCCCUGAUUGGAGUCUACCAUUUGAGAUCAUGUGCGAUGCCAGUGAUCAUGCCGUAGGGGCUGUAUUGGGGCAAAGAGUAGGGAAGGCAGCUCACGUCAUCUACUAUGCAUCCCGAGCAUUGAAUGGAGCCCAAUUGAAUUACUCCACUACUGAAAAGAAGCUUCUUGCAGUUAUUUUUGCUUUAGAAAAAUUCAGGUCAUAUUUGCUAGGUGCUAAAGUAAUUGUAUUUUCUGACCAUGCAGCAUUAAGGUACCUAAUGACCAAGAAAGAUGCCAAACUGAGGCUCAUUAGGUGGAUAUUGCUACUGCAGGAAUUUGACCUGGAGAUACGGGAUAAAAGGGGCUCAGAGAAUUUAGUAGCUGACCAUCUGAGUCGUAUACCCGUUGGAGAGGAUAAUGAACCAUUGAGGGAUGCGUUCCCUGAAGAGCACUUAUUUUCUUUAAAUUCUCAGUUGCCUUUGUAUGCCGAUCUGGUCAAUUAUUUGGUAACUGGUAAUUUUCCUGCAGGUUGACCAAAAUCGAAGAGGGAUAAAUUGAAGAGCGACGCCAAGUAUUUUAUUUGGGACGACCCGUACCUAUGGAAGAGGUGUGCAGAUCAAGUGAUGCGGAGAUGUGUAAGUGAAAUGGAAUUUCAAUCGAUUUUAGCUUUUUGUCAUACUUUUGCCUGUGGAGGUCAUUUGGACCCAAGAGAACUGCUCAUAAGGUUUUAGAAAGUGGAUUUUAUUGGCCUUCAUUGUUUAAGGAUGCCUAUGUGUUUUGUAAGUCAUGUGAUCGCUGUCAAAGGGUAGGUAAUAUACCCCGUAGAGAUCAAAUGCCCCAAGUCCCGUUGAUUUUUAUUGAAAUUUUUGAUGUCUGGGGUAUAGAUUUCAUGGGGUCUUUUCCUACUUCAUUUGGUUUUUUAUAUAUUUUGCUGGCAGUUGAUUAUGUGUCUAAAUGGGUGGAGGCUAAGGCCACUCGAACUAAUGACUCGAAAGUAGUUGCAAAUUUUGUCAGGUCUAAUAUUUUUGUGCGAUUUGGAAUGCCUAGUGCUAUUGUCAGUGAUAGGGGAACGCACUUUUGCAACAAAAUCAUAGCUGCGUUGUUUCGCAAGUAUGGUGUACUCCAAUGGGUCUCAACGUCGUACCACCCUCAGACCAAUGGUCAAGCGGAGGUGUCGAAUCGAGAGAUCAAGUCUAUCUUGGAGAAAAUGGUGCGCCCCGAUAGGAAAGACUCGAGUCAAAGGCUGGAGGACGCACUUUGGGCCUAUCGGACGGCGUACAAGACUCCUAUAGGGAUGUCACCGUACAGGUUGGUAUUUGGGAAGCCGUGUCACCUUCCAGUGGAGUUUGAGCACAAAGCUUUUUGGGCGAUAAAGUAAUGCAACAUGAAUUUAGAGGAAGCCGGUGCCCAACGAAAGUUGGAUUUGCAAGAAUUAGAAGAGAUCCGGAACGAGGCUUACGAAAAUGCACUAAUUUAUAAGGAGAGAAGCCGGAUAUUUCAUGAUCAACAAAUUUCAAGAAAAUCCUUUGAAGUUGGUCAGAAGGUCCUACUAUACCAAUCCAGGCUCAAGCUAUUCCCAGGUAAACUACGUUCCCGUUGGAUUGGACCUUUUCUUGUUACUCAUGUUUUUCCAUAUGGUGCAGUUGAAAUCCGGAGCGCUAAAACAGACAACAAAUUUGUGGUGAAUGGACACCGUCUCAAGCAUUACUACGAAGGAUUUUCAGGUGAAAAGGUGGAGACAAUAAGUCUAGACGCGCCACCGUGUCCUAAUCAGUGACAUUUUACUAUGUCUAGCCAAAGACAUUAAAGACAGGCGCUCAUUGGGAGGCAACCCAAUUGUCCCUUUUAAUUAUUUGUUUGAUUUCGUGUGAUAGUUUAAAUAUGUUUUCCUUGAAUUCGACUGAUUUUGGGUUUCAGUUUUCGUUUUUGCUGAAUUGUAGGUGACCUUCAGUCUUGACGCGCCCGCGUGAUGACAUGCAGGAAGCUCACGAUCAGAAUCGUCUGAAAGCUCUCUUGCCCUUUUGACGCACCCGCGUGAUGACGUGCAGGAAGCUCACGAUCAGAAUCGUCUGAAAGCUCUCUUGCCCUCUUGACGUGCCCGCGUCACGUUCGCAGGAAAGGUACGGGUUUCAAAAAUUUAAAGAAAAAAUAAUAAUAAUAAUAAUUUAAAAUUUUGAAAUUAACUUCCGUAAAAAAAAAAAAGAAGAAAAAAAAUUUCACCGUGGCUUAAAUAGAGCCUAAAGAAGAGAAAAAAGAAACAAUUUCUUUCUUUUUUUUUUCUUUUUCUUCUUUCUUCCUUCUUUCUUUCUUUCUUCUUUCUCUUUUCCCUCUCUCUUCUCCCCUGUUUCUUCUCCCCUGUCCGUCGCCCGUGCGCCCCAUCGCUGCUCCACCUCCACACGCACGCCGACGCUGCGAGCCACCUGCGACCCCAGCGCCAGAUCUGGACCAUCGCCGAAACCCGCAGCCUCCGCCACCUCCACCUGAGCUCUGCCUCGCGCGCAACCCAGCUGCUCUGCGCCCGAAGCUCCACCGCCGCCACAGCCUCCCCACGCAGCUCCCUGCUCACGCGGCCACAAGCCCAUUGGAAACGGGACAGAGACUGCCGCCGAGCCACUUGCCCGCGUGACCGCCGCUGUUUUCCACCACCUCCCUCACGCGAGCUCUUUCCCUCUCAGCAGCAAUCCACUUCACAGCGCACCCGCUGCGCGCCGUCGCAGCCCUCGCAGCUCCAGCCCGUCUGGUCUAGUCCGCCGCGCGCACCAACCACCCACGGACGCUACCCCCAUCGCUAACCCACGCGGCCUCCACUCCAGUCUGUCCGCCGCCGCUGCUCGUGUCUCCCUUGCGCACCUCACGCCACCCGCUACUGUCCCCUUCCGUUUGGUUAGCAUCCACGGUGGAGGUAAUUGGAGGUUAUUUUCUCAAUUGUGUGACUUCCGCCUGUGAUACUGGUUGCAUUAUUUUUGCUGGGAAUUGCUACUUCUUUUGGGUUGGGUUCAACUGUGCAAUUAAUUGGCCAACUGGAGCCAUUUGUUGGGAUUUUGGGUGAGCUGAAAUACUGCAUUUGUGUGUUACAUUGGGAGGUUUAUUGGGUACAUUCUAACCGCUGUUUUCCAUUGUUACUCUCGCUGGGGUGUCUAUUAAAUUGCGAUUGAAGUAUUUUGGAUAUUGCAUGUUGAGAUUGAGGUUUCAUUGAAUUUGGCCUACGUUCUGCCCCCAGUGGUACUGGUGGGAAUAUUUUCAAUUGAAUUUGUUACCUCUAGUUGGUUGGCUACAUUAUUAUGGUCGAAUUCCUAAGUUGUCGUCAUUGCAUUUGUUGAUCUUGAUUUGGGGCAUUAACCGGCCAACUGGAGCCAUCUGUGCGUUUUUAGGCGCUAUUAUUGGUUUCUUCUCCCUUAACUUUGUCAACUAUAUUUGGUUGGGUAUUUGGUUGACUGCCACGGACUUGUAACUGUGUUUUGCUUCUAAUUGACCAGUUGCACAGCAGUUUUUUUUUAAUUGAUAGGGUGGUUAUACCUCUGGAUAUUUGUAUCCACUGGUUUGAGGACAUGGUGAGACCAAAAUCCUCCUCUAGGUCUAGGACCCCUAGAACCUCGCAAUCCCAACCCCAAGCCUCUACUCUAGUCAAUACCCCUAUAAAUCAACCUACUGCUCCCGGUGUCCGAACCUGGUUAGGUAGGGGUAGAGGUGCCCACGUGGCUUCCGCCACUCACUUGGGAGGGCAUUUGGAAUUCACUAGAGCCGCCGAUCAGCGACGCUAUGCUCAAGCUUGUGAGCGGCGUAUCAUUCCGUGCAAAUGCGCGGACCACAUUACUAUGGUUUUUCUGGGGAUCCAAGGGGAGGUUGAGCGCAUGUACACCGCCAUUGGAUGGCGCCCCUAUCUGGAUAUUUUCCAGCCAGCCUUUGUCGAGUUGACUAGAGAGUUUUACACCACUUUUAAGUUUGAAUUACCGACUAGGUAUACUGUUGCGACUCCCGAUAUCAUUCACUUCCGUCUCAUGGGCCAGGAAUUCAAUUUCUCUAUCACCCAGUUCAAUCUGGCUUUCGGUUUCAUCACUCGGGAGUAUGCAGAGACUAGGGAAUACGGUGAGAGUGCCUGCGAUUUUGUGGAACCUUUCCUUACCGCCUACCGUGAGGUGUGGGAGGACAUGUCUGUGGACAUGCAGCGUUACGAUCCCUCUCGGUCUCGGAGCUCCUUUCUAGAGGACCCGAGUGCUCGGUAUGUUCAGCGGCUUUUAGCAUAUAGCUACUCGGGCAGAAAGAACAGCUUCGGUAUUAUCUCUCGGCCGGAGCUCUUCUUCCUUUGGUGUAUGAAGAAUGGGUUCAAGGUCAAUUUGGGUUGUUGGUUGGCGGCACAGUUCAAGACCGUCAUGGCAAAGAAGAACAAGCCGUUGAUUCUUGGGUCGUAUAUCACGUACUUGGCGGUCCAGCUAGGCGUUCUGAAUCUACAGGAUCACGAUUUGCACUUGGCCUGCGACAUGGAGUAUCUCACUGCUGACCGGCUAGAGAAGAUGGGGGUUCUGGAGCUUGUCGAUGGCCACUACCGAUUUGUGCCCCCGGGACCGCCCCGCGCCCCGCCUCGCUCUUCCUCCACCCAUUCGGCCCCAGUUGGCGGUGAUCCUGGCCCGUCGACAUCCGCUCAGCUCCCUCCACCAGCAGGGGCUGAAGAUUGGCACCAAAUCAGGACGCAGAUUCAGAAUUUGGACGCCCGGAUGAUUAGCAUCGAGAGCAACGUGGCGGCUAUAUCACAGAAUCUGGCGGCAUUCCUGCAGCACUCGGGUUUCCCGCCCCCAAUCCCACCUCACCCUCCACUAUGACCCGGUUUCAGGGAAGUUUGGUUACUUUCUCCCUCACUUUUGUUGUUUUUUGACACAUUGAGGACAAUGUGUCCUAUAGGUGUGGGGGGGUCUAUAGUCUUUCUAGUUUUUAGUAGUUGUUAGUUUUUAGUUUUUUAGUAGUUUUAGUUUUAUUUCUAGUUGCGUAUUUUCUUUCUUUUCUUAGUGCUUAUUCCCCAUGUGAAAAGAAAAAGAAAACAAAAAAAAAGAGAAAAAAAUGUUGGUUUAUUGACUCUAACUCUACUUUUGCCAAGUUUUUUUUAAAUAAAAAUGUAUCGGGUUAAUGUGGUUGGAUCCAGAAUAUCUCCCUGGUGAAUAUCGGAUUGCUUGGCUCUUUUGAUUUCUGUGUUAAUUUCUCUAGGCAUAGGGAAUGACUGUUGGCAUUUUAAUGUGAACUGGUCCAAUAUUGACUCCAGUUCUCUAUGUUUGGCAAUAAUGAGGCGAGCUGUUCCUAUUUUUGGUUCUUAGUGUUGUUAUUAUGUGUUUUUGGCUUUGUUUGGCUGUGAAUAAUCUGGACUGUACUCCGCUAUGAGUUACUACUGAGUAACCGAGGAUCGGCACCUAAAAGUGUCGAUUCUCGCGUCAAAAGGUGGUACUUUAUAUGAGUACGUGGUCGUAUAGCAGUAGGAGCUGAGUAACCGGGCUCCUUCAUCUAAAAAUGUUGGAGUUCGCGUCAAAAGGCCCCGACGGCUAACGACUAAGUCUUUUUGUGUUAAUUAUUAUUGCUUUGAAAAACAAAAAAAAAAAAGAACGAAAAAAGAGAGAAUAAAUAAUAGGAAGGCUUGCCGGUUUAUGGACUUAAUAUGGAGACUUGUGUGAAUAUUUGGACCAUUAGCUAAUAAAUGUUGUGCGCCAUUCCCUUUUCUUAGAGUAGUUAACCUGGAAAUUGAAGGAAUUUGCAGUUUAGGGGCUAACCGGGGGGGAGGCUUCUUGGAUUUUAAUCACCAAUGCUCGAUAUAUGUUUUUCUCUUGAAGAUCUUGGCAAUAUAGGAGAUUGGACAAUGGCCAUCAUCGAAUUUUGGUGUUCGUUUACUAUUCUUAUGCUUGAGGACAAGCAUGGUUUAGGUGUAGGGGGAAUUGAUAGGGUGUAAUUUUACUAUUUAUUUUAUUAUUAAUUUCUCCUAUCACCUGACCUGAUGUGGAUUAAUUGCUGGAUUCUGCUCACUUUUAGUACUUUGUAUUUAUUUCAGGGAGUAGAACGGAAAUUUGAUAACAGGUGCUAAUUUGGCAGAAAAAAGUCCAGAUGAUAGAGCUUGCCCCAAGGGCAUUUUUGGAAAGGAGAACUUGUGCCCAUCUUGGUAAUUUGGGAGAAAAGGGAAACAGACAAAAUGGGUCUAACAUGGAUUGGAAGCGGCCGCACAGUAGCAGGGAAGAGGGCAGACGUAAAAGCAAUUGCAGGGGGGAAAAGGAGUUUUUUUAGUUUUUAGCUUAGCAUCUGAUUUUCCCUGGGAGACUUUUGUUAAAGAUUUCCUUUUGGCUGAUAUUACGCAUGGCAGAUGGCUUUUAACUUAUUCCUCCAUCUUUGACUUUUCUUCUUUAGCUUGUAGUAGUGGAUUGCUACUUACGAAUGUCAGCACUUAGCCAUUCGUGGCUUUUGAUCUUUUCUUCCUUAGAAAUUCUGAGUAGCCUCUUUUCCUUUGUGCGCCAGACGAAGUGAAAACUAUAAACUUUUGUAGUGUUUCUAUUCAUUCAAUAUAUUGAGACGAGUUGGAUUCUACCAAAUUUCAAUGGACAUGGCCGCUGGUUUCUCUUCAAUUUUAUAUGGGCUUUGUUCAUCGAACAUGAACUAAUUUCACCACUCUAGUCAAGGAACAACGAAGACUCUGGUUCGCCUAAAAAUUGUGAGAUCGUUUUAAUUUAAUCUUUUCCUUUUAUUUAUUGGUAUCCGCACAUUUCUUGAUUGCUAUGCUUAUGGUUAUUUAAUUAAUUGAUUGUCUUGGAUCCAGAUAAUUAAUUGAUCUGAUAGCCUAUUGUCAAUUAGGGCAUUUAAAUCCGUAAUUGUUUAAUUGUCCUGAAAUAGUGACAACUGGCACGAUUAGAUUCGUGCCAGGGGGGAUAUGCGGGCUAAUCUAAAAUAACCCUGGUAGUGUGUUAUUUGGUUAGAAUAGGGCUCCUCUAAUAUGUAAGGCAAUUGGGGAAUUAAAUUCUACGGGCGUACCUAGAAUUAUUUCUUAAUUAGAGUAGUGAUUAACGGGCGUACCUUGAUCACCGACACAGUAAGGAGGGGUUGACUGCCAUCGCUUGUUUGGCAGUUAUAACAUAUUUAUCAGUAAAUAAUUGGGAUUGCCUUGCAUCAAUGAUCAAUUAGAUGAACUAUUGCUGAAGUUACUUCUUGGCUAGAUCUUUAGUUAAUAUUACCUUGAUUUUGGUGAAUUGCCAUUUGAUUUUUAGUUGCCUACUUUAUUUUAUUUUUAAUUGUUUCCUUGCUUUAAUUGAGUUAGGCCUUUAAUUAUUGUUAUUCUAAGUUUAGUGAAUUGUGGUUUAAUUCCUAAUUAGUUAUUUAUUUUUACUUUCUUAUUUGAAUUUAUUUGCUUGUUAUCAUUCCUACGAAAUCACCCCCCUGUGUUACUUUGGAUUUCUUAAGAAACAAAUAUACCCAGUCCCUGUGGAUACGACCCUACUUGCCCUGUCCACGAAUUCAUAAUUAUUUGUGAAAAGAAAUAACCAUUCCACUCGGGUAUAUCGGAUCAAGCAAACUCUUCGGGAACAGGGUGAAUCAAGUAACCCAUUGCACACCUAAAAUCCCUGCUCCAGUACUUGGAAUUGGGUUUUGGUCAUUUUAACUGGCAAUUAAGUUUAAUUUUAUUAUUGCACAGGCUGACGACCCUGUCAUUGUAUUUGUACCAAAAGUGAAAACUUAACUAUUUUAGUUGUAUUUAUUUCAUCAUGUUGGAUUGUAUUCAAAUAAUUUUUGUUUGAUUGUUUUUAUAAGUUUCAAUUGUAAAAUUAAAAUGAAUAAUAACUUGAUGAUGUGUUGAUAUUUUAGUACUUGAUUAUUUAUUAAAAUUUAAUUAUAAUAAAAUUUUAUUAACUCAACGAGAAAAAUUUUAUUAAUCCCGUGGGGGCACCCGCGGGGAAAGCGGGGCGGGGCGAGGGGAGUGGGAGGCGGAGGACGGGGCGGGGGCGGGGGAUGGGGGAGGGGUCCCCCGCCCCAACCCCGCCAUCCCCCGUCCCGUUGUCAUCCCUAGUAAUAGACUGGCAAGCAUUGUGGUGGUCAUUGAGCAACUUAUAGGAGAAAUAGUCCUAUAAGCUGUUCAAUGACCAAUCACAACUUGCUAAUUGGAUGACUAAUAUAGCUCUAGCUGUAAUGUUUUAAUUAAAUUACAUCACUAACGUUGGGAUGACUUUUUAACCAAAAAAAAAAAGCCUUAGUUCAAGCUUUUCCCUUUAUUGUGCAUUUUUUAAAGCAUUUGAAAGGCACUGCAAAUCUGUCAUUUUGGACAUUUUAUUAUUGACUAACAAUGAAAGCCGUGGACGUCUACCCAUAACCAACACAAGAUUAAAUUAAUAUUAGAAAAAAUAAUUGAGUAAUUGGAAAAAAAAAAAAAAGAAGAGUCUAAUUUUCAUUGAAACCCACCGACAAACUAUACGUGUCCAUGGCUUUUGAAUAGUGCAUUCAACGUUUAAUUGUAUGGUCCAGUUCAUUGCAGAUUACAUGGAGUAAAGAUUGCGCUCUUUCCUUUUCACCCCUUUUGGAAUCGAUACUGUGGAGAAUUGGGUUUUUCCCUCCUUUUUUUCUUUUCUUUCCUUCUGUGGUUUGCAAAACAUACGUAAAAAUAUGAAAUCCGAAGCAUUCUUUAAUUGGUAUUAAGUAUUGUUGUUGAAAUUAAAAAGAAAAAAGAAAGAACAACAAAAUUCCCAAUCUGGGUUGAUUGUUGAGCUCUAGAUUGGUUGCAUCGUGCUUCCAUAGAAGCAAGAUUUGUAAAAUCGGAAUCCUACAUAGGAUCGAUUUUAGUUUCACAGGAUCGGAUUGUAAAAUCGUAAGAUCCUACCAAAAGCUCUCAAUUGCAAUUAAAGGUUGCAAUUCUUUAAUAAAUUACAAAUAUACCACAAAUAUUUUCAUUUACUUGCAAAAUGGAGCUUCGUAUUUCACAAAUUUACAAAAAAAUUGUAGGAUCGUACGAUCCUACCGAUCCUACGAUCCUACACGAUCCUACCGAUCCUGCUACGAUUCUAUGCGAUCCUACAAAGAUUAAUAUGAUUUGCGACUCUGCAUACGAUCCGGAUCGAUUUUGGUUAUCCGGAUCGUAGGAUCGUAUGAUCCUACGAUCCGGAUCGCGAUUUUGACAACUAUGCAUAGAAGCUCUCUUAGUGUGAUACACUGCUUUCAAUCAGUUUAACACGGGAAAAAAAAAAAGAGAUGAAAAGCAAAUUUGGUGGAGAUAAUUUCAGAAACCUCCCCUGAAGAUUUUGACUAUUCUACUGGUUUCCCUUCAGAUUUUAAAAAUUACACUAAUCUUCCUUGAAGUUAAUUAUCUUGUAACAUUUAAAUUCAAUCAAUAAUUUAAAAAAUGAUAUUAUGAGAGAGAAAAUAAUAUGAUUUUAUCAUUGCCCCCCAUCUUACUACAUUAUUUAAUUAAUUUAAUAGCAACCCACACAUUAAAGAAAAAUAUUAAAAUUUGUUGUUUAUCAUUAAAGAUCAAAUCGCUUAUAACAUCAAAUAAUAGUAUAUUAUUUAUAUUUUUCACUUAAUAUAAUAUCCAAAUUACUCUUUUCAAUUACAUACCCAUUGUUAGAGAAUCAACAACAAAUAACCAAAAAAUUUGCAACCAAAAUAUUACAAAAAAAAUAAACUUUAACAUCAUAAAUAUUCUUAUCAACAUAUUAAAGUUAGUUACUGAAAUUUUUAUGCUGUUAAACUUCACUCUUUUUGAAUACAGAUUUUUUUGAUUAUUUGUUAUUAAUUAUGUUUGAUGAUGGGUUUAUAAUUGAAAAGAACAAUUUGAAACUUACAUUAAGUAAAAUAUAUAGAGUGAUAUACUAUUUUUUAUAACAUAUGUGAUUCAAUCCUUCUUGAUAGGAUUGGUAAUAGAGGUAGAGGGGGGAGUCGGCUGCAUCCGGUCUUCUUUUCAUAGAUAGUACAAUAUUGCGAAAUCAAUCGCAUUCACACAAUAAUAUUUCGAAGUCAAUGCAUGGCUAAGUUGCAUAAAAGUACGAACACUUGUUAUUAUAUAGCUUAAGAUUCAAAACUUUCGAGCAUAACCCUCCACCCAACACAAUUGAAUAAUGAAUAUUCACGAUUGUCAAAUCUGUCAAAGCACAGUUUGAGGACAACCCAUUCCAACCUGCAAAAGAUUUUUUACUUUUCUAAAGUUGUUGAGAGCUGUAAAAAGACUUACCAUGCUUGCAUCCUCCGAGCCUUGGGAGUUAAAAAUGAAGGCACUGAGUGCUAUAAAAAGGGGAAUAGAGGCUGCCUAGAAGCAUAUCAGCCUAAAACAAGAAUUUGUAGUUAAGAUGGGAAGCAAAGCAAAAGCAAUGGGGUCUGGGCUGACUCCUCUUCUUGCCACUGUUUUAGUGGUGUUUGUUGCUCUUGGCUUGCCCUCACAAACUGCAGCUGAUGAUCACUACAAGUAUUCAUCUCCUCCUCCUCCUUACCACUAUCCCUCACCACCACCACCAGUGCAUAUACCUCCACCUCAUCCUGUUUACAAGUACAAAUCUCCACCACCCCCACCACCACACCCAGUUUACAAGUAUAAGUCACCACCACCACCUCCUCAUCCGGUAUACAAGUAUAAGUCUCCUCCGCCACCACCACACCCAGUUUACAAGUACAAGUCACCACCACCACCUCCUCAUCCGGUACCACACCCAGUUUACAAGUAUAAGUCACCUCCACCACCUCCUCAUCCGGUACCCACAGUUUACAAGUAUAAGUCACCACCACCACCUCCUCAUCCGGUAUACAAGUAUAAGUCUCCUCCGCCACCACCACACCCAGUUUACAAGUAUAAGUCACCACCACCACCUCCUCAUCCGGUGCCACACCCAGUUUACCACUACAAGUCACCACCACCACCUCCUCAUCCGGUACCACACCCAGUUUACCACUACAAGUCACCACCACCUCCUCACCCAGUUUACAAAUACGAGUCUCCACCACCACCAGUUUAUAAGUACAAGUCACCACCACCUCCUCCACCAGUUUACAAGUAUAAAUCUCCUCCACCACCACCACCAGUUUACCACUACAAGUCUCCACCACCUCCUCCCCCAGUUUACAAAUACAAGUCUCCACCACCUCCUCACCACUACUAAGCAAUUGCUUCUGAGGUAAUAACACUUGUUCAAUAUACCCACUUCUGCAUGAUAAAGCAUAUCUCUAUCAACACAAACUGUCAUGUCUAUCAUGCUAAGUGCCUUCACUUCAUCCACCAAAAUGACUGCUAGAAAAUUUUUUUUAUGUUACCAAAGAAAGGCAUCAUUUUUUCCCUCUGUUAUCAAGAACUUGUACAGUAUAUAGAUUAAAGAGUAUUUUUUUAACUAGCUUAUCAACUGAGAAAUGCAUAUAGCUGAUAGCCAGCUGAAUAUUUGCAGGCAAAGGAGAAGGAAACCAUGUUUGAGACCUUCUUGAAGAUGUAGAAGCAUAAGAAUAAAAGCCCAAUGUGAAGAUGAUGAUUUCAAGUUUUUCUACGUUACCAUUUCUUUAUCUAAAUUGGUUGUAGCGCCCAAGUUCCUUUGUUUAUGGGAUUUGUAUCGUUUUACGUACCAUGCAGUACAUGUCAUGUUUGUAAGGUUUUCUAUCCUGCCGGCAAACCGCAGGUUCCAUGUGAUAAAUGAAUACUAUUUAUGUUACGACACUUUUCUCUGUUUCUCUUAUAUUUUGUCUUUAAUAUUCUUAAUCAUAUUUUUAACAAAAAUAUUCAAACACUUAGGCAAUCUGGUCUAAUGCUAAUUGUAUGUUUUACUUUUCUUUUUCACCUGCUCCCCUUUUCAACUCAAAAGGAUGCAAUAGUUUGUGAUCACUGUUUAAGACGGAAGCAUGAUACUAAUGAAUAUCUCAUUGAAACUCAAGGAAACUAACAUUGCGAAAAGUGUAAAUCUUGAUUUGAUGCAACUAUUUAUUCGUGGAAUCUAUAGUUACAAAACUCAAAUUCUGACUGCGCCAUUGAUAAAUUAUUAAUGACGCUAUCAUCAUUAUUUAUCCCUAACUAGUUUCGACUACAACUGAACCCAAUAUUUUCCCCAUGAUAAAAGUUUUUGACUAUUUUACUGGCCUCUCUUCAAAUUUUAAAAAUUACACUAAUCUUCAUUGAGAUUAAUUAUCUUGUAACAUUUAAGUCCAAUUAAUAAUUAAAAAAUGAUAUUAUGAGAGAGAAAAUAAUAUAAUUUUAUCAUUGCCCCCCAUCUUGCUAUAUUAUUUAAUUAAUUUAAUAGCAACCCACACAUUAAAGAAAAAUACUAAAAUUUGCUGCUUUUCAUUAAAGAUCAAAUUGCAUAUGCCAUAAAACAUAGUAUAUCAUUCUAUAUGUUUCACUUAAUGUAAGAUCCCAAUUGUUCUUUUCAAUUACAAACCCAUUGUCAAACAUGAUCAAUAACAAAUAAUCAAAAAAUUUGCAACCAAAAUAUUACAAAAAAAAACUUUAACAUCAUAAAUAUUCUUACCACCUCUAGUGCAUUCACCCUCAUAAAAUAAUUCAAGACCCUACUGUCAUAAAAUGACUGAUCAACUCCUGUAAACCUAAUUUGACAACAUUUAAAUGGAGAACUUUAGCUAAAAGAAUUAUGGUCAAGCUAAAGAAAAAACCAGUUAUUUUCCAACAUAUGCAACCAUUGAUCAGGGGAAAAAAAAAAGCAAAAAGACAUCUUCAAUCAUUUAAUAGCUUACAGGGCAAAUUAACCCUUGAGUGAAAACUGGUUGCUCUAGAAUUAAAAUUUUACCUUAGUUACCCAGGCAACUUUUUUGUUGCCUUUUCUUUUUCUUUUUUGGGUAUAUAGCUCCAGUUUUGCCCCCUCUGUCAAGCUUAUAUAAUUAUUAAGAUAAUAAAAGUGCCUUUAAUAGUAUUAAUAUAUCCAUUGACUUGAGCUGUCAUCGAUCGGUUUGGGCUACUUCGAUUCCAUGAGAACAAAUGGUAAUAAAAGUACUCAGAAAAUGGGGAGUCAUGAAACCCUUUUGUUCUAUUCAUUGCUAAGAUGCUUUUCUCUAUAAAGAGACUUCCUAACGAAAAUACUUUGUAGAUUUCUUUACUCCAAGUGGUGCAUGGAAAAUUAAUAUUUUCAAUUAUCAAAUAAAAUUCCCUUUUUUCGGCGUAGAUUUCAUCCAUCCAGCUGUUAACACAUUCUAUAAAUCCGAAUUGACUAAUCUUUUCGUUUCCAUUUUCCAACUUGCGAAUACGGCAUAUAGUGUCUGCUAAACACUAUAUAUUCUCUGCCAAAUAUGAAUACAUAUCACUUUUCUGAGCAAGUGCAGAGUCAUUAUCAUUUUUAUUCCCACCUAACAAAUUAGGGAUAAAAAAGUUAAUAAUCUUUACAUGCUAUCAGGUCACAAGUUAAUAAUCUUUUAAAGAACAUGUUAAAUUAAUUUAUUGGUAUGAAUAGUAGUCAAAGAAGUAUGUUAAAGUUAGUAAUCUUUAAAAUAAUAUGUUAAAAUCAUUCGUACAAAUUAGUCAGAGAAGUAGCAUAAACACCGCGAUGCAAUUAAUACUUUCAAUCUCAAGGUCUCUAUUAUGGAAAUUUGCAUCGGUCAAUAUACACUUGGCAUAAUAUAAUCUCCCAACUCAUUUCUUUACAAAUGCACCUUUAAUCACCACCAAAAGGUGUGGACAUGAUCUUUACCCUAGAAAACUAUUCACCGACAGGCAAAUUGACGUCAGAAAUACUGAGGAAUUCUAGUUUCCUUCGGGUUCAUGCCAUGUUGUAUCCUUCAACUGUAACUCGAUUUCUAAGCUGUAAUUUGUGACAUAAUAGUCCUUAAACUAUGAAACCCUUCUUACUUAAUUACAAUGGUUAAUACAAUGCCCGUGACUAGACAAGUAUGAAGCAACCAUAACAGAAAAAAAAUCCAAAAUUAGAGAAAAGAAAGAAGUUUCGCGACCACCACCAGUUUACAAGUCACCUCCACCACCUCCUCCAGUUUACAAGUCACCUCCACCACCUUACCAUUAUUCCUCACCACCACCUCCAGUGCAUUCACCCCCACCACCACCAGUUUACAAGUCUCCGCCACCACCUUACCAUUAUUCCUCACCACCACCUCCUGUGCAUGCACCUCCACCACCAAUUUACAAGUCACCUCCUCCAGUUUACAAGUCUCCACCACCACCUUACGAUUAUUCCUCACCACCACCUCCAGUGCAUUCACCCCCACCACCACCAAUUUAUAAGUCUCCCCCACCGCCUCCCCCAGUAUAUAAGUCACCACCACCACCUCCUCCAGUAUACAAAUCACCUCCACCACCUCCUCCAGUUGACAAAUCUCCACCACCACCAAUUUAUAAAUACAAGUCUCCUCCACUACCUCCUCCAGUGUACAAGUCAUCACCACCACCUGCUUACAAGUCUCCACCUCCUCCAGUUUACAGUUCCCCACCACCACCAAUCUACAAGUCUCCACCUCCACCCUACCAUUACUACUACAAUUCUCCUCCUCCUCCUCGUCACUACUAAGCAAUUGUAUCCAAGUUUUUGAGGUAAUAACGCUUAACCAAUAAAUUAACUUUCGCAUGAUAAACCUUAUCUCUAUCAAGACAAACUGCCAUGUGUAUCAUGCCAAAUACGUACACCUAGAUCCAUGAAAAUGAAUGGUAGAAAGUUUUCUUAAGAACCAAGAACAGCAUUAGUAUUCCCUCUGCUUCCAAAAACUUGUGUAUUAAAUAGAUUAAUGAAUUGUUUAACAUGCUCAUCUACUUGAAAAUGCACAAUACCCAUAACCCACUGAAAUUUUUGCAGGAAAAGGGAAAGAGAAUCUGUGUUUGAGAGCUUCAUGAAGAUGUUGAAGAAUAAGAAUAAAAGCCCAAUGCAAGGAUGUUUUCAAGUUUUUCUAUGUUUCCACUUUAAUUUGUAAAUUGAAUUUUGCGACUCAAUUAAUUCCCUGUUUGUGAGGUACGUAUUGUUUUACGUACCAUGCCGUACAUUUUUUUUUUCCAACAAACGGUAUCAUGUUAUAGAUAUUAACACUUGACCUUACAAGGAUUAGUUACAAAAAGGGGAUACUACCCUCAACUCUGUCCUAGCUAAAUCAGUCAGCCAUAUUGGGAAAUUAGUUUCCCAUUCAAUAUCAUGUACAAGCUUCACAGCAUAUUGUGCUAAUUGAUGGCUGAUGUGAUUUUCAGUUCUAGGUAUAAACACAAAAGAACAUUUUUCAAAAGCUAGACUAAGUUCCUGCACAUCUUCUAAGAUAGUUGCAGUCGUGUAGUCAUACUCCUUGCGUUUAGUAAUCUGCUCUACCACUGAUUUGCAGUCUGUAUGGACUAUAAUUUGUGUCCAACCUGCUUGGGUAGCCAUCAGCAGAGCAUUUCUCACAGCCCGAGCUUCCACUUCACUUGCCGAUCCCUUUCCCUGUGUGACAAUUCCUUUUGCUUUCAAAAGCUGUCCUUUCCAAUUUCUUGCUAUAAUCCCUUGUCCGGUCCUGACUCGUUUAGCUGAUAUCGCUGCAUCGGUAUACAGCCUUAUCUCUUCCUUCCUUGGCCGCACUCUCCUGGUAGGUAAGGCAUCAUUCAGCUUCCCUGCGAUCUCCUUCUGGUCUGUACUCCCUACCUGUUCAAACUCAAGCCAUUCCUCCUGUGCUUUCCUUACUAUUUUUACUGGAUCCUGGUUGGCUUGUUCAAAAAAUUUUUUGUUCCUGGCUUUCCAAAUUUGCCAAAGGAUAUUGAUAGUAAGACUAACUCUCUCCUGACCUUGGUUCAGUGCCAGCGAUUGUGUGACUUGUUCCCACCAUAACCAAAAGUUAUAUUGCAUACCCAGUAAUCCAUCCCACCUGACCGGUGCUAGCUUCCACGUUUCCACAGCCUUUUCACAGAAGAAAAACAAAUGCUCAAUAGUUUCCAUAUCUUCACCACAGCAACCACAUCUGCCUUCCCCUCUAUGUAGCCUUUUCGACAUCUGUUCAUUGACUGGCAGACAAUUUUGUAAGCACUUCCACAUGAAGUGUUUUAGUUUGGCCUUCACCUUCAAAUGCCAUAGCUGCUUCCACACAUUUCGUUUUCGUAUCUCCCAACUUGUUUCUGCCUCUUGGCCUGUCCUUGUACCUGCUUUUCCUUCCCGUUGCCUUGCUAAAGCAUAACCAGAUUUCACGCUAUAAAUUCCAGCUUUGGAAUGCCCCCAUACCAACCUAUCCUUUCUUCUUCCUAUACUUGUUGGAAUUCCCUUUAUGUGCUCUGCAUCUUUUGCACAAAACCACUUGAGAAGCAAAUCAUUUUUCCAUUUCCCUUCCUCUAUCAGCUCACUUACCCAUUCCAACUUGCAUCCCACAGGUUGUGUGGUUGAUGCAAAGCCGGUAUCUGAACCAACUAUCCAUCUGUCCCGCCACAUGUUGACUGACUUGCCAUCUCCAAUUCUUUUCCAAAGACCAUCAUACAGAAAGGAGGCUGCACUAUGAAUACUCUUCCAACACCAUGAGGCUGAAGAGACUGGCUUCUUGUCCAUCCAUUUUUCAUCACUCAUAUACUUCGCCUUCAUUACCUUACUUACUAACAAAUUUGGAGCCAUUAAGAAUCUCCAAAUUUGUUUUGCCAGUAAUGCUGUGUUGAAGGCCUCCAAAUCUCUAAAGCCUAAACCUCCUCUUCCCUUAACUUCUAAGAGCUUCUUCCAGCUUGCCCAAUGUACACAGGUACCCUUUUCUCCCUUCCCCCACCAGAAACUCGCUAUUUUACCUGUGAUUUGUCUACACAAACCCCUUGGAAGUCUAAAGCAAGCCAUCACAUAUGUUGGCAUAGCCAUAAUCACUGAUUUGACCAGAAUUUCUUUCCCUCCUUGGCUCAACAGUUUUUGUUUCCAACCUUGCAACUUGUUACUAAUUUUGUUCUGGACAAAUGCAAAGACCUGUGUCUUUGAUCUUCCAAUUGCCAUUGGGAGUCCUAGGUAGGUUCCAUUCCUUGCCUCUUUAAUGUUAUCUAAUACCUCCCUCACUCCAUUCUUCCUUUGAUCAGUGGUAUUUUUGCUAUAGAAGAUAGCUGACUUUUCAAAAUUCACCACCUGUCCGGAUGCUUGACCAUAUCUUUCCAAUAUGCUUUUGACCUUCCUCGCCUCCUGCUUGGUUGCUUGGCAGCAUAGUAGAGAAUCAUCUGCAAAAAAUAGGUGAGAAACCAUCGGACUGUCCUUGCAUAUUUUGAUCCCUGUAAUUUCCUUGUUCAUCAUAGCUUUAUGGAUCAAACAUGAAAGACCUUCAGCGCAUAUAAUAAACAAGUACGGGGAUAGGGGGUCUCCUUGUCUAAGCCCUCUACUCGGUUGAACACAGCCUACCUUUUGCCCAUUUAAGUUGAAGGAGUAAGUCACAGUAGAUAGGCAAGACAUGAUCCAUUUAACAAAAAUUGGACAAAACCCCAUUUUCAUCAUAACUCUCCCCACAUAUUUCCAUUCGACUCUAUCGUAAGCUUUGGACAUGUCCAGUUUAAGAGCCAUAAAUCCUACCCUUCCCUUUCUCCUAUUUUUCAAAAAAUGCAGGAUUUCAUGUGCAACUACUACAUUAUCAAGAAUUUGACGGCCUGGGAUAAAAGCGGAUUGAGAGGGACUAAUACAAUGAUGCAAGACACCUUUCAAUCUAUUAGCUAUGAUUUUAGAAAUGAUUUUAUACAGGACAUUGCACAAGCUAAUAGGUCUAAAAUGCACCACAGAUUCAGGAGUAUCAACUUUAGGAAUCAACGAAAUAAUAGUAUCAUUCACAGCUUUGAGCAAAUGCCCAGUAUGAAAGAAACUCUUAAUAGCUGCUACCACAUCAUCCUUGAUAAUAUCCCAAUAGUGUUGAAAAAAUAGAGGAGACAUACCAUCCGUUCCUGGUGCUUUAUUAGGGUGCAUCGAGAACAAAGCUUUCCUGAUCUCACUUUCCUCCACUUGUCGUAUCAGUUGUCCAUUCAUAUGACUCGAAAUAGUGCUUGGAAUUUCAGCUAGAAUGUCCUCAAAGCAGUCCGGGUUAGUAGUGGUAAAAAGGUCUUUAUAGUACUCACAAAGUUCCUCCUCAAUCUCAUGUUCCUCCUUGCACCAUGUCCCAUCUUUUUUCUGCAAUAUAGUGAUCUUAUUUCUCCUCCUCUUUGCCAUGACCGAAGAAUGGAAAAAAGCUGUAUUCUUGUCCCCUUCUUUGAGCCACUUGUUCCUGGAUUUUUGACUCCAAAACAUCUCUUCCUCUGCAUAAGCUUUAUUCAAUUGUGCUUUUAGUUCAGCCACUUGUACUCUUUUCCCUUCAUCCUUUCUUGCUUUCACUUCAGCCAAUUUCUCCUUUAACACUUUAAUUCUAACCUUUGAGUUUCCCUGCACCUUUUUCCUCCAAUCCAGAAUAGCCAUGCGACAUUCCUUUAUUUUUGUAGCCACUCUAAACAUCCUGGACCCUGACUUCACCUUUGUCCAUGCUCCUUGAAUCACCCUUUUUGCUUCUGGAUUUAGCGUCCAUCGUUGAUCAAAGUAAAAUCUCCGUUUUCUCCUUGUGUUUUCCGGGUUUGUAUCCACAAGAAGCAUUAGAUGAUCAGAGGCUUCAGUAUCUAAAUGAGUACACUGUGCCUUUUCAAAUCUUUGCAGCCAUUCGGUGCUGCAUAAACAUCUAUCCAACCUCUCUUUCACUUCCCCAUCCCCCUCCCAACUAUUGCACCAAAUCCACGGGACCCCUUGAUAACCUAAGUCAACCAGGUUAUUGUCUUUGAUAAACCUGUUGAACUCCCUAAAACAUCUUUCAGCUCUAUCCCUUCCUCCCCACUUCUCCUCACUAGACCUCAAAUCAUUAAAAUCUCCUACAAUGAUCCAGCCAUCCCCCCAGUCCCUCAUCCUGUCCUCUAAAUAUUUCCAUUGUGCUUUUCUAAUGUUACUAUCUGUGCUUGCAUAAACACACACUAGCCCCCAGUAUCCUUUAGUAUCCUUGUCCUCAACUCUAGCACUAAUACACCAAUCAGUACUUACAAUCUGGUCUAAAAUCACCUCAUUGUUCCAGAAUAAUGCUAGACCGCCUGCUUUACCUAUUGAAUUCACAAAAAAGCUAUUGUCAUACUGAAUCUUCCUUUGAACCUUGCCCAUAAACCCUUCCUGAUUCUUAGUUUCACAAAGGAACACCACCUUAGGAGAGUGGAAGUUAGUCACUUCCUUUAGUUGGGGACUUGUCAAGGGGCCUCCUACACCUCGACAAUUCCACACCACAACCUUCAUUUACACUUUGGAGGCUUUCCGGGGCUAGCCUCCAUUUCCCCUAUUGUACUAACAUUUAUUAGAUCCAGUUUCAUAACCUUUACCUUCGGUACAUUAUCAUCAUCCUCCUCUAUCGGUUGUGUUCCCUGAAACAUACCAUCAGCCUUCCUUUUAGCACACGAAACCUGCGUUACUUGUCCAUUUGUAUCUGCCUUUAAGGAUGUUUUAGCCGGCCUCCCUCUUCUUUUAAAACUGCUUCUUUUUUCAGCUUUGUUAUCUUCUUCCCCUGGAGUAGCCUCCUUUCUUGGCAUUCUUGCAUUUGUCUCCUCCUGCUUUAUUGACCCUACCCGCAAACUUUCACAUUCCUGUUUUGAGCUGUCCGUUUCCAUAUCCUCAUAAUCUACUGGUGGGAUUACGCUGCUCCCUCCUUUACUCCCUUCCUGUACCCUACCCUCCUUUUCACCAUUUCCCUCCAUUAAGACCACAGCCAAACUUUCCACCCGUUGGUUUGCCUUUCCAUACUGCCUGCUGUCUUUUAGAAUCUCAUCCCACCUCUCUUCAUAUUGUCUCGUCAUCAUUUUCUCCUUAUCCCCCCUUUCCUUUCCCCCCAAGACUCUACCAUUUUUUCCCCCAAGAGUUAAUGUAUCUCCAGCCAUUUGUACUCCAGUUUGAACUUCACUACUAGGAGACCCUGCCCCCACCCUCCUUGCAUCAAUUUCACUUACUCCUUCCAGCCGUCCCUUUAAGGGAGAUACCAUUAUAUUUCCAGCUCUCAUCCAGGCACCAUAUUGUUCCUCUCGCUUCUCCCCCCCACCCUUCCUACCACAGUACAAGUCCUAUCACUAUGCCCAAUGAUACCACACCUAUAACAGAAAUCAGGGCAGCGUUCAUACCUGAACUCAACCCACACUGCCUGGUUCUUACAGUUGAUCUUUGUCCCUCUAACCAGUGGUUUCGUUAUAUCUACCUCAGCCAUAAUCUUCAUGUGGCGACCCUCUUUCCCACCACUUCCUGGGAGAAUCACUCCCCUCACUGAUUUAAAGAUCCCUCCUAUUUUCAAACCCACUGCUCUGCUCAACCAGUGCACCGGUAGGUUCCAUAGUUGAAUCCAAAGAAAGGAAUGCUGGAAAAAGCUGCUGUUUGUAUCAUACCCCUCUACCCACUCCUUCACUAUCAGCAACUGGUUGUCCAUGACCCAAGGCCCUCCAGAUAAGAUCUUUUUCUUUUCCCCUUCAUCUCCCAGAUGGAAAUGGAAUAAGUUAGGACCUAACUCAGUCACUUUCAUCUUUGAGGGGUAUCCCCAUGCAUGAUUUGUAAAGUUCUUUAACCCCGUAAAGUUGGCAAUUUUUUCACCAAUCAGCUUUCCUACCAGGCUUCCUUGACACUCAGAGACGCCUUCUUCCAGGUCCUCACCACUCAGAUCGACACCUCCUAACUCUGUUUCAGACAAGUCAAAAUUUUGAAAGGCUCUUUCUAAAGCAUCCGCCAUUGCUGUGACGAGAGCUCCUUGAGAAACCAAGCACUAUUUCUGAGCUAUGAGUGACCCACUGACAGACCUGUGAAGAAUUGCAAAGACAGACAAAGCUGUGUUAUCCGUACACACUAAAAACCAACCAGAAAAACAGAGAGGAACUCGACAGAAAAAGCACAGGCACAAGAAGAAACGAAAGAAAAAAGAAAAACCAACAAACCACUAUCCCACUCCCGACCACAUAACAGCAUUAAAGAAAGGGACACAAAUACGACACUCCAACUUCCGAUCACAUGCUCUGACUCAAUGGAUCAUAUCUUGCCCAAAGCGUUUACUCCUCCAACCGAUUCCAAACCACUACAGACAUUGUCUCCCAUUUUGAAGCCGGAAGAAAGGUGGCUUCUGGACAGGGAACAUGAAAGCAAAGGUUGAACUAAAGAUUUGAUUUUAGAUCUGAAAAUUACGCUGUAGGAAAAAGUGCUAUGUGUUUGUACCUCACCCACUCUCCCACACCGAGGAGGGGAACCUCUAAAGUUAGAGAGAGAAGCUCUCAAGUUAGAGAGAAGCUUUGGAAGUUAAUUACCAACGUACCAUGCCGUACAUGUUUGUAAGGAUUUCUAUCCUAUUGGCAAAAGUCGGUUCCAUACAAUUAAUCAAUUCAUUUCACUUCUAUUGGCUCUACUAUUUAUGCAUGUUACGACACUCUUUCCCUUAUAUUUUGCCUUUAAUAUUAUGAGUCAAUAGUAAUAAUGGGCCUUUUUCUUAAAAUUAUACUAUUAUACAUAGGUAGUUUGGUCUAACGCUAAAUUCAUGUUUGUCUUUCUUUUAUUCCCUUUACAUCUCAAAGUAUACUAUAGUUUGUAAUCAUUGUGGUGAUGAUAUUACCAGCUGGUACUUAUAGUUUAAGGCAGAGACAUGAUAUUAACAACUAUCUCAUUGAAACAUAAGUCAAAAUCAUGACAAGUGUGAGUCUUGGUUAAUGCACAAUUUGUUAGUGGAAUUUAUAUUUAUAAAACUCAAAAAAAAUUUUUGACAAUGCUAUUACUAAUUAAUUAAGGACUUCAUUGCUAUAAUUUAUCGCUUACUAAUUUAAACUAUAAAUGAUCUCAAUACUUUUCUCCAUGAUGUCGAUUUCUUUAGACUACGAAAGGGAAAAAUUAGUGACAUAUCCCUUACUGAUUACAACAUCAGCAAAAAUUAGUUAUAAACUUUUCCGGUGGUUUUAAAUCCCUCGGGCACUAAGGUUUUUUGCACAUCGAGUGAAUUAAGGAACAUAGGCAAUUCGUUCUGCAUACCAAGUCCUUGUUUAAGAUGCACGUACUAAAAUGCAUCCACUUCAUUAAUUUGGAAAAUUGCCAUAGUUUUUUUUAAGCAUUUUGAUUUUUUACAUGAUUCAAAAUUUUCUUAUUGGAUACAAUCACUUUGUGUCAAGAACACAUUUUCAAUCAUCUUUUUUAUCUUCUCAAUAAGAAAAUAAAAAUUUAUUCAUGCUUUUCUAACAUAUCCAAUCAUUGAUCUGAAAAAUAAAGAAUUAAAAAAAAAAGACAUUUUCAAUCAUUGCUUACGGGGCAACUUCCCCAUGUGAACCUCAUCAAACAAAGCCAAUAAUAUGAAGGAACAUCUAAAUACACUUUUGCCCUAAAGGCUGGUUGCCUUGGGGUCAAAAUUUAACCUUCGGGAGUAUAAUUACCCGCCAAAUUUAUUAUUUUUUUUAUGGGUAUAUAGUUCCAAUUUUGCCUCCUGUUAAGCUUAUAAAUAUAUUACGACCCAGAAAAUAAAGGAAUCUUGAAUAGUAACAUGUCCAUUGACUUGAGUUGUUAUCAAUUUGGCUACUUCGAUUCCAUGAGGCCAAUCCAAUUCACACUAGCUAGAGAAAAUGGUGAUAAAGGCACUUAGAAAUUUAUAUGUAAUAUUGAUUGGUAGUAACUGAUAAGUAUAUAUUUUACGUGUUUUAAAUAUGUUUUAUUAGUUAGUUUUGGUGUGUUUUAACUACUUUUAUAACUAAUUAACUAGGAAUCUAGUGAAAAUAUGCAUUUUGUGGUUUGAAGUGUAAAAAUUGUAUUUCUAUGGAUUUUAAUGGUGAAAACUUCAUGUUUUUGUAGGUUUAAUGAUUCAAUCAUCAAAUGACAUGAUUUGAGAAGAUAAUUAGAUGAUUGAUGAUGUUUUGAAGUGAUAAAAAGAGAAUACAAAGUGCAAGAGAGGAAAUGCAAUCAAGAAUAAAAGAAGAAAAUUUUUGUAGCUUUGACAUAUUGUCGUAUUUCGGCAAUAUAUUGAGCUACAAUGAUCGGAUUAAGGUGAUUCUUAAACCAUUUGAAGCUAAAAUAUAGAUCUACAUUUGGCAUGAAGGCAUCGAAACCCAUGUCAGUCAUUUUCCUUGUCAAAAUGUUGAAAUACAGAAGUGCAACUCUGUUCUCGAAAGCUAAAACAGAGCUCUGGCUAGUCGAGGGUAUUUUCAUCAUUUCUUAGUCCACAGAGCUCCAAAUGAGAUGAUUCUUAAGGCAUUAGAACCCUAACUCAAAGAGCUACAACUUUCAUAUUUUGUACAAGAGUUAGUUCGGCCUCUAUCAUUAAGAAAAUAGUAGUUGAAGUGGUGCCAAAUGCAUAGAAGUGAAAACGCGAGCUAUCAAUACUCGACCUGAAGUCGCGUAUUCCUGAGGUCAUGCAUUCUCUUCUAUUUUCUGCAACUUGCCCUGCUUUCACAUAACUUUUUCAUCUCAAUUCCAACUAUCAAUUUCGGCUAUAUCUGAUCAAGAAAAGUGUGGAAAGUUUGAAAGACAACUCAUAGGAGUUUCAAGAGUCAAAAAUUACAAUUAGAAACAACUCAUUUGGCUCUUGAAUCCUCUAUAAAUAGAGGCCUUUGAAGAACAUUUUCACAACUUUGGAAGGUUAGAGAAACUCCACAAAAACAUAGUCUUCACUAGAAUUUCCUUAGUUCAUUAGUUAGGGUAGUAUAGUAUAGUUAGUGUAGCUUUUCCUUCUUGUAUUUAUAGUUAGGUUUGAAUGAAGAUUCAGGAGCAAAGAUAGAGAGGUUGAUCUCAUGUGACAAGGGUGAUAUCUCUUCUACUACUUUCUCUUUUGUAUUUGAUUUCAUAUUUAACUAUACUACAAAUUUGGCUUUGUUUUUUUUUUUUUAUCAUGUUUAGUUAAAGUUUAUGCCUAGAGUAUGGAUGACCUUUUUAUAUCUUGUUUGUGAUAUUUAACUGGUUAUUUGAUGAUGUUAUUUUUGAGCAAGUUAUUUAUCACUUUUGCUUUUCUAAUCAUGAUUAACUGGCCAUUAGUUGUGAUUAUCUAAAAGUGUUAAGUUUGUAAUGAGAAUUGGAGUUUAACACUAGUUCAAGGAAGUGAUAAAUUUAGGGAGUUCACUCAUGAGAGUAGAGGAACACCUUUGUGACCUAAGUGACUUGUUUCAUAUAAUUUCAUAGAAAAAAUGAACUUGUAAUUAAUUUCAUAACCACGAGAGUAAGUAUGGUUUAGCUAUAUGUAUAGUUGAUUCACUACGAGAGUAGGUUUCACAUACAUUAGAAAAUUACAUCAUAACUAGUCAAGAUAAUAUCAUUCAUUUAAUCAGUAAUCUCAUUUGCAUGAGUAGUAAGGCAUUCCAUAUCUCUAGGAGGUUUUUAGUAUUAUUUUCAUUACUUUUAUGUUUAUGGUAGUCUAGAUAAUAAUGGAGUUCGAAAACUACUAGUAAUUGAAAAUUUUCCCUGUGGGAUCGACCUUUAAUACCCUAUACUCGCUCUCGACUCGUAUACUUGAGAAAAAUCACGUGUGCGGUAUUUAGAAUUUAUAAAUGUAAAACUUGACUGUAGAUGAACUAAUUGAUAUAUGUAUACCCCGCACUCGUCAGUAACCAGCUUGUAUUGAUCCCACUAUUGUGGAUAAUUGUGCUCUUAUGAAAAAAAAUUAUAAAAAAAUUAGCAAAAUUUAUGAUAACAAAUUAAAUUUAUUCAUACAAAUCAGUGAAAGAAGUAGAAUUUUAAAGUCCAUGAUGAAAUUAAUACUUUCAAGGGCUCUAUUAGGAAGACUUCACUUGUUGGUGAAACUACACUAGCACAGUUAUAUGCACAUUUACUGUUUUGGUAUCUAAUUUCCUUGCCUUAAGUUGGGUGCAGAUGUUUAUAUUACAAAUAGAUGGUAUCAUAAAAUUGUUGUAUUCACGUUUGUUCUUUUUUUUCUUCCUUAAGUUUUUUUCUUUAUUCUCGUGACUUCAAAAAUACGAACUCAAGAAAUUGGCUGCUUAAUCAAUAUGUCAUACAGGCUUCGCUAGUGAGGUAUAACUUCACAACUAGAGUCAAUAGAAAUUAUCAAAUGAUUUUUUAACAUCCAAAUUAAGCAAUAAAUUUUGUUUUCAUUUUAUGACAUAUAAUAGUACUACUUCAUGAGAGAUUUUAUAGUUUCUUUUAGGUAUCAUACCUACAAGUGAUAUUUGUCAUUGGAUAGUGACAGAAGUGUUAAUGAUUGUAAGAUUAAAUAUUGUUAAAUAUUGAAAUUUAAACUAUUUAUCUUUAUUGAAAGAUACAAGUUAAAGAAUCGUUCAAGGGGGCAAUUUUCCAUCUUGUCUUUUUGAAAAAACGCUAUCACAUUGUAUAGGCAUGAUAGGUUCAAAUUUGUCAUUAAAUUUAUGAUUGAUUUUCCUUUUAUUCAAGCCAAAUAUUGUUUUAAUUAUCAAAUUCUACUUAUAUUUGGUUAAUUGUACUAAUUGUAGGGCGGUAGAGCAAAAGUUGCUAAAAAUAGGCGAUUUUCUGCAAAUUGGUUGUCAAGGCUGAAGGAUUUGGGAUUCGCAUGUUCAAGGCCUGUUUCCAAGUUUGAUUCAAACUCUGGACAGUUUUAGAGGAAGAUUUGGAAGAUUUGAAAUUUCAUUAUUAGUUUUAUGGUUGAAUUAGGAAUCUUGGAAUAAUUUCUUUUGUGAUUUAUUUUUCUAUUUAGGAGACUAGUUGUUAUUUAGUAGUAGACUUCAAUUAGAAAACAAAGAGAAAAAGAAGGCCGGAAUCCCGCUUGAUUAAUACCUUGGCCAGGGAACAAUCUCGGUGGGGAGGACGGCCACUUAGCCUCUCAAUUCAUCUUGCUUUUCGUUAGUUUGAGAGGAAAACCAAUUGCAACUAGAUUCAAUGGAGUCUGGCAGAAUUUCUUCUAGGAUGCGUAGCUAAAUCCUCAAUUUUUAGUCGAAGGUCAAUUUGAAAAUUCGGUUCCAAAUAUCUGUGAAAUCGAAUUAUUUUACUUAUUUCUUUUAUUUAUUGGUAUUCGCACGUUUUCUGAUUUAACUUUUUAUGAUUGUUUUGUUAUUUGAAUGUCAAGGGUCCGAUAUUCGAAUUAACUUAAUAAUCUACUGCCAAAUUAACCGGUUAAAUCCGUAAUUGUUUGAUUGAUUAAUAUCAGUGGCGACUAGCGUGAUUGGUCCCAUGUUAGGAAAACGUCUGAUCUAAUUUAAACAAACCGUCGUAGCGUGUUUGUUGAUUAGGGUUGGGCUUUUCUAAUUCUUAAUUCAAUUGAGAAAUUAAAUCCCCCGGUCGUACCUAGGAUUAUUUUUUUGUUAGCGAAAUAGUUAAUGGUCGUACCUUGACUAUCGAAAAAGUAAGGAAGAGUUGAUUGUUUAUCGCGUGUACGACAACUAUAAUCAAUCUAUUAAUGAGUAAUUGAAUUAUCUUUGCAUCAGUAAUCAGUUGAAUGGACCGUGUCUGAAAAGUUGUACCUUUGGCUAGAGUCUUAUCUGUUGUUGAUUCAUUCAUAUCUAUCUUCAUGCGUUGUUUUAAUUUAGUUAAUUAGUUAUUUUUAUAAAAACCCCUCAUCUCUGGACUCUAAAAGAAAUAAAUUAUUUCUAGUUCCUGUGGAUUCGAUCCUACUCACCAUACAAUCCAACCUGCAAUUGUAUGAACCCCAAUCUCGCUUCCUAGUCCACCAUUUUUCUCUAGGUAAUAAUCUCCCUUCUAAUUUCUUCACAAAAUGCACCUUUCAUCACCUCCAAUAGCGUCGACAUGAUCUUUACCCCAGAAGACUAUUCACCGACUCUCAAUUGACGUUAGAAAAUCUAAGAGUAAUUCUACUUUACCCUAAGAUUGAUAUCAACAAGACAAGGACAAUUUAGAAUUAUUACACGCCUCUUCUUAAUAGGAAAAAGAAAUAGAGAAGAAAGUCAGGCCAGGUCUAAUUUCUUUUCAAAGGCAAUACAACAUUACGAAAUCAAGCAUUCAUUCAUACAAAUAUUUCAUAGUCACCGGUUUGCUGAGUAGAAAAAUUUAGACAAAAACUUAAUAUUAUAUUGUUUAAGAGUUAACAAUUUAGAGCUUAAUCUCCUUGUACUUUGGAGUUAACAAUUUAGAGCUUAAUCUCCUUGUACUUUGGACUAAACUUGAACGUGAAAGGAAAUCCCAAAACCAUAUUGGGCAUGAAUUCACACUUAAUAUACCCAAUAAAAGAUGGCGACUGGUGAAAGGCAGUGGAGACUGGUGGAGAGAUUUGAGGAAUAGAAGCAGACGGAAAAGCAACAAAUUUUUGCCGAAAAACGGUCACUUUCAUGGUUAAUUUUGCUACUCUCCAAUUGUACUUGACCAAUUACAACAAUUUCAUGGAGUUUGAUACGUGAAAAGAAUUUUUUAUAAAUUUUAUUUUGAUCCAUAAUGUUAUCUUUACAUAUAUAAAACAUUUUACAAUUUUGAUUUUGGCGCAGUUAACUUUUGGUAAACAAAAAUGCUCAUGUUUAAAAAACCGGAAAUAAAACAAAACAAGAAACAAAAGAAAUAAGAGGGUAGCAUAGACAUUUUGGAUUUUUCCGUUAAUUUGGAUGAUUUCCACCCACGUUCUAAUUUAAUCCAAAACACAAAGGAAUUACGUAGAGGUUUUAAAUAAUGAGGGAGCUUCAUGAUCGAACCCCAAACCACAAGGCGAUUUACUAUAUUUUACUCUUAAAUUUUGGUUUCAUCUCAUAGCAUACAAGAGUUCUAUUUCACUAUCUGUAGACAAAGACUUUCUAUGGUUGAUGUACCAUAGGAAAAAAUCUGCCUAUACAACGUGAUAGCAUUUUUUCAAAAACACAAGAUGGAAAAUUGCCCCCUUAAACGGGGAAAUUCAUGAUCUUUCCUCGAACAAAGAAUACUCACGCCUAUUCAAGAUGGAAAAUUGCCCCCUUAAACGUCUAUUUGUCAAUUCUUGAAAAAAGAAUACUCACGCCUAAAACACGGCCUCUUCAUCUGCAGAAUUCUAAAAAGUUAGGUAAACUCUAUAAACAAGUUGAUAGGUACAAUCGUACCCAAGAUCAAGUACAGAUAGUUGUACAUUCACUGCUGCAAUAACUAAUCUGAUGACUUACAAACAUAUCAUGGUCAAUCGUUGAAUGGUAAUGAGUCUUUUGUUAUGCAUUAGUAUUAGUGUGUACACUCUAAUAGAUUGAUACUUAUACUCUUUAAAUUAUCAUAAUAAUACCCUUAAUUAACUUUAACUCUUAAAAAGAAUACGUGUUAAUACACGAGAGUGUGUAACCUGAAUUGUUACUUAUACAUUAGUGUGUAAUAGAUAGGGAUGGCAAUGGGGGCGGGUGCCCGCAGGCAACCGCCCCGCGGGGGGCUCUCGGGGCGGGGAGGGGGGAAUUUUUUCCCCCCGUUUAGAAACGGGGCAGGGGACGGGGGAGUAUACCCCCGCCCCAUCCCCCGCAAAAAAAAUUAUAUAUAUAUAAUUAUAUAUAAUAUGUAAUUUAAUUAGUUAUAAACUUAUGAUAAUGAUAUUAUUAGUUAGAUGUAUUAUAUAAUGUAUAUUAGUGUAUGUAAUAUAAUUAAUAUUAUCAAUUAUACGAAUAAUUAGACAUGUCUACUAAUAGAAUUUAUUAAUUAGUUAUACUAAAUUUACUAAUACAUUUAUACUAAAUUUCUAAUUACAUUUAAUAGAAUAACACUUUUUUCUAAAAAAAAAAGCACAAACACAAUAAUGAAUUAGUGAUUGUAUUUUUACCAAAAAUGAAAACUUAACUAUUUUAGUUGCAUUUAUUUCAUCAUGUUGGAUUGUAUUCAAAUAAUUUUUGUUUGAUUGUUUUUAUGAGUUUCAAUUGUAAAAUUAAAAUGAAUAAUAACUUGAUGAAUAAUAAUGUCAAUCGUUGAAUGGUGUGUACACUCUAAUAUUAUGCAUUAGUAUUAGUGUGUACACUCUAAUAGAUUGAUACUUAUACUCUUUAAAUUAUCAUAAUAAUACCCUUAAUUAACUUUAACUCUUAAAAAGAAUACGUGUUAAUAACUCUUAACCUGAAUUGUUACUUAUACAUUAGUGUGAAAUAGAACGGCAAGCAUUGAGCAACUUAUAGGAGAAAUAGUCCUAUAAGCUGUUGGAUGACUAAUAUAGCUCUAGCUGUAAUGUUUUAAUUAAAUUACAUCACUAACGUUGGGAUGACUAAUGGUUUAAAAAUAAUUGAGUAAUUGGAAAAAAAAAAAGAGACUAAUUUUCAUUGAAACCCACCGACAAACUAAACGUGUCCAUGGCUUUUGAAUAGUGCAUUCAACGUUUAAUUGUAUAGUCCAGUUCAUUGCAGAUUACAUGGAGUAAAGAUUGUGCUCUUUCCUUUUUCACCCCUUUUGGAAUCGAUACUGUGGAGAAUUGGGUUUUUCCCUUCUUUUUUUCUUUUCUUUCUUUCUGUGCUUUGCAAAACAUAGGUAAAAUUAUGAAAUCCGAAGCAUUCUUUAAUUGGGAUUAAGUAUUGUUCUUGAAAUUAAAAAGAAGAAAGAAAGAACAACAAAAUUCCCUGAUUGGUUGCAUCGUGCUUCCAUAGAAGCUCUCUUAGUGUGAUACACUGCUUUCAAUCAGUUUAACAUGGAAAAAAGAAAGAGAUGAAAAGCAAAUUUGGUGGGGAUAAUUUCAGAAACCUCCCCUGAAGAUUUUGACUAUUCUACUGGUCUCCCUUCAGAUUUUAAAAAUUACACUAAUCUUCCUUGAAGUUAUAACAUUUAAAUUCAAUCAAUAAUUUAAAAAAUGAUAUUAUGAAAGAGAAAAUAAUAUGAUUUUAUCAUUGCCCCCCAUCUUACUACAUUAUUUAAUUAAUUUAAUAGCAACCCACACAUUAAAGAAAAAUAUAAAAUUUGUUAUUUAUCAUUAAAGAUCAAAUCGCUUAUAACAUCAAAUAAUAGUAUAUUAUUUAUAUUUUUCACUUAACAUAAUAUCCAAAUUACUCUUUUCAAUUACAUACUCAUUGUUAGACAAUCAACAACAAAUAACCAAAAAAUUUGCAACCAAAAUAUUACAAAAAAAAAUAAACUUUAACAUCAUAAAUAUUCUUAUCAACAUAUUAAAGUUAGUUACUGAAAUUUUUAUGGUGUUAAACUUCACUCUUUGUAAUAUUUUGGUUACAGAUUUUUUUUGAUUAUUUUUUAUUAAUUAUGUUUGAUGAUGGGUUUGUAAUUGAAAAGAAUAAUUUAAAACUUACAUUAAGUGAAAUAUAUAGAGUGAUAUACUAUUUUUUAUAACAUAUGUGAUUCAAUCCUUCUUGAUAGGAUUGGUAAUAGAGGUAGAGGGGGGAGUCGGCUGCAUCCGGUCUUCUUUUCAUAGAUAGUACAAUAUUGCGAAAUCAAUCGCAUUCACACAAUAAUAUUUCGAAGUCAAUGCAUGGCUAAGUUGCAUAAAAGUACGAACACUUGUUAUUAUAUAGCUUAAGAUUCAAAACUUUAGAGCAUAACCCUCCACCUAACACAAUUGAAUAAUGAAUAUUCACGUUUGUCAAAUCUGUCAAAGCACAGUUUGAGGACAACCCAUUCCAACCUGCAAAAGAUUUUUUACUUUUCUAAAGUUGUUGAGAGCUGUAAAAAGACCUACCAUGCUUACAUCCUCCGAGCCUUGGGAGUUAAAAAUGAAGGCACUGAGUGCUAUAAAAAGGGGGCUAGAGGCUGCCUAGAAGCAUAUCAGCCUAAAACAAGAAUUUGUUGUUAUGAUGGGAAGCAAAGCAAAAGCAAUGGGGUCUGGGCUGACUCCUCUUCUUGCCACUGUUUUAGUGGUAUUUGUUGCUCUUGGCUUGCCCUCAGAAACAGCAGCUGAUGAUCACUACAAGUAUUCAUCUCCUCCUCCUCCUUACCACUAUCCCUCACCACCGCCUCCAGUGCAUUUACCUCCACCAGUGUACAAAUACAAGUCCCCACCACCACCUCAUCAUGUUUACAAGUACAAAUCUCCACCACCCCCACCACCACACCCAGUUUACAAGUAUAAGUCACCACCACCACCUCCUCAUCCGGUACCACACCCAGUUUACAAGUAUAAGUCACCACCACCACCUCCUCAUCCGGUAUACAAGUAUAAGUCUCCUCCGCCACCACCACACCCAGUUUACAAGUAUAAGUCACCACCACCACCUCCUCAUCCGGUACCACACCCAGUUUACAAGUAUAAGUCUCCUCCGCCACCAGUUUACAAAUAUAAGUCUCCUCCACCACCACCUCCAGUGUACAAGUACAAGUCUCCACCACCACCAGUUUACAAGUACAAAUCACCACCACCUCCUCCCCCAGUUUACAAAUACAAGUCUCCACCACCACCAGUUUACCACUACAAGUCACCACCACCUCCUCACCCAGUUUACAAGUACAAAUCUCCUCCACCACCAAUUUACCACUACAAGUCACCACCACCUCCUCCCCCAGUUUACAAAUACAAGUCUCCACCUCCUCCUCACCACUACUAAGCAAUUGCUUCUGAGGUAAUAACACUUGUUCAAUAACACUUGAUAGCCAGCUGAAUAUUUGCAGGCAAAGGAGAAGGAAACCAGUGUUUGAGACCUUCUUGAAGAUGUAGAAGCAUAAGAAUUAAAGCCCAAUGUGAAGAUGAUGAUUUCAAGUUUUUCUACGUUACCAUUUCAAUAUCUAAAUUGGUUGUAGCGCCUUAGUUCCUUUGUUUAUGGGAUUUGUAUCGUUUUACGUACCAUGCAGUACAUGUCAUGUUUGUAAGGUUUUCUAUCCUGCCGGCAAACCGCAGGUUCCAUGUAAUAAAUCAAUACUAUUUAUAUUACGACACUUUUCUCUGUUUCUCUUAUAUUUUGUCUUUAAUAUUCUUAAUCAUAUUUUUAACAAAAAUAUUCAAACACUUCAGCAAUGGUUCACCUAGUUGAUCAUCGAAGCAGAGGCAAUUCCAAUUAUUUAUCAAUAAAUAGGAUAUAACUACCAAACAAGCGAUGGCAGUUAACCCCUCCUUACUGUGUCGGUGAUCAAGGUACGCCCGUUAAUCACUGCUCUAAUUGAGAAAUAAUCCUAAGUACGCCCGUAGAAUUUAAUUCCCCAAUUGCCUUACAUAUUAGAGGAGCCCUAUUCUAACCAAAUAACGCACUAUCAGGGUUAUUUUAGAUUAGCCCGCGUAUUCCCCUGACAUAAAUCUAAUCAUGCCAGUUGUCAUUAUUUUGAGGUAAUUAAACAAUUACGGAUUUAACACCUCAAUUGACAAUAGAUUAUUAAAUUAAUUAAUUAUUCGGAUCCAAGACAAUCAAUUAAUUAAACAACCAUAAGCACUACAAUCAGAGAAUAUGCAAAUACCAAUAAAUAAAUAAAAAAUAAAAUUAAAUCGAUCUCACAAUUUUUAGGCGAAUCAGAGCAUCCGUUGUCCCUUGACUAGAGCAAGGAAAUUAGUUCAUAUUUGAUGAACUAAACCCAUACAAAAGGGAAGCGAGAAAUGCAGCCAUUAUCCUUUGAAAUCUGGAAAAUUCAACUUGUCCGAAUAUCGAAUAGAUAGUAAUACUACAAAAGGUAAUUCAUAGCUUCCCUUUCGUCUGACACACAAGAAGAAAAAAAAGGGCUGCUAAUAACUAAAGGAGGAAAAGUCAAAGUCCUAAGCUAUGCUACAAGACGAAAAACUAAAGAAGACAAAAAGGCAGUGCUCAUUCCCUGCAAUCUCAAUUCCUAUUCUAUCUAAGUGCUCUCCAAUGUGCGGCGGCUCCCCUUCCGGAGAGGACGAAGUGGCACCCUUUUUUCCUGCGCAAUUUUCCUAUAUAAAGUAGUGCUCCUUGCAGCGGCUCCUGUGCGAAAAAAUGAAGACUUCGGCCCAAUUUGCCUAACAAGGGCUCACGUUUUGUUGUUCUAAAAAUGUCCCUAGGACAAACUCUAUCAUCUGAACUCUUUUCUUGCCAAAUUAGUACCUGUUAUUAUAUUUUCGUUCUACUCCCUGAAAUAAAUGCAAAAUAUCAAAAGUGAGUAGAAUCUAGCAAUUAAUCCACAUUAGGUCAGGUAAUAGGGAAAAUUAAUAAUAAAAUAAAUGAUAAAAUUGCAAUCUAUCACGGGACCACUGUGGUAAGGUGUGUUUCGCCUAUUAUAAGGAGUUCGGAGAGUUAGACGUGUUGGAGGCGGAGGCGCGGUCACUCCUGCACGCCCUCCAGCUGUGUGCAGAUCGCGAGGUACGGGCGUUGACUGUAGAAUCUGAUUCAAAGGUGCUUGUUCAACUAGUUUGCUCGGAUAUGAGGUCGAAGUGGCCGGUGUGUAUCGUAUUGCGGGAAAUAAGACAUUUGAUCCGGCGGAUGGGUGCAUCCCUUCAUCAUAUAUUCCGUGAGGCCAAUUCGGUGGCGGACGCAUUGGCUUCUCUGCAAUUGGGAGGGCAGCAGUACUACACCUCAGGCGUGGCGCUGCCUUUCAGGCCCAGAGGAGAGGCUCUGCUGGAUCGUCAAGGAGUACCUCGCAUCCGUGAGGCGCUCACUAAGGUUUGAUAGGCUAUGUCCUCCUUUCAAAAAACUUAUUUCAUCUACUCCUUGUAAUCAUUUUUCUUAUCAAUAAAUUGAGGCUUUUUAUUUAAAAAAAAACAUAUAAUUUAAGGCAAAAAUAUGAUCCUAGCGAGUAUCGCACUGAGACAUUAGGAAACAUCAUUAAAAGAGUAUUUCUUGAGUUAGUGCAACUAUUUCUUAGGGGAAUUUAUAGUUACAAAAUUCAAAAAUUUGAGAUUCUAUUACUGAUUAAUUAAGGGCGUUAUCACUAUUUUUCUUAUUAUCACCAUUAUUUACCCCACAUACUAUAAGUUUUUUUAGGGCACAGGAAAAGAGGUGGGCCGAUGUUUAGUUAUGUACAAAAGUUCAAAAUUUGUAGAUAACUUAUCAUGUGCCCUUAGAGCGUAGAAUACAGAAAAAAUAUCUUAAACUAUAACUAAUCCUAAUAUUUUUCUCUAUGAUAAACUAGCUCUUAUCCAUUUCUUUAGAUGAUGAAAGGAAAUAGUUAGUCACCUGUCCUCUAGUGAUUACAACAGCAUCAAAACAAAUUAGCACUCUUUUCCCGUAGUUUAAAAAUCCCUCAGCCACUAAGAUUUUGCAUGUCGAACGAAUUAAGGAACAUAGAAGGUUCGUGCUGCACCACAGUGUCCUUGUUGACGAUGCAAAGACAGAAAUGCAUCCGCGUAUACUUCCUUAAGCAUUUUGAUUACUUUAUGAUUCGAACUUUUCUUGUCUGACAGCUGGACUUAAUUGAAAAACACAAGUAACAAUAUUUCAAAGUUGAUUCGUCAAAGUUUACCCAAUUGGUGAAACUUUCUUCAUAGAGCUGACUUUGUAUUAGGUGACAAUGAUAUGGAAUUGAUGUCCUUCCCUUUUUCCUUUUUUUGUGUUGAAGACGCACAACGUUUUCAAUGGCAAAUUUAUAUGGGCUUUUCACGACAAAAUGUGUUCUGAAAAGUUCAUUCCAGAGGUUAAAAUUUUGUGUGUUAAAAAUUUGCUUCUCAGGACUUUGAUGGGAAAGUCUUGGUGUUUCCAAAAAGUUUAAGCAGGAUGCUUCUGGCUUUCUCUCCAUGUAUUUGUGAGUUAGAUCUAAAAUUAUCAGGGCUCCAGAGAUCUCUUGAAAUCGCAGCAUAUAUUGAAGUCUUUCCAGAAGGAGUCUUUUUUUUUUUUUUUAUGAAUUAUGAUAGAUAAUUAAUCUGACGGUGCAUAUAUAUAUAUAUGUGAUUUGCAGUAGGGUGUUUGACGAAAUGGUUAGGCUUCCUAAGUAAUGAUAGGAAUGCCAUUUGCAAAGAAGGACAGGGGGCUGGUGCUGUCAUAUUUUAUGCGAUUUGAUCCGUUGUUGUAUAAGUUUAAACUUUUGACGUGCAAUUGUGCUAUAAUAUUAUACUAAAUAUAUGUGUGAAAUAUUUUGUCUAUAUACAUCACUUUUAUCAUGAAUACAACAGCUGAGUAUAAUAAUAUAGUAUAAUGUAAUUGUACACCAAAUAAUGUAGCAAAUAUAACAAUUGAUCCGAAUUACACGGAACCAUAACAACAAGAUCACCGCCUCCCAAAUUUUACAAAAUUAGGUUUUUUUUUUUUCUCUUAGAUUAUUGAAAAUUUUCAAAAAUAAUCUACAUAAUUUAAGCUUUUGUCCUACAAAAAUUUGAAGAGAUUUUACAUUACAAGCUUAAGCUUAGAUAUAUUAAACUUUGCCCCCAAGAUUAAUUUUCCGUUUUUAUCUAUGAACCGAUCCAUAUAGCUAGUUAGACUGUAGUCCUCACAUUUGUGGGAUUUAACACCCAAGAUUCUCCUUCUUGGAAUGUAAAAUGUAGAUCUUCUAUGUUAAUAAUUCAAGACCCUACUGUCAUAAACGAAAUGACUGAUCAACUCCUGUAAACCUAAUUUGACAACAUUUAAAUGGAGAACUUUAGCUAAAAGAAUUAUGGUCAAGCUAAAGAAAAAGCCAGUUAUUUUCCAACAUAUGCAAUCAUUGAUCAGGAAAAAAAAAAAAAAGCAAAAAGACAUCUUCAAUCAUUUAAUAGCUCACAGUGCAAAUUAACCCCUAAGCGAAAACUGGUUGCUCUAGAAUCAAAAUUUUACCUUAGUUACCCAGGCAACUUUUUUGUUGCUUUUUUUUUUUUCUUUUCCUUUUUGGGUAUAUAUAUAGCUCCAGUUUUGCCCCCUCUGUCAAGCUUAUAUAAUUAUUAAGAUAAUAAAAGUGCCUUGAAUAGUAUUAAUAUAUCCAUUGACUUGAGCUGUCAUCGAUCGGUUUGGGCUACUUCGAUUCCAUGAGAACAAAUGGUAAUAAAAGUACUCAGAAAAUAGGGAGCCAUGAAACCCUUUUGUUCUAUUCAUUGCUAAGAUGCUUUUCUCUAUAAAGAGACUUCCUAACGAAAGUACUUUGUAGAUUUCUUUACUCCAAGUGGUGCAUGGAAAAUUAAAAUAUUCAAUUAUCAAAUAAAAUUCCCUUUUUUCGGUGUAGAUUUCAUCCAUCCAGCUGUUAACACAUUUUAUGUAUCCGAAUUAUAUAUUCUCUACCAAAUAUUGUAACUUUUCUGAGCAUCUUUACAUUUUUAUUCCCACCUAACAAAUUAGUUGUUGAGCAUCUUUACAUGCUAUCGGAUCACAAGUUAAUAAUCUUUUAAAGAACAUGUUAAAUUAAUUUAUUGGUAUGAAUAGUCAAAGAAGUAUAUUAAAGUUAGUAAUCUUUAAACACCACGAUGCAAUUAAUACUUUCAAGCUCAAGGUCUUUUUUUUUUUUUUUUUUGGUACUGUACUUCCUUGCUUUAUAGUAUGCACGUUUAUUUCUGUGGAUUGCUUAAGCUUAUAUUGUUAAUAAUUGGGCAUUUAACCAUAAAUUAUAAUGAUUAUGAAGUCAUAUAUAUAUAUAUAUAUAUAAGAAAAUUACCACAAUUAUUCAAUUUUUUUUGCAAAUUCAAAUUUUAUUAAUAAGAAAUAGGCAGUAAGCUUUUACAAACGGAAAAAAAAAAUCCUACAACAACUCUAGGACCUUUGAAAGAAAGAAAAAAAAAAGAAAAGAAAAGCUUAAGGACUCUACCUCAUAGAAGCUAAACAAUCCUACAAAUAAACUGCAAAAUAAAUCACAAUAACGCAAAAUUUUUGUCUUUCUUCCGUAUGAAAUGAAACUACGAAGUCAAGAAUUGACUCCUUUAACCGCUAUUGCCAGCGGGCUCCGUCAGCAAGAUACAACUUUGCAAUUUGAUUCAAUAGAAAUCCUCAAAUAGCUAUUUUGACAGGCAAAUUAAGCAUUAAUUUUGGUAUCCCUUCAUAAAAUACAAGAGUACUUUUGAUUAUAUCUAUAGAUCAACUUUCUAGGCUAUUUUGAUGUAUUAUAAGAAAAUCUGCCUCAACAAUUUUGAUAGCAUUUUUCCAAAAGCAGAAGAUGGAAAAUUGCCCAUUUGUACUGGGGAGUUCGUGAUCUUUUCCUCCUUCUAGUCUACUUACAAUUCUUGGAAAAAGGAAUACUCACAUCUCAAACAACUGCCUGUUCAUCUGCAAUGUCCUGCCGAAUUCUAGAAAGUUAGGUGGCAAUGCUAAUUACAUUUCAAAAUUGACUGCUGCGAUGACUAAUUCGAUGGCUUACUACAUGGUCAACGUUUGGAUCCCUUCCUGUCCUUUUUGGAUGCACAUUUUUUUUCUCUAGGCAAUAUAUAAUCUCCCAACUCAUUUCUUUACAAAUGCACCUUUAAUCACCACCAAAAGGUGUGGACAUGAUCUUUACCCUAGAAAACUAAUCACCGACAGGCAAAUUGACGUCAGAAAUACUAAGAGGAAUUCUAGUUUCCUUCGGGUUAAUGCCAUUUUGUACCCUUCAACUGUAACUCGAUUUCUAAACUAUAAUUUGUGACAUUAUAGUCCUUAAACUAUGAAACCCCUCUUACUUAAGUACAAUGGUUAAUACAAUACCCGUGACUAGACAAGCAACCAUAACAAAAAAAAAUCCAAAAUUAGAGAAAAGAAAGAAGUUUCGCGACCAAAGUAUGUAUCAAGGCAUAGUAUAGAAAUAAAAGUGUCCAAAUUAAGAGUUUAGGGAUAAAAGAGAUCAAGAUAUAGUUUAGGGAUUGAUUUGUCUCAAUUAGAGUUUUGAUGUCAACUAAGAAGAGAGAUAUAGUUGAAGGGUAGAAUAUAGAUAUAACAGUUCAAUGAUUGAUAUCAACGAGACAAUGACAACUUUGGAUUAUUACCAACCUCUUCUUGAUGGGAAAAGGAAAUAGAGAAGAAAGUCGGGCCUGGUCUAAGCCUGCUUCGGAGGCAAAACAACAUUAUGAAAUCACCGGCAUUCACACAAAUAUGUCAAAGUCACCGGCAUGCUAAGUUGCAUAAUUUAUACAAACACUGAAUAAUAUAUUGUUCUUAAAAUUUUUGUUUAAGAUUUAACAAUUAGAGCACGGUACACGAAUUAGCAAUAUUAAAUAAUGAAUGUUCACGAUUGAUAAAGUUAUCAAAGUACAGUUUGAGGACAACCCAUUCCAACGUGUACAAGAUGUUUAGCCUUUGAAAAGUUAAUUAGAGAAGGUGACGAGAUUUUACUAGGCUUAAAUCUUCUAGGCCUCGGAAGUAAAAAAUGAAGGCCUUUGAGUGCUAUAAAAAGGGGGCUAGAUGUUGCCUAGAAGCAUAUCAGCCUCAGACCACAUUUUGUAGCAAUGGGGAGCAAAGCAAAAGCAAUGGGGUCUAGGCUGACUCCUCUUCUUACCACCGUUUUAGUGGUAUUUGUUGCUCUUGGCUUGCCUUCAGAAACUGUGGCUGAUUACUACAAGUAUUCAUCUCCUCCUCCUCCUUACCAUUAUUCCUCACCACCACCUCCUGUGCAUUCACCUCCACCACCGCCAAUUUAUAAGUCACCCCCACCACCUUACCACUACUCCUCACCGCCACCUCCAGUGUAUUCAUCUCCACCACCACCUUCGCCAGUUUACAAGUCUCCGCCACCACCUUACCAUUAUUCGUCACCACCGCCUCCGGUGCAUUCACCUCCACCACCACCUGUUUACAAGUCACCUCCACCACCUUCGCCAGUUUACAAGUCUCCGCCACCACCUUACUAUUAUUCGUCACCACCGCCUCCGGUGCAUUCACCUCCACCACCACCGAUUUACGAGUCACCUCCACCACCUCCUCCAGUUUACAAGUCUCCGCCACCACCUUACCAUUAUUCCUCACCACCACCUCCAACGCAUUCACUCCCACCACCAGUUUACAAAUCACCGCCACCACCUCCUCCUAUGUAUAAGUCCCCUCCACCACCUUAUCAUUAUUCCUCACCACCACCUCCAGUGCAUUCACCCCCACUGCCACCAAUUUACAAGUCUCCGCCACCUCCAAUCUACAAGUAUAAGUCACCACCACCUCCUCCCCCAAUUUACAAGUCACCACCACCACCUCCUCCAGUAUAUAAGUCCCUACCCCCACCAGUGUAUAAGUACAAGUCUCCACCACCACCUCCUCCAGUAUACAAAUCACCUCCACCACCUCCUCCAGUUUACAAAUCUCUACCACCACCAAUUUAUAAAUACAAGUCUCCUCCACCACCUCCUCCGGUUUACAAUUCCCCACCACCACCAAUCUACAAGUCUCCACCUCCACCCUCCCAUUACUACUACAAUUCUCCUCCUCCUCCUCCUCAUCACUACUAAGCAAUUGUAUCCAAGUUUUUGAGGUAAUAAUGCUAAACCAAUAUAUUAACUUUCGCAUGAUAAACUUUAUCUCUAUCAAGACAAACUGCCAUGUGCAUCAAGCCAAAUACGUACACUUCGAUCCAUGAAAAUGACAAGUAGAAGGUUUUCUUAAGAACCAAGGAACAGCAUUAGUAUUCCCUCUGUUUCCAAAACUUGUGUAUUAAAUAGAUUAAUGAAUUGUUUAACAUGCUUAUCUACUUGAAAAUGCACAAUACCCAUAACCCACUGAAAUUUUUGCAGGUAAAGGGGAAGAGAAUCUGUGUUUGAGAGCUUCAUGAAGAUGUUGAAGAAUAAGAAUAAAAGCCCAAUGCGAGGAUGUUUUCAAGUUUUUCUAUGUUUCCACUUUAAUUUGUAAAUUGAAUUUUUCGACUUAAUUAAUUCCCUGUUUGUGGGGUACGUAUUGUUUUACGUACCAUGCCGUACAUGUUUGUAAGGAUUUCUAUCCUAUUGGCAAAAGUCGGUUCCAUACAAUUAAUCAAUUCAUUUCACUUCUAUUGGCUCUACUAUUUAUGCACGUUACGACAUUUUUUCUCUCUUUCCCUUAUAUUUUGUCUUUAAUAUUAUUGAGUCAAUAGUAAUACUGGGCCAUUUUUUUUAAAACUUAUACUAGUAUACAUAGGUAGUUUGGUCUAACGCCAAAUUCAUGUUUGUCUUUCUUUUAUUCCCUUUACAUUUCAAAGUAUACUAUAGUUUGUGAUCAUUGUGGUGAUGAUAUUACCAGCUGGUACUUAUAGUUUAAGGCAGAGACAUGAUAUUAACAACUAUCUCAUUGAAACAUAAGGAAAAAUCAUGACAAGUGUGAGUCUUGGUUAAUGCACAAUUUGUUAGUGGAAUUUAUAUUUAUAAAACUCAAAAAAAAAAUUUUGACAAUGCUAUUACUAAUUAAUUAAGGACUUUAUUGCUAUAAUUUAUCGCUUGCUAGUUUAAACUAUAAAUGAUCUCAAUACUUUUCUCCAUGAUGUCGAUUUCUUUAGAUACGAAAGGGAAAAAUUAGUGACAUAUCCCUUACUGAUUACAACAUCAGCAAAAAUUAGUUAUAAACUUUUCCGGUGGUUUUAAAUCCCCGGGCCCUAAGAUUUUUUGCUCAUCGAGUGAAUUAAGGAACAUAGGCAAUUCAUUUUGCAUACCAAGUCCUUGUUUAAGAUGCAAGUACUAAAAUGCAUCCACUUCAUUAAUUUGGGAAAUUGCCAUAGUUUUUUUAAGCAUUUUGAUUUUUUACAUGAUUUAAAAUUUUCUUAUUGGAUACAAUCACUUUGUAUCAAGAACACAUUUUCAAUCACCUUUUUUUAUCUUCUCAAUGAGAAAAUAAAAAUUUAUUCAUGCUUUUCUAACAUAUUCAAUCAUUGAUCUGAAAAUUAAAACAUUAAGAAAAGGACAUUUUCAAACAUUAAGAAGUAGUAUUUUAAAGACCAUGAUGAAAUUAAUACUUUCAAGGUCUCUAUUAGGAAGACUUCCUUUAUUAAUACUCUACUAGGCAGAGUUAUAUGCACGUUUACUGUUUUGGCCUUAAGUUGGGUGCAGAUGCUUAUAUUACAAAUAGAUGGUAUCAAAAAAUUGUUGUAUUCACGUCUGUUCUUUUUUUCUUCCUUAAGUUUUUUUCUUUAUUCUCGUGACUUCGCUAGUGAGGUAUAACUUCACAACUAGAGUCAAUAGAAAUCGUCAAAUGAUUUUUUGACAUCCAAAUUAAGCAAUAAAUUUUGUUUUCAUUUCAUAACAUAUAAUAGUACUACUUCAUGGGAGAUUUUAUAGUUUCUUUAGGGUAUCAUACCUACAAUUGAUAUUUAUCAUUGGAUAGUGAAAGAAGUGUUAAUGUCUCUAAGAUUAAAUAUUGUUAAAUAUUGAAAAUUUGAACUAUUUAUCUCUAUUGAGAGAUACAACUUAAAGAAUCCUACCCAAAAGAGACUAGAAUUUUCUCUGUUUUUCAUCAUCUGUAGACAUAAACUUUCCACGGUUGAUAGCAUUUUUCAUCAUCUAUAAGGAAAUUUUGCCUAUACAAUGUGAUAGCAUUUUUCAAAAAGACAAGAUGGAAAAUUGCCCCCCUUGAACGGAAAAUUGCCCCCUUGUCAAUUCUUUAAAAAAGAAUACCGUCCCGCAGAAUUCUAGAAAGUUAGGCAAAACUAGACAAGUUGACAGGUAUAAUCAGACCCAAGAUCAGGAACAAGCAGUUGCACAUUUCAAAAUUCGCUGCUGCAACAACUAAUUUGAUGACUUACAACACUAAAUGGUCAAACUUUGAAUGGCAAUGAAUCUUUUGUUGUACAUCAUGAUGUAAUUUUCAUGUUACAUAAUAGAUUGAUAUCUAUGUUCUUUAAAUUAUCAUAAUAAUUAAAUUUAACUGAAAAAAAGAACACAUAUCAAUACACAAAAGUGUGCAACGUGAAUGUUAUUUUAGUGUAUUGCAGAAGACCUAUAGUCUCUUCAUAUCUCUUCCUGCACGUAUCAAUUCGUUUCCUCUAGAUAAUAAUCUCCCAACUCAUUUAUUUACAAAUGCACCUUUUAUGUUUUAUUACCUCCAAAAGCCUAAAAAUCAAUUCACCGACUCGCAUUUGGUAUCAGAAAUUCUUAUUACGAAUUCUACUUUACUCAAAGAUUGACUGUUAAUAAUGAGACAACGACCAUUUUGUAUUAUUACACCGUCCUUCUUGAUAGGCAAAAGAAAUAGAGAGGAAAGCGGGUCCGUAUAUGGUCUUUUAUUCAUAGAUAAUACAACAUUACGCCAUCGAGCAUUCACACAAUAUUUCAAAGUCAUUGCAUGCCUAAGGCCUGCUUGAUAAUCUAAUUCCGUACUUAAAUUUAAUAAAUUCAAAUCUUAACACAUUCAAAUCGUUUGAUAACAAAAAAUUGAACAUCUAAAUUAAUUAAGUAACACUGAAUUUUCUAGGCAAAACUUGCUCCCAAAAUUAAGUGAUAAGUUAUUCACUUAUCACUGAAUAUGAUAUGUAUUCAAAUGUAUUAGAUUUAAUACUUAAUAAUUUAAUGAAUUCAAAUUUCAUAUUUCAUAUUUCAGUUUUAUCAAACACACCUUAAGUUGCAAAAUAAUACCAAAACUUGUUAUUACAUAGCUUGAGAUUCAAAAAUUUAGAGCAUAAUUCUCAACCAAACACAAUUGAAUAAUGAAUAUUCACGAGUGUCAAAUCUAUCAAAGUACAAUUUGAGGACAACCCAUUCAAACGCGUACACGAUUUUUAACUUUUCUAAAGUUGUUGAGAGCUGUUGAAAGAGAUUUACCAUGUUUACAUCUUCCAAGUCUUGGGAGUAAAAAAUGAAGCCACUGAGUGCUAUAAAAAGGGGGGUAGAGGCCACUUGAGAUCCUCGGUGACAUGUUUUCUAUGCCAAUCCAAUGCCACCAAUAGUGUUGCGCCAAGUGUCAUGUUAUUAUUUACACUUGUGUUAAACUAAGCCAAGUUGAAUUAUUAGAAAAUUAAAGUGUAAAUAAUAACAUGACACUUGGCGCAAUACUAUUGGUGACAUUGGGUUGGCAUAGAAAAUAUGUCACCGAGGAUCCCAAGUGGAUAGAUGCUGCCUAGAAGCAUAUCAGCCUAAAACAAGAAUUUGUAGUAACAAUGGGGAGCAAAGCAAAAGCAACGGGGUCUAGGCUGACUCCUCUUCUUACCACUGUUUUAGUGGUAUUUGUUGCCCUUGGCUUGCCCUUGGAAACUGCAGCUGAUUAUUACAAGUAUUCAUCUCCUCCUCCUCCUCCUUACCAGUAUUCCUCACCACCACCUCCAGUGUAUUCACCUCCACCAACCCCUGUUUAUAAGUUACCCCCACCAUCUCCUCUAGUUUACAAGUCCUCACCACCACCUUACCACUACUCACCACCUCCUGUGUAUUCACCUCCACCAUCACCAAUUUACAAGUCACUGCCACCACCCCCUCCAGUAUACAACUCCCCGCCUCCACCAGUGUACAAAUACAAGUCCCCACCACCACCUUCUCCAAUUUACAAAUCUCCACCGCCACCAGUUUACAAGUACAAGUCACCCCCACCACCUCCUCCGGUAUACAAGUCUCCUCCGCCACCUGUUUACGAGUACAAGUCUCCUCCACCACCUCCUCCAGUGUACAAGUCCCCACCACCUCCAGUUUACAAGUACAAGUCACCACCACCUCCUCCCCCGGUUUACCAAUCUCCUCCACCACCAGUUUACAAAUACAAGUCACCACCACCUCCUCCCCCAGUUUACCAGUCUCCACCUCCACCCUAUCAUCACUACUACGGUUCUCCUCCUCCUCACCACUACUAAGCAAGUGCAUCUAAGUUUUGAGGUAAUAAUACCGAUCCAAAACUUUAUCAACGCAAACUGCCAUGUAUAUCAUGCUAAGGACGUACACUUGAUCCAUGAAAAUGGCUAGUAGAAGAUUUUUUUUAAGAACCAGAGAAAUACAUUAUUUUUUCGCUCUGUUUUCAAGAAUUUGAGCAGUAUACAGAUUAAAGAGUGUUUUUUUUAAACUUGCUUAUCAACUUAGAAAUGCACAUAGCUGAAAGCCAACUGAAUAUUUGCAGGCAAAGGAGAAGGCAAUCGGUGUUUGAGACCUUCAUGAAGAUGUAGAAGAAUAAGAAUAAAAGCCCAAUGCGAGGAUGAUUUCAAGUUUCUACGUUACCAUUUCUACAUCUAAAUUGACUUUAGCUCCUGAGUUCCAUGUCUAUGGGGUUUGUACUGUUUUACGUACCAUGCAGUACAUGCUUGUAAGGUUUUCUGUCCUGUUGGCAAGCCGCAGGUCCAUAUAAUAAAUGAAUACUAUUUAUAUUACGACACUUUUCUCUCUUUCUCUUAUAUUUUGUCUUUAAUAUUGUUGAUCAUUUUUUUUUUUUAUCAAAAGUAUCAAAUGCUUAGGCAAUUUGGUCUAAUGCUAAUUGUUUUACAUUUAUUUUUCACCUACAUCCCUUUUCAACUCAAAGGAUGCUACAGUUUGUGAUCAUUGUUUAAGACCGAAGCAUGGUACUAAUAAAUAUCUCAUUGAAAGUCAAGGAAACUAACAUUAUGAAAAGUGUAAAUCUUGAUUUGUGAAACUAUUUAUUCGUGGAAUUUAGAGAUACAAAACUCAAAUUGUGACGGUGUUGUUGCUAAAUUAUUUUUUUUUUAUAAUAAAACACAGUUCAUUCAAGGAUUACUGGAAAUCGUCCAGCACAAUUGAGAUACAUUGUUGCCCAGGUGGCAGAUAAAUAUGCACUAAAAUUAUAGAUAUGCAAUUUAACAAAUACAUAAGAUUUGAGAAAUUAAGGACAAAUCUAAAAAGGACCAUAAAUUUGAAAAACAUUUCAUCCUAGAAUAAGUCGCUGCAACUCUCUUUGUGCAUGCUGUAAUCGUCAGAUCUACUAAUCAACAGUUGUAAGGUCCAGUAAAGAUGGUGAGAUCUGCCGAGAUUGAUCCAAAUCUGAAAUAUUCCCUCAGAUCUGCUAUCCAAUUGGUUCAAACUCAAUACUGAAAGUGAAAUCUGAUGAGAAGACUGAAAAAAUUGUAGAUCUAACAUAUAGAUCUAAAAAAACUCCAAGAUUUGAAAAAGUAAAGAAACAAAACUAAAUAAAACUCUCAUUAAGAUAGUUUAGGAGAGACUAAAACUCUCAAUAGGACACCCUAGGAGAGAAGAAAACUCUCACUAGGAUAACCUAUGAGAGACUUUAUUGAAUGAAAGGAAAAGCAAAGGACAAAGGAAGAAGAAGGGAGACCUUGGCUUAAGGCCAAGGUCUCCCUCCUAUGGAGGAGGAAGGGUAGAGGAGGAAGCCUAGAGAGAAGGAAGAGAAUCCCUCCGCUAGAGGGAAGGAAGAGCCUCUGAGAGGGUACCCGUGUUGUUGCUAAAUUAUUAAGGACAUUAUCACCAUUACUUUUCCCUUACUAGUUUCAACUGCAAUGAUCUCAAUCUUUUUGUGACUAAUUCUUUUCUUAAUAAUUUAUAAAUACAAAACUCACAAAGAAUAUGUGACUUAUUCUUUCCUUUCGUCUUCUAAAGAAAAUGCCAACUGUUAGUUUAUCAAGGGAAAAAGGAUCGACAUCAGUUGUUAUUGAAACUAGUAAGGAAUAAAUAAUGGUGAUAAUGUCCUUAAUAAUUUAACAACAGCACCAUCAGAAUUUGAGCUUUGUAUCUAUAAAUUCCACGAAUAAAUAGUUUCAUCAAAUCAAGAUUUACACUUUUCAUAAUGUUAAGUUUCCUUGACUUUCAAUGAGAUAUUUAUUAGUAUCAUGCUUCGGUCGUAAACAACGAUCACAAACGAUAGCAUCCUUUGAGUUGAAAAGGGUAGUGAAAAAGAGAAGUAAAAAAUACAAUUAGCAUUCCCUCAAAUUGUAGAAAGUUAGGUAGCAUUAUAGACAAGUUGAUAGCCGUAAUUAUACUAAAAAUCAGGCAAAAGCCAGCAAUUUUACAUUUCAAAAUUCACCUAUUCAAUAACUAAUUCGAUGGCUUGCUACAUGGUCAAAAUUCACCACAUAUCCCUUUCCUCAAUCAGGGGCUUCUACAAUUACCAGUUCCAAUUGUAUGGUAUAGUGUAAAUAUCAACAAAUUAGAUGUAGACACUAAUAUAAUAAAUAUGGAUGCUAAGGCAACAACAUACAAAAACAUAAUAAAUUUUGGCAUUCCUUAAAAAAUUACGUCCCCAAAUCAAUCUCAUACACCCAAUUUCUAAUUUAUUUAACUCAUUCCGUCUAUUAACUGCACCAUACAAUCCAACCUGCAAUUGCAUGAACCCCAAUCUCGCUUCCUAGUCCACCAUUUUUCUCUAGGUAAUAAUCUCCCUUCUAAUUUCUUCACAAAAUGCACCUUUCAUCACCUCCAAUAGCGUCGACAUGAUCUUUACCCUAGAAGACUAUUCACCGACUCCCAAUUGACGUCAGAAAAUCUAAGAGUAAUUCUACUUUACCCUAAGAUUGAUAUCAACUAGACAAUGACAAUUUAGAAUUAUUACACGCCUCUUCUUAAUAGGAAAAAGAAAUAGAGAAGAAAGUCAGGCCAGGUCUAAUUUCUUUUCGAAGGCAAUACAACAUUACGAAAUCAAGCAUUCAUUCAUACAAAUAUUUCAUAGUCACCGGUUUGCUGAGUAGAAAAGUUUAUACAAAAACUUAAUAUUAUAUUGUUUAAGAGUUAACAAUUUAGAGCUUAAUCUCCUUGUACUUUGGACUAAACUCGAACGUGAAAGGAAAUCCCAAAACCAUAUUGGGCAUGAAUUCACACUUAAAUAGACCCAAAAAAAGAUGGCGACUGGUGAAAGGCAGUGGAGACUGGUGGUGAGAUUUGAGGAAUAGAAGCAGACGGAAAAGCCACAAAUUUUUGCCGAAAGAGGGUCACUUUCAUGGUUAAUUUUGCUACUCUCUACUUGUACUUGACCAAUGACAGGUUGUCAGUCUGUGCAAUAAUAAAAACCUGUUCAAACUAAAAGUAAUUUCUGUAGAUAGUGGUAAGCAGGGUCGAAUCCACAGGGAUUAGGUGUAACUGUUUCUUUUCAAAUUCACAAUAACAAAGGGGGUGUUUUUAUGCAGAAUGUGACAAUCAAAGAAAUUCAAUUAAAAGUAAAAUAAUAAAAAUAAAAUAGCCAACUAGAAAUUAAAUAACAAUUUACUAAAAUCAAAUGAGUGAUAAUUAAGGAUCUAGCCAAGGAAUAACUUCAGCAGUGGUUCACCUAAUUGAUCAUUGGAACAAAGGCAAUUCCAAUUAUUUACUAAUAAAUAGGUUAUAACUGCCAAACAAGCGAUGACAGUCAAUCACUCCUUACUGUGUCGGUGAUUAAGGUACGCCCGUUAAUCACUGCCCUAAUUGAGAAAUAAUCUUAGGUACGCCCGUAAGAUUUAAUUUUCCAAUUGCCUUACAUAUUAGAGGAGUGUCAGGAACAAGGAAAUAGAAUGGGACGUCGUUUAAUGCAAAGGGUUGUGCGUUUAAGGCCUUAGAAGCAAUACUACGUCGUUCUAAUAACAUAGGCGGUGCUGGUGUGAUAGGCCAAGUUAGUUGAGGGUCAAUUACAUAAAUAGCCUUCUGUAACAGAUUUUUGGUUAUGUUUUUGAAUGAAAAGUAUCUCGCUGCUUUCUCUCUCUUGUCUGUUAUUUCCCUCCCUUUUCUUCUUUCUCUCUUCCCUCUUCUUAAUCUUGUUUCUUUCUUCUGAUUCUUCCCCCAAAUUCAAUACAAUUCCAGAAAUUAACCUGCAAGUCUGACAUUUGGUAUCAGAGCGGUCGAUUCUUGGCCGCGAAGGUAUCAGAAAUGGCUGAGAGCACGCGAUUCAGGACACUGGAGGAGCAACUCAAGAAGCAGGAGAAUCGGUUGCAAGAACUGGCGGAAUCCAUGGCUGCACUGCAGAGUACGAGUUCCGAGGAGUUGCGGCAUAAGCUACAGGCGGAAAUGGAGCAGAACAAUGCAAAAUUGGACGCGGUGGUGGGAAGUCUGGACCAGAAGUUCAAUAAAAUGGAACAGAGACUCAGUACAGUGUUGAAGCUGCUGAUGAAGGAGAAAGGUCUCCCUGAUGUCGAAGGAGGAAUUUCUGAUCCAAUCUUGCCGACUCCUCCAUCUCAUCUGAGGUUAGCAUCCUCAGUCGAAGGGAUUGGGCACCAACAAGAGUACAGAGGUAGGCAAUUCACUCCUAAUGUACCUCGAUUAGAACUGCCAAUGUUUAACUCUGGAAACCCUAGGGAAUGGACCAGGAAAUGCCAGAAAUAUUUUUUGAACUAUCAGAUAGCAGAGAGUCAAAAGGUAGAGGUAGCAGAGAUGUUUUUGGAAGGUAGAGCUGACAAUUGGUUUCAAGGAGUGAAAUUGGUGAGGCCAGGGUUGUCUUGGGGGGAAUUUAGUGAACUUUUGUGUGAAAGAUUUUCUGGAAGUAGUUCUCGUGACAUUGUGGAGGAAUUUAACAAGUUACAGCAGAAAGGAACUGUUGAGGAAUAUGAGGAGAAAUUUGAAGAACUAAAAGCUCUAAUGCUGAUGAAAACCCCCAGGUUGGAUGAACUUUACUUUGUUUCCAGUUUUAUUAGUGGCCUCAGGGAAGAAAUUAGACCUAUGGUGAAGAUGUUUAAGCCUCAAACACUGAUGAAGGCCUUUGAAGUUGCGGAGUUGCAGGAGUGUUCCCUGGAAAUCCAAUCGAAACAAAACAGAACUUCAAGGAGGACAGCAAUGGAACCCAAGUUUGGAAUGUAUAAGGGCACUACGAGUGAUUAGGGUCGCCAAAAUUCAUAUAAGUUGCCUGGAGUCACUCCUGUCUCCAGGAGGACUAAUGCAGUACACAAGGAAUUUAGUAAGAUAUCAGCGGAGGAAAUGCAGUAUAAGCGUAAGCACAGCCUGUGCUAUAGGUGUGGAGAGAAGUUUGGAAUAGGUCAUCAGUGUAAGAAAGGAAGUCUGAACUGUGUGAGCACUGAGGAAGAGGAGGACACUGAAUUUGAGGAUGCGGAAGGGGAACAGGAUGAGUUAACAGGAAGGGUCGGGGAACUUGCAGAAGUCUCUUUGAAUGCUUUAUCUGGUGCCAUAAGGAGGAAAUCCAUCCUGUUGAUAGGGAACUUAGGGGGGCUUCCAGUCAAAAUUUUGGUGGACACAGGCAGUUCUAACAGCUUCAUUCACCACAGGAUUGUCAACCUACUGCAUCUACCAUAUCAGGCAGUCAGUCCAUUUACUGUGACUCUAGCAGAUGGAACUGACAUUACCAGUGGAGCCAUCAGUCCCAGCGUGUCUUGGUUAAUUCAGGACUAUCAAUUCCAAUUUGACUUAAAAGUAAUGGAAUUAGGGGGAUGGGAUAUAAUUCUGGGGGUGGACUGGAUGUGCCAGUAUAGUCCCAUUACAUUUGAUUUCCACUCUCUUAGCAUUGCCCUUAGUGAUAGGGGUUCUUUACUACACCUCCAAGGACUUGUGAAGCAACCUACUAUGGAACUGGUGAGGGGCAGGGAUCUCAGCUCGUUUAUACAGGAGAAGCAAAGAAACUGUGCAGCCAUGCAUGCUGAUAGGGCCAGGGAAACAGGAGAGCAGCUUCCAAAAGCUAUAGAAAGGAUCCUGGAACAGCACUCUCAGGUUUUCUCCACCCCAACAGGAUUACCCCCAGAGAGGGAAUUGGACCAUCAGAUCAACCUCAAACCAGGAGCUGAACCCUUCAAGCUCAAACCUUACAGGUACCCCCACUCACAUAAAGCAGAAAUUGAAAAAAAAGUUGCUGAGAUGCUCACUAAUGGAAUUGUUAUACAUAGCACAAGCCCCUAUGCCUCCCCUGUAUUGUUAGUAAAGAAAAAGGAUAACUCCUGGAGAUUAUGCAUAGAUUACAGGAAGCUGAACGAGCUGACUAUAAAGGAUAAGUUCCCUAUUCCCAACAUAGAUGAACUAUUGGAUGAAUUACAUGGAACCAGAUACAUGUCCAAACUGGAUCUCAGAGCUGGUUACCAUCAGUUGAGGGUGAAAGCUGUUGAUACCCCUAAGACUGCCUUCCAGACACACCAUGGCCACUUUGAAUUCUUAGUGAUGCCUUUUGGACUCACAAACGCGCCAGCUACAUUUCAGUCCUUGAUGAACAGAAUAUUUCAGCCAUAUCUCAGAAAGUUUGUCCUAGUCUUCUUUGACUACAUAUUAGUGUACAGCCCCACACUAGAGAUGCAUGCACAGCAUCUACAGAUUGUGCUCAAUAUUUUAGAAGAAAAUCAGCUGUAUUACAAGAGGUCAAAGUGCUCUUUUGCCCAGUCCUCAAUUGAAUACUUGGGGCACGUGAUCUCAGAGGCAGGAGUGAGUAUGGAUGUGGCUAAGGUGGAGUGUAUCAAGUCCUGGUCUGUUCCUAGUACAGUCAAGGAGCUGAGAGGGUUUUUGGGAUUAAUUGGUUACUACAGGAGAUUCAUUAAAGGCUAUGGAGUGAUUAGCAAACCCUUGACUGUAUUGUUGAAAAAGGAAGGUUUUGCAUGGAACCAUGAAGCUCAAAUGGCCUUUGAAGAUUUGAAAAAGGUUAUGACCACAGCCCCAGUGCUGAGCAUGCCUAAUUUCGAACUUCCUUUUGUCAUAGAGACUGAUGCCUGUGGAAUAGGUAUUGGAGCAGUGUUGAUGCAGCAAGGACAUCCUAUUGCUUUCCUUAGCAAGGCAUUAUCAGUUCAGAAUUUGGGGUUAUCAGUCUAUGAAAAAGAGCUUUUUGCCUUAGUGCUAGCUGUAACUAAGUGGAGGCAUUACCUGGUGGGUCAUCACUUCAUUAUCAGGACAGAUCACCAAGCUCUCAAACAUUUGAUAGAGCAAAGGCUUACUCAUCCACUCCAGCACAAGUGGCUAACUAAGCUACUUGGUUUGGACUAUGAAAUACAGUAUAAAAAGGGUGCAGACAAUGGGGUGGCAGACGCCCUCUCCAGGAGAAGGAUUGAGGGAAACACUGUUGACUGUGGAGAGACUGGGCAUCAGACCUGCGCCAUAACCUCAGCUCAGCCUAGUUGGAUGCAGGAAAUGCUAGAAAGCUACAUUGGAGAUGCAGAGGCUCAACAGAAGUUAUCUGAGCUAUUGCUGGAUCCCAAUGCAGAUCCAGAUUAUCAGUUAAAGAAUGGGAUGCUCAAGUUUAAAGGGCGGCUGUACAUAGGAUCUGCUAACAACAUUAGGACCAAGGUGGUCAGAGCAUUGCAUGACUCAGCCCUUGGGGGGCACUCAGGUCCUGGAAUCCGUAAGGAUGUCCUUCAAUAUGUGAGAUCUUGUGAUGUGUGUCAAAGGAACAAACAUGAAAAUGUUCCUUAUCCUGGGUUGCUGCAACCAAUUCCUGUACCUCAGCAGGCUUGGUCACACCUCACCAUGGAUUUUAUUGAGCAACUACCCCCAUCCCAUGGAUUUGAUACCAUUUUGGUGGUGGUGGAUAGGUUAACCAAGUUCAGCCACUUCAUUCGACUCACUCACCCUUUUUCUGCACAGCAGGUAGCACAGCUUUUCCUUGACAACAUAUACAAGCUGCAUGGACUUCCUGAGACCAUUAUAACUGACAGGGACAUAAUCUUUCUUAGUAAGUUUUGGCAAGAGUUAUUUGGUAUGGUAGGGGUAAAGCUGCACUACAGUUCAUCGUAUCACCCUCAAUCAGAUGGUCAAAGUGAAAGGGUCAAUCAGUGUUUGGAAAACUAUCUCAGGUGUAUGUGCAGUGAGCAUCCUUCUCACUGGAGCAGUUGGCUUCCUACAGCUGAGUUAUGGUACAACACUAACUUCCAUACUAGCUUGCAGGUGACACCAUUCGAAGCACUAUACGGGUAUAAACCAAAUCACCUUCCCUUAGGACCUUUUCAUGAUAGCCUGGUACCUGCUGCUGGUAACAUGGUGCAGACUAGGCUCCAAAUUCUAUCCCUCAUCAAAGAGAAUCUAGCCACCGCCCAGAAUCGAAUGAAAAUGUUUACUGAUAAGCACAGGACUGAACGUGUCUUCCAAGUGGGGGAUUGGGUAUUUCUCAAGCUGCAACCUUACAGGCAACAAUCAGUGGCCUUACGGAAGAAUUUGAAGUUGGCUGCCAAAUACUUUGGACCUUUCCAGAUCCUUGCGAGAGUAGGGGAAGUCGCCUACAGACUUAAGUUGCCAGAGGGAGCUCGAGUUCAUUCCGUGUUCCAUGUGUCCUUACUUAAAAGGAAAGUGGGAGUUACACAGCAGGUAAAGCCCAGCUUGCCAGAAGUAGACGCAUCAGACCAAUGUUUGCUGAAGCCAGAGAAGAUUCUCCAGAGGCGUGUUAUCAUACGAGCUGCCAAACCAAUCAUCCAGUACCUGGUGAAGUGGAACAACUUACCAGAAUCCGAAGCAUCAUGGGAGGAUAAAAGCUUCAUUGACAGACAAUUUCCGGAAUUUCAAGCUUGAGGACAAGCUUUGCUUAAGGGGAAGAGAUUGUCAGGAACAAGGAAAUAGAAUGGGACGUCGUUUAAUGCAAAGGGUUGUGCGUUUAAGGCCUUAGAAGCAAUACUACGUCAUUCUAAUAACAUAGGCGGUGCUGGUGUGAUAGGCCAAGUUAGUUGAGGGUCAAUUACAUAAAUAGCCUUCUGUAACAGAUUUUUGGUUAUGUUUUUGAAUGAAAAGUAUCUCGCUGCUUUCUCUCUCUUGUCUGUUAUUUCCCUCCCUUUUCUUCUUUCUCUCUUCCCUCUUCUUAAUCUUGUUUCUUUCUUCUGAUUCUUCCCCCAAAUUCAAUACAAUUCCAGAAAUUAACCUGCAGAUCUGACAAGGAGCCCUAUUCUAACCAAAUAACACACUACCAGGGUUAUUUUAGGUUAGCCCGCGUAUUCCCCUGACAUGAAUCCAAUCAUGCCAGUUAUCACUAUUUUGAAACAAUUAAACAAUUACGGAUUUAACGUCCCAAUUGACAAUAGAUUAUCAAAUUAACUAAUUAUCCGGAUCCAAAACAAUCAAUUAAUUAAAUAAUCAUAAGCACUGUAAUCAGGGAAUAUUUGAAUACCAAUAAAUAAAAAGAAAGGACAAAAUUAAAUCGAUUUCACAAUUUUUAAACGAACCACAACCUCAGUUGUUCCUCGGCUAGAUUGAGAAAAUUAGCUCAUGUUCGAUGCGAAAAAUCCACAAGAAAUUGUUAAGAGAGCCGCGGCCAUUGUCCCUUGAAAUUGGGGAAAUUCAAUUCGGUUGAACUACGAAAGAAAAGUAAGCUACAGAGAGUUGCCGAUUGGGUUUUGCUUGUCCCUAACAUGCGAGGGAGCAAAGCCACGAAAGGACGACAAAGGUCAAAAAGAAAGGCUACAGAGCAUGUUCCAGGUCUUUUUGUGCUCUCCACAUCCGAGCCAACGAAAAGAAAUAAAAAACUACCAGGAGCUAAAGGAAAACCGCAAGAAAAGUCAAAGGCUAAAAAAACUUCCUAGUGCUUGUUCUCUGCUUAUCUCUUUAUCUAAUUCUAAGUCCCCGAUUUUUUGCUCCGUGCGGCGGCUCCCCCGGAGAGAAAGGAUUGCAUCCGCUGCCCUCUUCCACCAAUUACCAAAAUGGGCACACCGCUUCUUUUUCAAAAAUGCUCCUGGAUAAACUCUAUCAUCUGGACUUUUUUUCUGUCAAAUUGACAUUUAUUAUUAUAUUUUCGUUCUACUCCCUGAAAUAAAUGUAAAAUAUUAAAAAUGAGUAGAAUCCGACAAUUAAUUCACAUCAGGUCAGAUAAUAAAGAAAAUUAAUAAUAAAAUAAAUAAAUAAAUUGCAACCUAUCAACCAAAUACAACAAUUUCAUGGAGUUUGAUACACAAGCCCAAAUACACGAGAGUGUGUAACCUGAAUUGUUACUUAUACAUUAGUGUGUAAUAGAACGGCAAGCAUUAUGGUGGUCAUUGAGCAACUUGUAGGAGAAAUAGUCCUAUAAGCUGUUCAAUGACCAAUCACAACUUGCUAAUUGGAUGACUAAUAUAGCUCUAGCUGUAAUGUUUUAAUUAAAUUCCAUCACUAACGUUGGGAUGACUUUUUAAUCAAAAAAAAAAAAGCCUUAGUUCAAGCUUUUCCCCUUAUUGUGCAUUUUUUAAAACAUUUGAUAGGCACUGCAAAUCUGUCAUUUUGGACAUUUUAUUAUUAACUAACAAUGAAAGCCGUGGACAUCAACCCAUAUCCAACAAAAUAUUAAAUUAAUAUUAGAAAAAAUUAUUAAGUAAUUGGAAAAAAAAAGAAGAGGCUAAUUUUCAUUGAAACCCACCGACAAACUAUACGCUGCUUUCAAUCAGUUUUAACACGGGAAAAAGAAAAGGCAUGAAAAGCAAAAUUUGUGGGGAUAAUUUCGGAAACCUCCCAUGAAGUUUUUGACUAUUUUACUGGCCUCCCUUCAGAUUUUAAAAAUUGGACUAAUCUUCCUUAAAGUUAAUUAUCUUGUAACAUUUAGAUCCGAUCAAUAAUUUAAAAAAUAAUAUUAUGAGAGAGAAAAUAAUAUGAUUUUAUUAUUGCCCCCAUCUCACCACAUUAUUUAAUUAAUUUAAUAGCAACCCACACAUUAAAGAAAAUGACAGGUCGUCAACCUGUGCAAUAAUAAAAUUAAACCUAAUUGCCAGUUAAAAUGACCAAAACCCAAUUCCAAGUACUGGAGCAGGGACUCUAGGUGUGCAAUGGGUUACUUGAUUCACCCUGUUCCCGAAGAGUUUGCUUGAUCCGAUAUACCCGAAUGGAAUGGUUAUUCCUUUUCACAAAUGAUUAGGAAUUUGUAGACAGGGCAAGUAGGGUCGUAUCCACAGAGACUGGGUAUAUUUGUUUCUUAAGAAAUCCAAAGUAACACAGGGGGUGAUUUUGUAGGAACGACGAUAAUUAAAUAAAUUCAAAUGAGAAAGUAAAAAUAAAUAAUUAACUAGAAAUUAAACCACAAUUUACUGAACUCAGGAUAACAAUAGUUAAAGGCCUCAAUUAAUUAAAAUAAGGAAACAAUCAAAAAUAAAAUAAAGUAGGUAAUUAAAAGUCAAAUGGCAAUCCACUACAAUCAAGGAAAUAUUAACUAAAGAUCUAGCCAAGAAAUAACUUCAGCAAUGGUUCACCUAAUCGAUCAUUGAUGCAAAGCAAUCCCAAUUAUUUACUAAUAAAUAGGUUAUAACUACCAAACAAGCGAUGGCAGUCAACCCCUCCUUACUGUGUCGGUGAUCAAGGUACGCCCGUUAAUCACUGCUCUAAUUGAGAAAUAAUCCUAGGUACGCCCGUAGAAUUUAAUUCCCCAACUGCCUUACGUAUUAGAGGAGCCCUAUUCUACCCAAAUAACACACUACCAGGGUUAUUUUAGAUUAGCCCGCGUAUCCCCCUGACACGAAUCUAAUCGUGCCAGUUGUCACUAAUUUGAGGUAAUUAAACAAUUACGGAUUCAAUACCCCAAUUGACAAUAGAUUAUCAAACCAAUGAAUUAUCCGGAUCCAAGACAAUCAACUAAUUAAAUAAUCAUAAGCACUGCAACCAAGGAAUAUGCGAAUACCAAUAAAUAAAGGAAAAGAUAAAAUUAAAUCGAUCUCACAAUUUACAGGUGACCCAAAGCAUCAGUCGUUUCUUGACUAGAACGAGGGGGUUAGCUCAUAUUGGAUGAACUAAGCCCGCGGGAAAUUCCAGCAAAAGUCACGGCCGUUGUAUGCAUUUCAAGAGCCGCAAUUCGUCAAACACUUGGAAAGCGAAUGUAAGGCACGGGUAACAAUUGAAACUUUCUAAUUGUUCCUAGCAUUCGUAAAGCAAAUUCACUCCAGAAGUACAGUGAGGAAAAGUCAAAGAAAGUGGGCUUCAAUUCCUUGCUCCUGACAUGCGUGGAGACAAGCCAAUGCAAGACUACAAUAAACUAACAAGGAAAAGUCAAGAAUUGGAGCUAAGCUCCCCUGCCAUGCGCAGGAAUCCCAAAAGUAAAAAGUAAAGCUUCAAAGAAAAGUCAACAAUUCUUCCUAAGCUACAGACGGAAGAUCCAGCACAAAAGCCAGCUCCCUUUUUGAUCCCUUUUUCCCCCUUCUUAUUGCGGCGGCUCACCAGGAGAGGAGAGCCCUCCGUCCGUCCUUUCUUCCGGAAAUUACCAAAAUGGGCAUGACAUCUUCUCUUCCAAAAGUGCCCCUGGGACAAGCUUUCUCAUCUGAAUUCUUUUUUUUUCCAAUUUGGCACCUGUUAUCAUAUUUAUAUUCUACUCCCUGAAAUAAACGUCAAAUACUAAAAGUGAGUAGAAUCCAGCAAAUAAAUCCACAUCAAGUCAGGUAAUAGGAGGAAUUAAUAAUAAAAUAAAUGAAUAAAUUGCACCCUAUCAAUUCCCUCCACACCUAAACCAUGCUUGUCCUCAAGCAUAAGAAAAGUAAACGAACACCAAAAUUCGACGAUAGCCAUUGCCCAAUCUCCUAUAUUGCCAAGACAUUCAAGAGAAAAACACAUAUCGAGCAUUGGUGAUUAGAAUCCCAGAAGCAUCCCCCCGGUUAGCCUCUAACCCCCAGAUUCCUUCAAUUUCCAACUUAACUACUCUAAGAAAGAGGAAUGGCACACAACAUUUAUCAGCUAGUGGUCCGAAUAUUCACACAAGUCUUCAUAUCCAAUCCAUAAACCGGCAAGCUUCCCUAUUAUUUAGUCUCUCUUUUUUUCCGUUUUUUUUCAUUUUCAUUCUUCCCCUCUUUUUUUUUUUUUUUUAAAGCAGUAGCAAUCAACACAAAAGACUUAGUCGUUAGCCGUCAGGGCCUUUUGAUGCGAACUCCAACAUUUUUAGAAGGAGGAGCCCGGUUACUCAGCUCCUACCGCUAUACGACCACGCACUCAUAUAAAAUACCACCUUUUGACGCGAGAAUCGACACUUUUAGGUGCCGAUCCCCGGUUACUCAGUAGUAACUUAAUAGCGGAGCACAGUCAAGCUUAUUCUCAGCCAAACAAUGCACAAACGCAAAAUAACAGCACUAACAAUCAAACAUAGGAGCAGCUCGCCUCAUUAUUGUCAAACAUGGAGAACUGGAGUCAAUAUUGGACCAGUUCACAUUAAAAGGCCAUAUUCAUUCCCUACGCCUAGAAAAGUUAACAAAGAAAUCGAAAGAGUCAAACAGUUAAAUAUUCACCAAGGGGAUAUUCAGGACCCAACCACACUAACCCGAUACAUUUUGUAUUUUAAAAACUUGGCAAAAGUAGAUUUGGAGUCAAUGAGUCCACAUCUCAAUUUUAGCCUUCACAUGAAAGGCAAUCACCAAGAAGAAAGAACGGAAAAAUAAGCAACUAGAAAUGAGACUACGAAAAACUACUAAAACUAAAAACUCACUUUUUUUCUUUUUCUCUUUUUUUUUCUUUUUGAAUUUUUUUUUCAUUUUUAUUUUUUUUUAUUUUUUUUAUUUUUUAAACAUUAACUAUAAACAUUAACUACUAAAAACUAAAAACUAAAACUACUAAAAACUAAAAACACUAAAAACUGCUAAAAUGAAAAGCUGAAAACUGAAAACUACUAAAAACGGAGCACACUAGCAUAACUUUAGAUCCCCCCCACACCUAUAGGACACAUUGUCCUCAAUGUGACAAAUAAGAACCAAAAGUGAAGCACAAGUGAGAGGGGAAUCAGCCAAACUUCCCUGAAAUCGGGUCACAGCGGAGGGCGAGGUGGAAAUGGAGGUGCAAAGCCUGUAUGCAUCAGGAACUGUGCCAAAUUCUGUGCUAUGCCGGCGACAUUGGCGUCGACGUUGGUCAUCCGGGCCUGCAAAUCCUGAACCAGCUCCCUGAGAUGCUGCCAAUCAUCGGUCCCAGGUGGUGGAGGUGGCGCAGAAGUAGAGGUAGACGGCCCAGCAGUGUCCGCGGCCGACCCAGGGAAUGAAGAUGGCCCUGCCCGGGCCGAAUGGUGUGCACCCGGGGCUCGAGGUGGUCCCGGACGGGUAAACUGGUGAAAACCAUCUGGCAGACGCUCGACGACCCCCAUUUUCUCUAAGCAAACUACGUCCAAGUGCUCCAUCUCAAAUGCCAAAUGGAGGUCGUGGUCAUCCAGGUUAAGAACUCCCAACUGGGUCGCCAAGUGAGUGAUGUAGGACCCAAGGAUCAGUGGUUUGUUCUUCUUGGUCAAGACCGUCUUGAACUGUGCGGCCAACCAACAUCCCAAGUUCACCUUGAUAUUGUUCUUCAUACUCCAGAGAAAGAAGAAUUCGGGCCGAGAGAGUAUACCGGAGCUGUCCUUGCGCCCCGAGUAGCUAUAAGCUAAGAAUCGCUGAACAUAGCGGGCGCUAGGGUCCUUAAGAAAGGAGCUCCUGGACCGGGAAGGAUCGUAGCGUUGCCUAUCGACGGACAUGUCCUCCCAUACAUCAUGGUAGUGGGAGAGGAAAGGCUCUACGUAGUCACAGGCACUCUCCGCAUACUCCCUAGUCUCAGCAUACUCUCUAGUGAUAAACCCAAAUGCCAGAUUGAAUUGAGUAAUGGAGAAAUUGAAUUCUCGACCCAUGAGCCGGAAAUGAAUGACAUUCGGUGUUUCACCCGUGUAUCUCGUAGGUAAUUCGAACUCAAAGGUGGAGUAAAACUCCCGGAUCAGCUCAACAAAAGCGGGACAAGAAAUAUGGAAAUAUGGGCGCCACCCAAUGGCUGUGAACAUUUGCUCAACCUCCUCCCGUAUACCCAGGGCAGUUAGAGAGAGUCUAUGACAAGACUUACAGGAUAUUAUACGCCUCUCGCAGACCUUAGCGUACCUCUGCCGAUCGGCGGGUCUGGUAAAUGUUAAGUGCCCCCCAAAAUGAACAGGUGCAUCUACCUGAGCACCCCUAUCCCUACCCAAACGGGUUCGAACACUAGAAGAGGAGGGUAGGUUGGUAGGUGAGUUGACAGGAAUAGAGGCUUGUGGAGGGGGUUGAGACUGAGAGGUCCUAGACCUAGAGGAGGAUUUCGGUCUCACCAUUCCCCCCAAAGUAAGUUCAAGGCAACAGAAAAUCCGACAAGUAUAGAAACCAGCAAUUGACAAAGCAAAAAUCUCCCAGUAGUAACCCAGCCAAUAGCAAACAAAAGAGUUCCAGCAAGUAAUCAACAAGCAAUUCAGAAAUAUCUCAACUAAAAUCUCAAGAGAAACCCCAGCGAGUUAUCCAGCAAUUCAAGCAAUAUCCCCAAGCAAUGUGGUGGUCAAAAUGUCAUCUCCAAAUUGAACAAAUAAUCAGAGCAUUGCAACACAUUGAAAAUCUCAAUAAACGGCUCCAGUUGGCCAAGAAAAAUUGCUAACUCAUACUCAGCAAUAGUAGUGCAGCAAAGGGACAGUAACCACGCAAUAAAAACACUUAGCUUGCACUCAAAUGGUCACCCCAAAUAACAACCCAGUAUGAAACCCGCAGGCAGAGUAUUCCUCAAACCGUUAGCCUAAACCCAGUCAACAACCACGGCCAGAAAUAACCCCAUAAAUAGUGCAAUGAGUAAUCCCCAGCAACAUAAUCAGGUGUAAUCAACUGGAGCAAGCAAUUUACAUGGCAUAGAAACCUCCCAAUCAAACAAGUGCAUUAUUCUAGCGCACCCCAAAAUUCCAAGAAAUGGCUCCAGUUGGCCAAUUAAUUUCACAAUGUCACCCAACUCAGGAGAAAUAGCAAUUCCACACAAAAAUAGUCAAACCAGUACCACUGGCGAAAAAUCUUUCAAAUAUGCACAAUUUGCUACCAAAUAUCACCGGCUAACACUGAAAAAUUGAGGGCAAGUGUCAAAUACCUCCACAGGGACUACCCCAGGCGGCAGACAGAGAAGCGGCGUUGAAGCUGGUGGUCGAGCGGGGCGGCGCUCGCGUCGGCGUGCGCAGCGGCGACGGCGCGCGAGGAUGGAGUUUCGGGAGGUUGCGUGCGGGCUUGGCUGAAGACGCGGCGCGCGCUAGGGCUUCGCUGCGGCAGGCGUGCAGCAGGGGAGAAGAAAGAAAAGAGAAAGAAAGAAAGAAAAAGAAAGGAAAGAAAGAACAGAAAAGAAGGAAAAGAAAAAGGAAUUUUUCUUUUUUUUCUUUUUCUUUAGGCUACGGUUUAGAGGACAAAUUUUUCUUCUUCUUGUUUUCUACUUUUUUAUUUUUUUAUUUUUUAGUUUUUAAUUUAUUACUAUUAUUAUCAUAUUUAAUUGAGGAAAAAAAAUGUUUUUUUUUAAAUCCCUACCUUUCCCACGAACGUGACGCGGGCACGUCAAGAGGGCAAGAGAGCUCCCAGAAGUUUCAGAAUUUUCUGAUCGUAAGCGUCCUGCACAUCACCACGCGGGCACGUCAUGAGGACAGGAGAGCUCCCAGAAGUUCAGAAUUUUCUGAUCGUGAGCGCCCUGCACGUCACCACGCGGGCACGUCAUGAGGCCAGGAGAGCUCCCAGAAGUUUGAAGUUUCUGAUUCCUGCCCGUCAUCACGCGGGCGCGUCAUGACUGAAGGUCACCUACAAAUCAGCAAAAACGAAAACUAACACCCAAAAUCAGUCAAAUUCAGGGAAAGCAGAUUUAAACUAUGCUACAAAACCAACAAACAAUUAAAAGAAAUAAUUAGGUUGCCUCCCAAUGAGCGCCUUUCUUUAAUGUCUUUGGCUAGACAUGGUAAAGUGUCACUGAUUAGGACACGGUGGUGCGUCAAGCCUUAUUGUCUCCACCUCUCUACCUGAAAAUCCUUCGUAAUAAUAUUUGAGACGGUGUCCAUUCACCACAAAUUUGUUGUCUGUCUUAGCACUCUGGAUCUCAACUGCACCAUAGGGAAAAACAUGAGUAACAAUGAAAGGUCCAAUCCAACGGGAACGUAGCUUACCUGGGAAUAGCUUGAGCCUGGAUUGGUACAGGAGGACCUUCUGACCAACUUCAAAUGUUUUUCUUGAAAUUUGUUGGUCAUGAAAUGCCCGGCUUUUCUCCUUAUAUAUCAAGGCGUUUUCGUAUGCUUCGUUCCGGAUCUCCUCCAAUUCUUGCAAAUCCAACUUCCGUUGAGCACCGGCCUCCUCUAAAUUCAUAUUGCAGUGCUUUAUCGCCCAAAAAGCCUUGUGCUCGAACUCCACUGGAAGGUGACACGGCUUCCCAAAUACCAACCUGUACGGUGACAUCCCAAUAGGAGUCUUGUACGCCGUCCGAUAGGCCCAGAGUGCGUCUUCCAACCUUUGGCUCCAGUCUUUUCUAUCAGGGCGCACCAUUUUCUCUAAAAUGGACUUAAUCUCCCGAUUCGACACCUCCGCUUGACCAUUGGUCUGAGGGUGGUAUGACGUUGAGACCCUGUGGAGUACACCAUACUUGCGAAACAACGCAGCUAUGGUUUUGUUGCAAAAGUACGUUCCCCUAUCACUGACAAUAGCUCUAGGCAUUCCAAACCGCACAAAGAUAUUAGACCUGAUAAAAUCUGCAACUACUCUCGAAUCAUUAGUUCGAGUGGCCUUAGCCUCCACCCAUUUAGACACAUAAUCAACUGCCAGCAAAAUAUAUAAAAAACCAAAUGAAGUAGGAAAAGGCCCCAUGAAAUCUAUACCCCAGACAUCAAAAAUUUCAACAAAAAUCAACGGGACCUGGGGCAUUUGAUCUCUACGGGCUAUAUUACCUACCAUUUGACAGCGAUCACAUGACUUACAAAACACAUAGGCAUCUCUAAACAAUGAAGGCCAAUAAAAUCCACUUUCUAAAACCUUAUGAGCAGUUCUCUUAGGUCCAAAAUGACCUCCACAGGCAAAAGUAUGACAAAAAGCUAAAAUUGAUUGAAAUUCCAUUUCACUUACACAUCUCCUCAUCACUUGAUCGGCACACCUCUUCCAUAGGUACGGGUCAUCCCAGAUAAAAUACUUGGCAUCGCUCUUCAAUUUAUCCCUCUUCGAUUUCGGCCAACCUGCAGGAAAAUUACCAGUUACCAAAUAAUUGACCAAAUCAGCAUACCAAGGCAACUGAGAAUUUAAGAAAAAUAGGUAUUCUUCGGGGAAUGCAUCCUUCAAUGGCUCGCUAUCCUCUUCAACUAGUAUGCGACUCAAAUGGUCCGCUACUAGAUUUUCUGAGCCUUUUUUGUCCCUUAUCUCCAAGUCAAAUUCCUGUAGGAGCAGUAUCCACCGUAUGAGCCUCGGUUUUGCAUCUUUCUUGGUCAUCAGGUACCUCAAUGCUGCAUGAUCAGAAAAUACAAUCACUUUAGCACCUAACAAGUAUGACCUAAAUUUUUCCAAAGCAAAAAUAACUGCCAGAAGCUCCUUCUCAGUGGUGGAAUAAUUCAACUGGGCUCCAUUCAAGGCCCGGGAUGCGUAAUAGAUGACAUGAGCCGCCUUGCCUAUUCUUUGCCCCAGUACAGCCCCAACAGCGUGAUCACUGGCAUCGCACAUGAUCUCAAAUGGCAAAUUCCAAUCGGGGGGUUGGAUGAUUGGGGGUGAAGUCAGCAAUUCCUUCAGCUUGUUAAAGGCUCUCUCACACUUAUCAUCAAAUUCGAAGGCUACAUCUUUUUGUAGGAGUUGGAACAACGGGGCUCCAAUCUUUGAAAAAUCCUUGAUGAACCUUCGAUAAAAACCUGCAUGUCCAAGAAAAGAGCGCACCUCCCGCACACUCGCGGGGUAAGGUAAUGCAGAAAUAAUGUCUAUUUUAGCCUUGUCAACUUCUAUGCCCUUAGACGAUACAAUAUGACCCAGGACUAUUCCGUGCUCAACCAUAAAAUGACAUUUUUCCCAAUUAAGCACAAGAUUAGUCUCUAUACACCUGAUCAGGAUUAAUUUCAGGUUAUCUAGACAAGUAUCAAAACUAUCACCAUACACACUGAAAUCAUCCAUGAAAACUUCUAUUAUUUUCUCAACAUACUCGGAAAAGAUGCUUACCAUACAUCUUUGGAAAGUCGCAGGUGCAUUGCACAACCCAAAUGGCAUUCGUCUGUAGGCAAAGGUCCCGAACGGGCACGUGAAGGUUGUCUUCUCUUGAUCCUCCGGGGCAAUUGCUAUCUGAAAGUAUCCUGAAAAUCCAUCCAAAAAGCAAUAAUAAGCCCUACCAGCUAAACGUUCAACCAUUUGGUCAAUGAAAGGGAGAGGGAAAUGGUCCUUUUUGGUGACGGCGUUUAGCCUACGGUAAUCUAUACAUUGCCUCCAUCCAGUGGGUUUGCGCACUGGCACGAGCUCACCAGUUUGGUUGGCCUCUACCGUCACUCCUGCAUUCUUUGGGACUACCUGGACCGGACUCACCCAAGGGCUAUCAGAUAUUGCAAAAAUGAUGCCCACAUCUAGCAAUUUUAGAAUCUCUUUCUUUACGACUUCCAUCAUGAGGGGAUUGAGCCUUCUUUGAGCCUGCCUAACAGGUUUGGCAUCGUCUUCCAGCCUAAUCCGGUGCAUACAAAUGGCCGGGCUGAUCCCCUUAAUGUCUGCGAUUGUCCAGCCUAUUGCCUCUUUAUGCUCCCGAAGGACCCGGAUCAAUUUCUCUUCCUGGGUCUUUGACAGUGCCGAUGAGAUAAUCACUGGGAGUGUCUCAUUAUCACCUAGGUAUGCGUAUUUCAGGUGCUCUGGUAGAGGUUUCAACUCCAGUACAGGUGCCUGCACCACAGAUGGCAAUACCCUCUGGUGAGCCUUGGGAGUAAAAAUAGGUAAGACUUCAUACCUUUUCGUGGUGGUCUGCAACGAGUGUAAUGCACCUAUUGUGCAUUUUAAAUCCUCGCUCCACUCCACCUCAGGAGUUGUCUCCAACUCGAGGUGCUUGGUUAAAGCCACCUCCAGCUCAUCCCUGCCAUCAGUUUCAAACACUUCCUGCACUACAGGGUCAAUAGCACUCACAGAAAAAACUGAGCUAAAGUUGGAGUUAGAGGGGUACUUCAUAGUAUCAAAAAUAUUAAAAUGCACAAUUUACCCAUCAAACUCCAUGGACAAGGUACCCUUAUUAACAUCAAUUUUCGUCUGCGCAGUGCUCAUAAAAGGUCUACCCAAUAACAAAGGUGAGGGAUCAGGGGAGUGAUCAUCAUCCAUAUCUAGUACAUAAAAAUCAGCUGGAAACACCAAAUCAUUAACCUUUACCAACACAUCUUCAAUCAACCCAUCAGGAUAUGCAUUAGUUCGGUCAGCUAAUUGAAUAAUUAUUCCAGUUUCUUUUAAUGGACCUAGUUUCAAAGAAGCAUAGAUAGAUUUAGGCAUGACAUUAAUUGAUGCUCCCAGAUCCAGCAUGGCCCUUCUGAUCACAGUAUUACCUAUCUUACAGGGAAUAGUAAACAUACCUGGGUCCCCGCACUUUGGUGGGAGCUUUCUCUGCAGGACCGCAGACACAUUUUCUCCAACUAUGACCCGUUCAUCUCCCCUCAACCGCCUUCGGUUGACACACAAGUCCCUUAGGAACUUGGCAUAUUUUGGUACUUGUUUGAUGGCGUCUAAGAGGGGGAUAUUUAUCUCAACCUUGCGAAAAACCUCCAAGAUCUCCUUCUCCUUAUCCUGCUUCUUCGAUUUUUCCAACCUGCUAGGAAAAGGAGGCGGGUUAGUUUUAACUGUAAUUAUUGGGUCAGGAAGUACCUCUGGAUCUGCACCAUUGCUGUCCUCCCUUUCGAGCUCAUUUUCGAUCUUCUCUUCAUCCUUGUCCUUGGGAAUCACAGGUUCAGGCCCCUGAAUUUCUUUCCCACUCCUUAGGAUCAUUGCGCUCACGUUCUUCGGAUUCAACUCCGGUUGAGAUGGCAGCUUCCCUUGGUUCUGGGACUCCCAACGGUUCAUUCUGGUGGCCAAUUGACCUAUCUGAUUCCUUAUGUCCUGCAUUUCGGAGUCCGUCUUUUGCUGAUUUUGCAUAAUAGCUGCCUCCGUCCUUUGCUGAUUCUGCGCCAUGGUUGUCAUCAUUUGUUUCAGCAUCUCAUCCGUAGAUGAACCAGAUUGAGGGAGCGGAGGUGGUCGGGGUUGGUAUUGCUGCUGGUACCCUGGUGGCUUAUUUGGCACAAAGUUAGACUGCCUGUUUGGCGUGAAGUUGGAUUGCCUAUUUCCACCAUAACUGAGGUUGGGAUGAUCUCUCCACCCGGGGUUGUAGGUGCUUGAGUAAGGGUCGUACUGCUUCCUUGGCGCGGGCGCGUGGUCAGCCAUGUUCACCUGUUCCGCAGUUUCUUCCUGAAUCAUUGGGCACAUGUCUGCAGAGUGACCUAUACCAGUGCAAAUCCCGCAUACCCUGGCUUGUGAUGCAUUUCUCACAGCCUAUUGCCUAACGAACGCAGUCAACUCAUUUAGCUGCUGCUGCACAGAGGGUGUCUCUAUCUCAUUCACCCUACGUAUUGGGACAUCCUAUCUUGUACUGAAUUGCUGUGAAUUCUCUGCCAUCCCCUCUAUUAACUCCCGUGCUUCCUGAGGGGUUUUGUUCACCAGUGCCCCUCCACUUGCAGCAUCAAUGAUGCUCCUGUCUCUAAAAAUGAGCCCCUCAUAGAAAUAUUGUAUGAUCAACUGCUCACUUAUUUGGUGAUGGGGGCACCUGCGCAACAAGCUCUUAUACCGUUCCCAAUACUCGUAAAGUGACUCCUCGGGAUGCUGCUUGAUCCCACAAAUUUCUUUCCUUAGACUCGCAGCCCUGGACGCAGGAAAAUAUUUAUCCAGAAAUUUUUUCUUCAAUUGGUCCCACGUGGUGAUGCUACCUGGUGACAGGUAGUACAGCCAGUCCUUCGCAGAAUCUUUCAAGGAGAAGGGGAAUGCCCUCAUUUUUAUCUGCUCUUCUGUGAUUCCCGGGGGUUUCAUACUGUUGCAAACGACAUCAAACUCCUGCAGAUGCUUAUACGGCUCUUCACCUGGUAAACCAUGAAAAGAGAGUAAAAGCUGAAUCAGACCAGAUUUUAGUUCAAAUGGAAUGUUGUCAUUUAAAGCUGGGAAAGUAAUGCAUAACGGCUGCUGAGUUAAAUCAGGAGCAGCCAACUCCCUUAAUGUUUAUGCAUUAGCCAUGGUGCCUUCCUGCUGGUCAGAGUCACUCGAAGUGUUACCAAACGAAUCUGUUGGUUCAACUUCUGACUCGGGUCUUUGAGAUGUAGCACUAGAGUGCUCUUCUCUGAGCUGUCUGGUUUCCUUUCUCGUUCUACGCGCGGUCUUCUCUACCUCAGGAUCAAAAACCAAAUCACCUGUGCGACAAGAUCGAGGCAUACACUAGAAGAAAACCAGAAAAUUAGGACAAAAUUGAAUUUAAGAAGAAACAAAUAAUAACGCCAGUCCCCGGCAACGGCGCCAAAAAUUGACAGGUCGUCAACCUGUGCAAUAAUAAAAUUAAACCUAAUUGCCAGUUAAAAUGACCAAAACCCAAUUCCAAGUACUGGAGCAGGGACUCUAGGUGUGCAAUGGGUUACUUGAUUCACCCUGUUCCCGAAGAGUUUGCUUGAUCCGAUAUACCCGAAUGGAAUGGUUAUUCCUUUUCACAAAUGAUUAGGAAUUUGUAGACAGGGCAAGUAGGGUCGUAUCCACAGAGACUGGGUAUAUUUGUUUCUUAAGAAAUCCAAAGUAACACAGGGGGUGAUUUUGUAGGAACGACGAUAAUUAAAUAAAUUCAAAUGAGAAAGUAAAAAUAAAUAAUUAACUAGAAAUUAAACCACAAUUUACUGAACUCAGGAUAACAAUAGUUAAAGGCCUCAAUUAAUUAAAAUAAGGAAACAAUCAAAAAUAAAAUAAAGUAGGUAAUUAAAAGUCAAAUGGCAAUCCACUACAAUCAAGGAAAUAUUAACUAAAGAUCUAGCCAAGAAAUAACUUCAGCAAUGGUUCACCUAAUCGAUCAUUGAUGCAAAGCAAUCCCAAUUAUUUACUAAUAAAUAGGUUAUAACUACCAAACAAGCGAUGGCAGUCAACCCCUCCUUACUGUGUCGGUGAUCAAGGUACGCCCGUUAAUCACUGCUCUAAUUGAGAAAUAAUCCUAGGUACGCCCGUAGAAUUUAAUUCCCCAACUGCCUUACGUAUUAGAGGAGCCCUAUUCUACCCAAAUAACACACUACCAGGGUUAUUUUAGAUUAGCCCGCGUAUCCCCCUGACACGAAUCUAAUCGUGCCAGUUGUCACUAAUUUGAGGUAAUUAAACAAUUACGGAUUCAAUACCCCAAUUGACAAUAGAUUAUCAAACCAAUGAAUUAUCCGGAUCCAAGACAAUCAACUAAUUAAAUAAUCAUAAGCACUGCAACCAAGGAAUAUGCGAAUACCAAUAAAUAAAGGAAAAGAUAAAAUUAAAUCGAUCUCACAAUUUACAGGUGAUCCAAAGCAUCAGUCGUUUCUUGACUAGAACGAGGGGGUUAGCUCAUAUUGGAUGAACUAAGCCCGCGGGAAAUUCCAGCAAAAGUCACGGCCGUUGUAUGCAUUUCAAGAGCCGCAAUUCGUCAAACACUUGGAAAGCGAAUGUAAGGCACGGGUAACAAUUGAAGCUUUCUAAUUGUUCCUAGCAUUCGUAAAGCAAAUUCACUCCAGAAGUACAGUGAGGAAAAGUCAAAGAAAGUGGGCUUCAAUUCCUUGCUCCUGACAUGCGUGGAGACAAGCCAAUGCAAGACUACAAUAAACUAACAAGGAAAAGUCAAGAAUUGGAGCUAAGCUCCCCUGCCAUGCGCAGGAAUCCGAAAAGUAAAAAGUAAAGCUUCAAAGAAAAGUCAACAAUUCUUCCUAAGCUACAGACGGAAGAUCCAGCACAAAAGCCAGCUCCCUUUUUUAUCCCUUUUUCCCCCUUCUUAUUGCGGCGGCUCACCAGGAGAGGAGAGCCCUCCGUCCGUCCUUUCUUCCGAAAAUUACCAAAAUGGGCAUGACAUCUUCUCUUCCAAAAGUGCCCCUGGGACAAGCUUUCUCAUCUGAAUUCUUUUUUUUUCCAAUUUGGCACCUGUUAUCAUAUUUAUAUUCUACUCCCUGAAAUAAACGUCAAAUACUAAAAGUGAGUAGAAUCCAGCAAAUAAAUCCACAUCAAGUCAGGUAAUAGGAGGAAUUAAUAAUAAAAUAAAUGAAUAAAUUGCACCCUAUCAGAAAAAUGCAAAAAUUUGUUAUUUAUCAUUAAGGAUCAUAUCGCAUAUAACAUCAAAAAAUAGUAUAUUAUUUAUAUCUUUCACUUAAUAUAAUAUCCAAAUUACUCUUUUCAGUUACAUACCCAUUGUUAGACAAAAUCAACAACAAAUAACCAAAAAAUUUGCAACCAAAAUAUUACCAAAAAAAUAAACUUUAACAUCAUAAAUAUUUUUAUCAACAUAUUAAAGUUAGUUAUUGAAAUUUUUAUGGUGUUAAACUUCACUCUUAGCAAUAUUUUGGUUACAGAUUUUUUUGAUUAUUUAUUGUUGAUCGUGUUUGACAAUGGAUUUGUAACUGAAAAGAAUAAUUUGAAUCUUACAUUAAGUGAAAUAUAUAAAAUAUUAUACUAUUUUUUAUGGCAUAUGUGAUUCUUUUUUUUUUUUUUAUCAGAACGGCAACAUUGUAUUAAUAGUAAACCAAUUACAGUAUAGGUGGGCAACCGCCCUCACAAUCUGCCUGGACUUGUUCCAGCAGCCAAACUGGGAAGUUUUCCUUCCAUUCAGUAUUUUGUUCCAAAGUAAUAGCUACUUUAGCUAGUUUAUGGCUAACAAAGUUGUUCACCCUAUUUGCAAAGGUAAAACAACAUUCAUCAAAUUUUAUUCAUGUACAAUUGUUGCUAUCACCACGUCCUCCUCCUCCUCCUCACUGCACACUACUUGACUACCACCCUUCGCCAACCUUGCUGUUGCAUGUGCAACUAUCAUGGCCUCUCUUAGCGCCUUUGCUUCUUCGACCUUUGGACUGGCACAGCUAAAAUUUGGAACAGCCCAGGCCCACCCGCAAUCUUCCCAACCAAUCCCUGGCCACCCUUUUCCCACCCAGCUUCUAUGGCAUGUGUGAUUCAAUCCUUCUUGAUAGGAUUGGUAAUAGAGGCAGAGGGGGGAGCCGGCUGCAUCCGGUCUACUUUUCAUAGAUAGUACAAUAUUGCGAAAUCGAUCGCAUUCACACAAGAAUAUUUCGAAGUCAUUGCAUCGCUAAGUUGCAAAAAAGUACAAACACUUGUUAUUAUAUAGCUUAAGAUUCAAAACUUUAGAGCACAACCCUCCACCUAACACAAUUGAAUAAUGAAUAUUCACGAUUGUCAAAUCUGUCAAAGCACAGUUUGAGGACAACCCAUUCCAACCUGCAAAAGAUUUUUGACUUUUUUAAAGUUGUUGAGAGCUGUAAAAAGACUUACCAUGCUUACAUCUUCCGAGCCUUGGGAGUUAAAAAUGAAGGCACUGAGUGCUAUAAAAAGGGGGCUAGAGGCUGCCUAGAAGCAUAUCAGCCUAAAACAAGAAUUUGUAGUUAUGAUGGGAAGCAAAGCAAAAGCAAUGGGGUCUGGGCUGACUCCUCUUCUUACCACUGUUUUAGUGGUAUUUGUUGCUCUUGGCUUGCCCUCAGAAACUGCAGCUGAUGAUCACUACAAGUAUUCAUCUCCUCCUCCUCCUUACCACUAUCCCUCACCACCACCUCCAGUGCAUUUACCUCCACCAGUGUACAAAUACAAGUCCCCACCACCACCUCAUCAUGUUUACAAGUACAAAUCUCCACCACCCCCACCACCACACCCAGUUUACAAGUAUAAGUCGCCACCACCACCUCCUCAUCCGGUAUACAAGUACAAGUCUCCUCCGCCACCUCCUCAUCCGGUACCACACCCAGUUUACAAGUAUAAGUCACCACCACCACCUCCUCAUCCGGUACCACACCCAGUUUACAAGUAUAAGUCUCCUCCGCCACCAGUUUACAAAUAUAAGUCUCCUCCACCACCACCUCCAGUGUACAAAUACAAGUCUCCACCACCACCAGUUUACCACUACAAGUCUCCACCACCUCCUCCCCCAGUUUACAAAUACAAGUCUCCACCACCACCACCACCAGUUUACCACUACAAGUCACCACCACCUCCUCCCCCAGUUUACAAAUACAAGUCUCCACCACCUCCUCACCACUACUAAGCAAUUGCUUCUGAGGUAAUAACACUUGUUCAAUAUACCCACUUCUGCAUGAUAAAGCAUAUCUCUAUCAACACAAACUGUCAUGUCUAUCAUGCUAAGUGCCUUCACUUCAUCCACCAAAAUGACUGCUAGAAAAUUUUUUUUAUGUUACCAAAGAAAGGCAUCAUUUUUUCCCUCUGUUAUCAAGAACUUGUACAGUAUAUAGAUUAAAGAGUAUUUUUUUAACUAGCUUAUCAACUGAGAAAUGCAUAUAGCUGAUAGCCAGCUGAAUAUUUGCAGGCAAAGGAGAAGGAAACCAGUGUUUGAGACCUUCUUGAAGAUGUAGAAGCAUAAGAAUUAAAGCCCAAUGUGAAGAUGAUGAUUUCAAGUUUUUCUACGUUACCAUUUCUUUAUCUAAAUUGGUUGUAGCGCCUUAGUUCCUUUGUUUAUGGGAUUUGUAUCGUUUUACGUACCAUGCAGUACAUGUCAUGUUUGUAAGGUUUUCUAUCCUGCCGGCAAACCGCAGGUUCCAUGUAAUAAAUCAAUACUAUUUAUAUUACGACACUUUUCUCUGUUUCUCUUAUAUUUUGUCGUCUUUAAUAUUCUUAAUCAUAUUUUUAACAAAAAUAUUCAAACACUUAGGCAAUCUGGUCUAAUGCUAAUUGUAUGUUUUACUUUUCUUUUUCACCUGCUCCCCUUUUCAACUCAAAAGGAUGCAAUAGUUUGUGAUCACUGUUGAAGACGGAAGCAUGAUACUAAUGAAUAUAUCAUUGAAACUCAAGGAAACUAACAUUAUGAAAAGUGUAAAUCUUGAUUUGAUGCAACUAUUUAUUCGUGGAAUCUAUAGUUACAAAACUCAAACUCUGACUGCGCCAUUGAUAAAUUAUUAAUGACGCUAUCAUCAUUAUUUAUCCCCAACUAGUUUCGACUACAACUGAACCCAAUAUUUUCCCCAUGAUAAAAGUUUUUUACUAUUUUACUGGCCUCUCUUCAAAUUUUAAAAAUUACACUAAUCUUCAUUGAGAUUAAUUAUCUUGUAGCAUUUAAGUCCAAUUAAUAAUUAAAAAAUAAUAUUAUGAGAGAGAAAAUAAUAUAAUUUUAUCAUUGCCCCCCAUCUUGCUAUAUUAUUUAAUUAAUUUAAUAGCAACCCACACAUUAAAGAAAAAUACUAAAAUUUGCUGCUUUUCAUUAAAGAUCAAAUUGCAUAUGCCAUAAAACAUAGUAUAUCAUUCUAUAUGUUUCACUUAAUGUAAGAUCCCAAUUGUUCUUUUCAAUUACAAACCCAUUGUCAAACAUGAUCAAUAACAAAUAACCAAAAAAUUUGCAACCAAAAUAUUACAAAAAAAAACUUUAACAUCAUAAAUAUUCUUACCACCUCUAGUGCAUUCACCCUCAUAAAAUAAUUCAAGACCCUACUGUCAUAAAAUGACUGAUCAACUCCUGUAAACCUAAUUUGACAACAUUUAAAUGGAGAACUUUAGCUAAAAGAAUUAUGGUCAAGCUAAAGAAAAAACCAGUUAUUUUCCAACAUAUGCAAUCAUUGAUCAGGGAAAAAAAAAAGAAGCAAAAAGACAUCUUCAAUCAUUUAAUAGCUUACAGGGCAAAUUAACCCCUAAGCGAAAACUGGUUGCUCUAGAAUCAAAAUUUUACUUUAGUUACCCAGGCAACUUUUUUUGUUGCCUUUUCUUUUUCUUUUUUGGGUAUAUAUAUAGCUCCAGUUUUGCCCCCUCUGUCAAGCUUAUAUAAUUAUUAAGAUAAUAAAAGUGCCUUUAAUAGUAUUAAUAUAUCCAUUGACUUGAGCUGUCAUCGAUCGGUUUGGGCUACUUCGAUUCCAUGAGAACAAAUGGUAAUAAAAGUACUCAGAAAAUGGGGAGUCAUGAAACCCUUUUGUUCUAUUCAUUGCUAAGAUGCUUUUCUCUAUAAAGACACUUCCUAACGAAAAUACUUUGUAGAUUUCUUUACUCCAAGUGGUGCAUGGAAAAUUAAUAUUUUCAAUUAUCAAAUAAAAUUCCCUUUUUUCGGUGUAGAUUUCAUCCAUUCAGCUGUUAACACUCCGAAUUGACUAAUCUUUUCGUUUCCAUUUUCCAACUUGCGAAUACGGCAUCUUACAUAUUGUCUGCUGAAUAUGAAUACAUAUCCCUUUUCUGAGCAGGUGCAGAGUCAUUAUCAUUUUUAUUCCCACCUAACAAAUUAGUUAAUAAUCUUUUAAAGAACAUGUUAAAUUAAUUUAUUGGUAUGAAUAGUAGUCAAAGAAGUAUGUUAAAGUUAGUAAUCUUUAAAAUAAUAUGUUAAAAUUAUUCGUACAAAUUAGCCAGAGAAGUAGCAUAAACACCGCGAUGCAAUUAAUACUUUCAAUCUCAAGGUCUCUAUUAUGGAAAUUUGCAUCGGUCAACAUACACAAAGCAUUAUUGUAUGCACGUCUCUCUAUUAUGGAAAUUUGCAUAGGUCAAUAUACACUUGGCAUAGUUGCAUGCACGUCCAAUUUUUUUUUAUUUUUAUUUUUGGUAUUUUACUUCCUGCCUUAAGUUGCCUGCAGAUGUUUGUAUUACAAAUAUAUGGUAUACUAAAUAUAUAGUAUGCACAUUAAUUUCUUUGGGUUGCUUAAGGGUAUAUUGUUAAUAAUAGGGGGUUUAACCAUAAAUUAUAACAAUGAUGAAGUAAUAUAUAUUAGAAAAUUAACACAAUUAUGAUUUUUUUUUUUGUAAAAUUCAAAUUUUAUUAAUAAGAAAUGAAAUAGGCAGUAAGCAUUUACAAACCGAAAACAAAAUCCUACAACAACUCUAGGACUCUACACCUUAUUAAAAAAAAACAUUUUGAUAGCGUUUUUCCAAAAGCAGAAGAUGGAAAAUUGCCCAUUUGUACUGGGGAGUUCGUGAUCUUUUCCUCAUUCUAGUCUACUUACAAUUCUUGGAAAAAGGAAUACUCACAUCUCAAACAACAGCCUGUUCAUCUGCAGUGUCCUGCCGAAUUCUAGAAAGUUUGGUGGCAAUGUUAAUUACAUUUCAAAAUUGACUGCUGCGAUAACUAAUUCGAUGGCUUACUACAUGGUCAACGUUUGGAUCUCUUCCUGUCCUUUUUGGAUGCACAUUUUUUUUCUCUAGGUAAUAUAUAAUCUCCCAACUCAUUUCUUUACAAAUGCACCUUUAAUCACCACCAAAAGGUGUGGACAUGAUCUUUACCCUAGAAAACUAUUCACCGACAGGCAAAUUGACGUCAGAAAUACUAAGAGGAAUUCUAGUUUCCUUCGGGUUAAUGCCAUUUUGUACCCUUCAACUGUAACUCAAUUUCUAAGCUGUAAUUUGUGACAUUAUAGUCCUUAAACUAUGAAACCCUUUCUUAUUUAAUUACAAUGGUUAAUACAAUGCCCGUGACUAGACAAGUAUGAAGCAACCAUAACAAAAAAAAAAUCCAAAAUUAGAGAAAAGAAAGAAGUUGCGACCAAAGUAUGUAUCAAGGCAUAGUAUAGAAAUAAAAGUGUCAAAAUUAAGAGUUUAGGGAUAAAAAAGAAUCAAAAUAUAGUUUAGGAAUUGAUUUGUCUCAAUUAGAGUUUAGAUGUCAACUAAGAAGAGAGAUAUAGUUGAAGGGUAGAAUAUAGAUAUAACAGUUCAAUGAUUGAUAUCAACGAGACAAUGACAACUUUGGAUUAUUACCAACCUCUUCUUGAUGGAAAAGGAAAUAGAGAAGAAAGUCGGGCCUGGUCUAAGCCUGUUUCGGAGGCAAAACAACAUUAUGAAAUCACCGGCAUUCACACAAAUAUGUCAAAGUCACCGGCAUGCUAAGUUGCAAAAUUUAUACAAACACUGAAUAUUAUAUUCUUCUCAAAAUUUUUGUUUAAGAUUUAACAAUUAGAGCACGGUACACGAAUUAGCAAUAUUAAAUAAUGAAUGUUCACGAUUGAUAAAGUUAUCAAAGUACAGUUUGAGGACAACCCAUUCCAACGUGUACAAGAUGUUUAGCCUUUGAAAAGUUAAUUAGAGAAGGUGACGAGAUUUUACUAGGCUUACAACUUCUAGGCCUUGGGAGUAAAAAGUGAAGACACUGAGUGCUAUAAAAAGGGGGCUAGAUGUUGCCUAGAAGCAUAUCAGCCUCGGACCACAUUUUGUAGCAAUGGGGAGCAAAGCAAAAGCAAUGGGGUCUAGGCUGACUCCUCUUUUUACCACCGUUUUAGUGGUAUUUGUUGCACUUGGCUUGCCUUCAGAAACUGCAGCUGAUUACGACAAGUAUUCACCUCCUCCUCCUCCUUACCAUUAUUACUCACCACCACCUCUUGUGCAUUCACCUCCACCACCGCCAGUUUAUAAGUCACCCCCACCACCUUAUCACUACUUCUCACCACCACCUCCAGUGUAUCCAUCUCCACCACCAUCUGUUUACAAGUCACCUCCACCACCUUCGCCAGUAUACAAGUCCCCACCACCACCUUAUCAAUAUUCCUCACCACCACCUCCAGUGCAUUCACCUCCACCACCACCGAUUUAUAAGUCACCUCCACCACCUCCUCCAGUUUACAAGUCCCCGCCACCACCUUACCAUUAUUCCGCACCAUCACCUCCAGUGCAUUCACCUCCACCACCACCGAUUUACAAGUCACCUCCACCACCUCCUCCAGUUUACAAGUCUCCAUCACCACCUUACCAUUAUUCCUCACCACCACCUCCAGUGCAUUCACCCCUACCACCACCGGUUUACAAGUCUCUGCCACCACCUUACCAUUAUUCCUCACCACCACCUCCUAUGCAUGCACCUCCACCACCAAUAUACAAGUCACCUCCACCACCUCCUCCAGUUUACAAGUCUCCACCACCACCUUACCAUUAUUCCUCACCACCACCUCCAGUGCAUUCACCCCUACCACCACCAGUUUACAAGUCUCCGCCACCACCUUACCAUUAUUCCUCACCACCACCUCCUGUGCAUGCACUGCCACCACCAAUUUACAAGUCACCUCCACCACCUCCUCCAGUUUACAAGUCCCCACCACCACCUUACCAUUAUUCCUCACCACUACCUCCAGUGCAUUCACCUCCACCACCACCGAUUUACAAGUCACCUUCACCACCUCCUCCAGUUUACAAGUCUUCACCACCACCUUACCAUUAUUCCUCACCACCACCACUCUUCAAUUUGGAUGUAAUUCAAUUUUCCUUGUAAUCGGUGGCCCUCCUUCGGAAUCCAAAUAGUCAUUGAGUGCAGCCUUCUUUCUUUAUUUUUUACUCAUUUUCACCUCAUAAAUUGCUUUCAUCCCCUAAAACUUGUUCGCUGGAAUUUUGAAUUUACCCAUACAACUAAACUCAGAAAAUUCUUACACAAAGGGAUUAGUAGCAUGAAUAGCAAACACAGAAUAAGAGAUAACAGUAUGUUUUAUUGUAUUAAAAAUAUUAAAGUGGAUUAUUUCUCCAUCGAAUUCCAUUGUGAGAGUAUCGUUACUAACAUCAAUCUUAGUUUGAGCAGUACUCAAGAAUGACCUUCCUAAUAUAAUGGGUGAUGGAUUUGGGACACUUUCAUCAUCCAUAUAAAACACAUAAAAAUCAACAGAAAAAAUUAAUCCAUCUACUUGAACUAAAAACAUCCUCAACUACCCCAUUUAGAUAAGCAAAUAUACGAUCAGCCAAUUGAAUUAUUAUCCCUAUUUCUUUUAAAUGUUCUAAAUUUAGGGAAUCAUAAAUUGAUUUAGACAUCACAUUAAUAGAAAUCUUUAAAUCUAUCAUGGCAUUUUUUAUAUUAGAAUGUCCAAUCUUACAUGAGAUAGUAAACAUACCUAGAUUCUCGCAUUUAGGUGGUAGUUUCCUUUGUAAAAUUGCUGAAACGUUCUCAUCUACCACAAUAUGCUUGUCCUCCUCAAUUUCUUCUUGUUGACACACAAGUUUUUCAAGCAUUUAACGUAUUUUGGAACUUAUUUGAUUUGCGUCCAACAAAGGGAUAUUGAUUGCCACCUUGCGAAAAUCUCUAAAAUCUCCUUUUCUUUAUCUUGUUUCUUUGAUUUCUCUAACCUGCUUGGAAAAGGUGGUGAGUUAGUUCCAACUCUAAUUAUAGAAUCAACAAUUACCUUUGGAUUCACAUUUCUCAUUCCUUCCUCCUCAAGCUCUUUGUCGAUUCGAUCUUCAUUUUUAUCCUUUGGAAUCACAACUUCGGAUCCCUGAAUUUUCUUCUCGCUCCUUAAGGUCAUUACACUUACAUUCUUCAGGUUCAGUUCAGGUUGAGACGACAAUUUUUCAUAGAUUUGGGAUUCCAGGCGGUUGAUUGCUAUUACCAUCUGACUCAUCUGACUCUGCAGUGCUUGCACCUGUCCCAAUUGAUUCCUCAUACUUUGCAAGUCAAAAUCCAUCUUUUGUUGAUUAGCAAUUAAUUGCUUCAUUAUCUCUUCUAUAGAUGGACUUGAGUUUGAAAGAGGUGGUGGCGGGCGAGACUGAUACUGUUAUUGAUACCCUUGCUAUCUAUUUGGUGCAAAAUCUGGCUACCUAUUUCCUCCAUAGCUGAGGUUGGGAUGAUCUCUCCAACCAAUAUUGUACGUAUUCGUGUACGAGUCGUAUGGUUUUCUUGGCACGGCGCGUGACCAGCCAUGUUCACUUGCUCCGUACUUUUCUCUUGAAUCAUUGAGCACAUCUCUGUAGAAUGACCCAUAGCAGUGCAGAUCCCACACAUCUUGACUCGUGAUGCAUUUCCUAUAGCUAAUUGCCUAACAAAGGAUGUUAAUUCGGUCAACUGCUGUUGGAUAGAAUAUGUUUCUACCUCAUUUACUUUGCGUGUUGGGGCAUCCUCCCUCGUACCAAACUGUUGCGAAUUUUCCGCCAUUCCUUCAACUAGCUCCCACGCUUCUCGAGAAGUCUUGUUCACCAAUGCCCUUCUACUUGCAGCAUCAAUUAUACUCCUGUCUCUAAAACGCAGCCCCUCGCAAAAAUAUUGGAUGAGCAAUUGCUCACUUAUUUGGUGUUGAGGGAACUUGAUGCAUAACUUCUUGAAUCGCUCCCAAUAAUCAUAAAGCGACUCUCCUGGAUGCUACUUGAUACCGUAUAUCUCCUUCCUUAGACUUGCAGCUCGAGAUGCAAGAAAAUAUUUGUCCAAGAACUUUUUCUUCAGCUGAUCCCACGUGGUGAUGCUACCUGGUGGUAGAUAGCACAGCCAGUCUUUUGCGGAGUCCUUCAAGGAGAAGGGAAAUGCCCUCAUUUUUAUCUAUUUUUCUGUAAUUCUCGGAGGUUUUAUGCUGUUGCAAACGACAUCAAACUCUUGCAAGUGCUUAUACGGUUCCUCACCUGGUAAACCAUAGAAAGAUGGCAAGAGAUGAAUUAGACCAGAUUUUAACUCAAAUGAAGUGUUAUCAUUUAAAAAUAGAAAAGUAACUGAGAUGCAGCACUGGAAUGUUCUUCUCGAAAUUGUCUGGUCUCUUUCUUUGUUCUACGCGUAGUCUUCUCUACCUUAGGAUCAAAAAUUAAUUUACCUGUACGAGAAGAACGAGGCAUACACUAGAAAAACACUAGAAAAUUAGAACAAAAAUGAACAUAAAAAGAAACAAAUAAACCAACGUCAGUCCCCAGCAACGGCGCUAAAAAUUGACAAGUUGUCGAUGCCUGUGCAAUAAUAAAAAUAAACCUAGUUACCAAUUAAAAUAAUCAGAGCCUAAUUCUGAGUACUAGAGCAGGGACUAUAGGUGUGCAAUGGGUUACUUGAUUCACCCUAUUCCUGAAGUUUGCUUAACCCGAUAUACCAGAAUGAGAUUGCUUAUUCAAAAGGAAUUAUUGAUUUGUAAACAGGGCAAGUAGGGUCGUAUCAUCAGGGAUUGAAAAAAUUUGUUUCUUUUCAAAUCCACAGUAACAAGGGGAUGUUUUUGUAUAAAUGAUAACAAUCUAAGGAGUGCAAAUAGAAAUAAAUAGAUAACUAGAAAUUAAAUGACAAUUCACUAAAAUUAGAGUAAUAAUAAUUAAAGGUCUAGCUAAGAAAUAACUUCAGCAAUGGUUCACCUAAUUGAUCAUCGACGCAAAGGCAAUUCCAAUUAUUUACUAAUAAAUAGGUUAUAACUGCAAAACAAGCAAUGACAGUCAACCCCUCCUUACUGUCGGUCGGUGAUUAAGGUACGCCCAAUCACUGCUCUAGUUGAGAAAUAAUUUUAGGGACGCUCGUAAGAUUUAAUUUUCCAAUUGCCUUACGUAUUAGAGGAGCCAUAAUCUAACCAAAUAACGCUACCAGGAUUAUUUUAAAUUAACCCGUGUAUUCCCUUGAUACAAAUUCAAUCAUGUCAGUUGUCACUAUUUCAAGGUAAUGAAACAAUUACGGAUUUAAUAUCCUAAUUGACAAUAGGUUACUAAAUCAAUUCACUAUUUCGAUCCAAGAUAAUCAAUCAAUUUAACAACUAAUAGCACUGCAAUCGGAGAAUAUGUAAAUACCAAUAAAUAAGAGGAAAAGAUAAAAUUAAAUCGAUCUCACAAUUUUUAAACAAAUCAAAGUAUCCGUUGUUUCUUGACUAGAAAAGAAAAUUUAGUUCAUUCCUAAUGUGAAAGACCCACGUGAGAAUUCAAAAAUAAUAUUCACGGAUAUUGUCUUGAUUCAAUAGAUUCAAUUGCGUUGGAAUAAGGAUAAAAAGCCAAACUAUAGAGAGUGAUUCAAUGUUUUGUUUCGUUUGCAUUUUUUCUACACAUAUGGAAGAAGAAAAACAACUAAAGGACGAAAAAAAAAAGUCAAAGAAAGGCACCCAAAGUAGUGCUUGGUCUCUACCAUCCUAUUUCCUAUCUAAUUACUACUUCCCUUCUGCGGCUGCCUAGAGGAAGAAAGAGAAAGCAGACUUCAGGUCUUGUUCCAUCUCCUCCCUUUUCGGCAAUUCCCCAAAAGUAGAAAAGUUCCUCCGUUUACCAAAAUGCCCCUGGAAUGAGGACUGCUACUUGAACUCAUUUUCUUGAUAACUGUCAAAUUAGCACUUGUUAUGGUAUUUGCGUCUACUUCCUGUAAUAAAUGUAAAUUGCCAAAAGUGAGUAAACUGAUAAUUAAUUUACAUCAGGUCAGGUAAUAGGAAAAAUUAAUUAUAAAAUAAAUGAUAAAAUUGCAACCUAUCACUUAGAAUAACCAGAAAUAAAACAAAACAAGAAAUGAAAGAAAUAAGAGGGUAGCAUAGACAUUUUGGAUUUUUCUGUUAAUUUGGAUGAUUUCCACCUACGGUCUAAUUUAAUCCAAAACACAAAUGGAUUAUGUGGAGAUUUUUAAACAAUGAGGGAGUAUCGUGACCGAAUCCCAAACCACAAAGGGGAUUUACUAUAUUUUACUCUUAAAUUUUGGUUUCAUCUCAUAGCAUACAAGAGUACUAUUUCACUGUCUGUCGACCAGGGAGGAGGGUUGGGUUGGGUGGUACGGGGGAGGGAGUCUAAGUAAGAGGUCUCAGGUUCGAAUCCUCCUGUUUAUACUAAAAAAAAAAAUUUACUAUCUGUCGACAAAGAUUUUCUAUGGUUGAUGUACCAUAGGAAAAAUCUGCCUAUACAAUUAUUUGGAAAAAUUAUCCAUCCAAACAUAGUCACGAUAGCAUUUUUUCAAAAACACUAGAUGCAAAAUUGUCCCCUUAAACGUGGAAAUUCAUGAUCUUUCCUCGACUAGUCUACUUGUCAAUUUUUGAAAAAAGAAUACUCACGCCAAAAACACGGCCUCUUCAUCUGCAGAAUUCUAAAAAGUUACGUAAACUCUAUAAACAAGUUGAUAGGUACAAUCGUACCCAAGAUCAAGUACAGAUAGUUGUACAUUCACUGCUGCAAUAACUAAUCUGAUGACUUACAAACACAUCAUGGUCAAUCGUUGAAUGGUAAUGAGUCUUUUGUUAUGCAUUAGUAUUAGUGUGUACACUCUAAUAGAUUGAUACUUAUACUCUUUAAAUUAUCAUAAUAAUACCCUUAAUUAACUUUAACCCUUAAAAAGAAUACGUGUUAAUACACGAGAGUGUGUAACCUGAAUUGUUACUUAUACAUUAGUGUGUAAUAGAACGGCAAGCAUUAUGGUGGUCAUUGAGCAACUUAUAGGAGAAAUAGUCCUAUAAGCUGUUCAAUGACCAAUCACAACUUGCUAAUUGGAUGACUAAUAUAGCUCUAGCUGUAAUGUUUUAAUUAAAUUCCACACUAACGUUGGGAUGACUUUUUAAUCAAAAAAAAAAAAGCCUUAGUUCAAGCUUUUCCCCUUAUUGUGCAUUUUUUAAAACAUUUGAUAGGCACUGCAAAUCUGUCAUUUUGGACAUUUUAUUAUUAACUAACAAUGAAAGCCGUGGACAUCAACCCAUAUCCAACAAAAUAUUAAAUUAAUAUUAGAAAAAUUAUUAAGUAAUUGGAAAAAAAAAAGAAGAGGCUAAUUUUCAUUGAAACCCACCGACAAACUAUCCGUGUCCAUAGCUUUUGAAUAGUGCAUUCAACGUUUAAUUGUAUGGUCCAGUUCAUUGCCGAUUACAUGGAGUAAAGAUUGUGCUCUUUCCUUUUUCACCCCUUUUGGAAUCGAUACUGUGGAGAAUUGGGUUUUUCCCUCCUUUUUUUCUUUUCUUUCCUUCUGUGCUUUGCAAAACAUACGUAAAAAUAUGAAAUCCGAAGCAUUCUUUAAUUGGGAUUAAGUAUUGUUGUUGAAAUUAAAAAGAAGAAAGAAAGAACAACAAAAAUCCCAAUCUGGGUUGAUUGUUGAGCUCUAGAUUGGCUGCAUCGUGCUUCCAUAGAAGUUCUCUUAGUGUGAUACGCUGCUUUCAAUCAGUUUUAAUAUUUAAGUAGAGUGCAAAAUAACUUUACUAUUUAAUGGGUUAUAAUGCACCAUUUGGUACCUCUCACCCACCUAUGAUUUGAUUUACUACUGGCAUGGUAAUGGACAGAGUUGGGGGAGCAGGAGGAGGGAGAUGGCGGUACCAGUCCGUCAACCACAGCACACCCUCCCUCGGACUUUGCGUGGUAGCGAAGUGGAGGCAGAUCGAGCACACAUGCACUAACGCCUUAAGUAUGUACAAUAUAUGUAUGCCAAAAGCAUAGCCAAGCCUACCAGCGCAUUUCAAUAAUAUAACCCGGAAAUUAAGGGCAUUGAAUUAAGUACGAUGAAUCAUAUUGGUGCACAAUUACAGUUUGAAGCUACCGAUUCGAGUAAAUUUAAGCGUAAGCACAAUCAAUCGCCAGUCAAAUGCUGAAAUAUGCAUAUGCAUGGAUGAAUGUAUGGGUUUCUUAGUUCCAGACCAAAGGCCAACAAUAAGGGAAGGAAGGACAGUUCUCAUUUUUAGCACGGACAAGGAGAUGAAGAAAAGUGUAUGUAGCUUGAGACAGAACAAUGGCAUGUGACCGCUCCUGAGACCACAUAACGUGGGGUGGGGAUGGGACGGCCAAGAAUGAAGAUGCCUGUCGGUCUCUCCGUGCUGCUACCAUAUGAAUCCCCCGUUAACCAAUUCAAGAUAAGCCUGAAGUUCUUUUCAUCCCCAAACCCUGUCCCAUCUGUGUAAAUCCAACAUCAUCAUUUACGACCUGCAACUCAGGUUAAGCAUGUUCUAUUGAGAUUCAGACACCACCCUUCAAAAGAUAUACUACUGUGAAACCAGCAGCUUAAUAUCAUUGUAUAAAAAAAAAAAAAAAAGAAAGAAGAAAAGACAUGAAAAGCAAAUUUUGUGGGGAUAAUUUCAAAAUCUCUCCUAAAGUUUUUUACUAUUUUACUGGCCUCCUUUCAAAUUUUAAAAAUUACACCAGUCUUCCUUGAGAUUAUUUAUCUUGUAACAUUGAGGUCCAAUCAAUAAUUAAAAAAUGAUAUUAUGAGAGAGAAAAAAAAUAAACUUUAACAUCAUAAAUAUUCUUAUCAACAUAUUAAAGUUAGUUACUGAAAUUUUUAUGGUGUUAAACUUCACUCUUUGUAAUAUUUUAGUUACAGAUUUUUUGAUUACUUGUUGUUGAUUUUUUUUUUUUUAGUGUAAACAGGAGGACUCGAACCUAAGACCUCUCACUUACACUCCCUCCCCCCGUACCACCCCAACCCAACCCAACCCUCCCCUCGUUGUUGAUCAUGUUUGACAAUGGAUUUGUAAUUGAAAAGAACAAUUUGGAUCUUACAUUGAGUGAAAUAUAUAGAAUGAUAUACUAUUUUUUAUGGCAUAUGUGAUUCAAUCCUUGAUGAUAAAAGCAAAUUCAAGUGUUUUCUUUAAUGUUUGUGCUGAUAUUAGAUUAAUUAAAUAAUUUAGUAGAUGAAGGAAAAUGGUGAAAUCAUAUUAUCUUCUCUUUCCUAAUAUCACUAUUUAAUUAUUGAUUGAACUUAGAUAUUACAAAUAAUAAAUCUCAAGGGAGAUUAGUAUAAUUUUCAAAUUUUGGAGAGAAGCUAAUGAAAUAGUCAAAAACCUUAAGGGAGGUUUACAAAAUUAUCCCAAAUUUGUGGGAAUUAGAAUAAUUGUACUGGACGGCACUGCCGCAACAGAGGGAAAGAGGAGGAGGUGCAGUUAACUUUUUGUUGUUUGAAAUCCUUGGUGAAAUAUUACAGAAAGACAGAUAAAACAGUUAGUACAUAGAUGUAUAUGACAGGGAAAAUGGUACGUCUGUUAAUCACAUUUGAAACACUUUCAUUGGUGAAUGACGAAAACUAUCAGGCUUGCCCAAUAGUUGAUCAUUGACCAAGACAAAUCUUGCCAUGCUAGAGGUACCAUCUUUUCGUACCUCUUUAGUGCACAGGACAUUCCUUUGUUUCAUCUAGCUAAUAAUCUACCAACUCAUUUCUUUGCAAAUGCACCUUUUAUGGUCACGUCUACGAAAGCUUUACAGGAUCUUUACCCAAAAAAUCAAUUCACCGACUCGCAUUUGAUGUCAAAAUUUCUUUACUUUACUCCAAGAUUGACUGUUAAUAAUAAUGCCACUUUGAAUUAUCACACCAUCCUUCUUGAUAGGAUUUGUGCUAGAGGUAGGGAGGGAGUCGCUGCAGCCGGUCUUCUCUUCAUAGACAGUACAAUAUUGCGAAAUCGAUCGCAUUCACGCAAUAUUAUAUUUCCAAGUCGUUGCAUGGGUAAGCUGCCAAAAAGUACGAACACAUGUUAUUAUAUAGCUUAAGAUUCAAAACUUUCGAGCAUAACCCUCCACCUAACACAAUUGAAUAAUGGAUAUUCACGAUUGUCAAAUCUGUCAAAGUACAGUUUGAGGACAACCCAUUCCAACCUGCAAAAGGUUUUUUUACUUUUCUAAAGUUGUUGAGAGCUGUUAAAAGAUUUACCAUGCUUACAUCUUCCGAGCCUUGGGAGUUAAAAAUGAAGGCACUGAGUGCUAUAAAAAGGGAAUAGAGGCUGCCUAGAAGCAUACCAGCCUAAAACAAGGAUUUGUAGUUAUGAUGGGAAGCAAAGCAAAAGCAAUGGGGUCUGGGCUGACUCCUCUUCUUGCCACUGUUUUAGUGGUGUUUGUUGCUCUUGGCUUGCCCUCAGAAACUGCAGCUGAUGAUCACUACAAGUAUUCAUCUCCUCCUCCUCCUUACACUAUCCCUCACCACCACCUCCAGUGCAUAUACCUCCACCUCAUCCUGUUUACAAGUACAAAUCUCCACCACCCCCACCACCACACCCAGUUUACAAGUAUAAGUCACCACCACCACCUCCUCAUCCGGUACCACACCCAGUUCCUCAUCCGGUGCCACACCCAGUUCCUCAUCCGGUGCCACACCCAGUUUACAAGUAUAAGUCACCACCACCACCUCCUCAUCCGGUACCACACCCAGUUCCUCAUCCGGUACCCACACCCAGUUUACAAGUAUAAGUCACACCACCACCUCCUCAUCCGGUACCACACCCAGUUUACAAGUAUAAGUCACCACCACCACCUCCUCAUCCGGUAUACAAGUAUAAGUCUCUCCGCCACCAACACCCAGUUUACAAGUAUAAGUCACCACCACCACCUCCUCAUCCGGUGCCACACCCAGUUUACCACUACAAGUCACCACCACCACCUCCUCAUCCGGUACCACACCAGUUUACCAUACAAGUCACCACCAAUCCUCACCCAGUUUACAAAUACGAGUCUCCACCACCUCCAGUUUAUAAGUACAAGUCACCACCACCUCCUCCACCAGUUUACAAGUAUAAAUCUCCUCCACCACCACCACCAGUUUACCACUACAAGUCUCCACCACCUCCUCCCCCAGUUUACAAAUACAAGUCUCCACCACCUCCUCACCACUACUAAGCAAUUGCUUCUGAGGUAAUAACACUUGUUCAAUAUACCCACUUCUGCAUGAUAAAGCAUAUCUCUAUCAACACAAACUGUCAUGUCUAUCAUGCUAAGUGCCUUCACUUCAUCCACCAAAAUGACUGCUAGAAAAUUUUUUUUAUGUUACCAAAGAAAGGCAUCAUUUUUUCCCUCUGUUAUCAAGAACUUGUACAGUAUAUAGAUUAAAGAGUUUUUAUUUUAACUAGCUUAUCAACUUAGAAAUGCAUAUAGCUGAUAACCAGCUGAAUAUUUGCAGGCAAAGGAGAAGGAAACCAUGUUUGAGACCUUCUUGAAGAUGUAGAAGCAUAAGAAUAAAAGCCCAAUGUGAAGAUGAUGAUUUCAAGUUUUUCUACGUUACCAUUUCUUUAUCUAAAUUGGUUGUAGCGCCCAAGUUCCUUUGUUUAUGGGAUUUGUAUCGUUUUACGUACCAUGCAGUACAUGUCAUGUUUGUAAGGUUUUCUAUCCUGCCGGCAAACCGCAGGUUCCAUGUGAUAAAUGAAUACUAUUUAUGUUACGACACUUUUCUCUGUUUCUCUUAUAUUUUGUCUUUAAUAUUCUUAAUCAUAUUUUUAACAAAAAUAUUCAAACA
rnacentral:lncRNA from 1 species